UGAGCUCAAUGUAAAGAGGACCAACCUGCCGUCAUAAAAGCCCAAAAUACUCCAUUGUAAAAGCCCUCGUAAGAAAACACCUUCUUCUCCAACAAGAAAAGCGAAGUUAAAACCCCAAGUAAAUAUCCCUGUCUUUCUCUCCUACACGCUCGCAUUCUCAGUUUUUCAUCUCUGCGUCUUCAAGCAAUAAACCAUGGGUGAUAGCCAGUACUCCUUUUCUCUCACUACUUUCAGUCCUACCGGAAAGCUAGUACAGAUUGAGCACGCAUUGACUGCCGUUGGAUCAGGCCAAACUUCUCUCGGAAUCGAACGUUGUUGCAAUUUAAGCUCUCUCUCUUUUUUUUUUUUUUUUCUCAUUCUCUUGUCAUUUUCGAAUGUACUAUGUUGUUGAUGGGUGCUUAGAUACUAUGUUGUUGAUUUUAUAUUAUUUUUUUUGGAGUUGUAGCGGCAAACGGUGUUGUUAUUGCAACUGAGAAGAAAUUGCCAUCUAUUUUAGUCGAUGAAUCUUCUAUAAGUAAACAUUUAUUAUUUUCUUUUAUUGGUUUUGUUAUAUUCUUUGGUUGAAAUUCAAGAAACGCUUUUGUGUUUUUUGCGUUUUUGAUUGUGUUUUCUUUGUGAACUUUUCUGGUUGGCCAUGUGAUAUUUUAGUAAUAACAUAAGUAUAGAGACAUGGGUUUGUAGCAUUCUAAUUAAAGAAGCUGAUGAUUGUUGUGGAAAAGCAACGUGGAUUCUUGCCAAUGAGGUGUUGGUCUAGUAGUUAAUGGGUUUAUAUUGAGAUUCUUAGGAGUGAUUUGAGUUUAGUGACAUCGGCUGGUAGAAAUCUAUUCAAAUUCAGUGUAAAUUUGUAAUUUGUAUUAGUAAUUUGAGCUUAGUGAUUUGGGUUCUUGCCAAUGAGGCGUUACUAUACUAGUCAAUGACUCUAAGAUUGGGACUUUGAAUGUUGGAGUGUGUAGAUUUAUAUCCUCUUUAAUCCCACUUUGUAUAAAAAGGCGGUGUUGGUUAUUUUAAAUCGUGUUGAAUGAGGUGGAGAUGGUUUGAUUUUGGAGCCAGUUGAUUGGUCUCUUAUUCUAAUUUGCAAGAUGGUAUAUAACUUGAGUUGGUUGUUGAUGGUAUUUAAUUGCUUCUUGUUUCAGGUUCAGAAAAUACAGAAUCUGACACCCAAUAUUGGAGUUGUCUACAGGUUUGUUUCUGCCUGCUUCUCAGUAAUUAGGAAUUUCCAUUUUUUUAGCUUGUGUUAAUUCUUAACAGUGUUAAUUCUUAACGGUAAAAGAUUUUACCAAAUCUAUUUUAACAAAUCUAUUUCGGGCUAAUUCAGAAAAUGGAAUAGUCAUUUUAACUUUGUUUUUGAUUCUUGACUUUGUUUUUGAUUUACUAAUUCUUGUUUUGUUAACCAAAUCAUUUUACCAUUACUUCUUUUGAUAUAUUUAUUUUCUUCCGAUUUGGUUCUGCGUUGUGAUUUACUUCUUUGAUUGUAUUAAUUAUUUAUUAUUGAAGUAAGAAGAAAGGAAUUGAAUUUAGAAUGCUAAGUAAGCCAUGGUGGCAGCCGAGGCACAGACCUAGUAAUAUUAAUACAUUAGAACUAUAAUUUGUUGCUGCCCAGCUUGGAAGGUAUUAGUGUCACUUCCAAUGCAUGAAAUAAUUUAUUGCUGGAGGAGGAGCAGGGGCCCUAGCUGCUGUUUAAUACCGAGGCACAUUGUAAUUUUAAAAAAAUGUUUUUAAUUUUAUCUAAAGAUGUAUUAAAAUAUUUUCUUAGAUUUUUUUUAUUUUUUAUAUUAAUACAUUAAAACCAUGAAAAAAAAACACUAGAAAGGUAUUAAUUUAAUGUUUUUUUAAAAUCAAAUACACUUUUAAAAUACAUCAAAACACAAUUUCAAAAAUAAAAUUAAAAAGAUUUAUGAACCUUAUCAGCCCCAAGGUUGUGUUGUGCAUUUAUUAUUAUAAUGUCAGUCAUAUCAUAUAUCUCUUCAGACUAAUAUAUUUAUAGAAUUUAAAAAUUAAUUCUUUAUUUAAAUUAUUUGAAUAACUUGAUAGGAAAUGUCAUGGAUAAUUAUUAAAUUAAUUAAUUCUAAAAAUUUAAUUAAUUAAUUCUAAAAAUAACAAUAAAAAAUUUUUUAUGUCACAUAAUGGCAUUUGUCAAAACUUCUCUUUUAAAUUAGUUUAGAAUUUGAGUCAACGAAUUAUUAAACUCGGAGAGACUUGAAUGUAACUCUUAAGAUUUAUUUUUUAUUUUUUCAUCCAGAACAACCAACGUGGUUUUAGUAUUUUUUUAAAUUAUUCAUUAUAACGUUGGCAUCUUUGGAAGUAUAAUUAGGGUUGUUUUUCAAAGUAAUUUUUAUUUUAAAACAUAUUAAAAUAAUAUUUUUUAUUUUUUAAAAAUUAUUUUUGACAUCAGCACAUCAAAAUAAUCUAAAAACAUUAAAAACAUAUUAAUUUAAAAUAAAAAAAUAAAAAAAAUUUAAAUUUUUUUAAAACUACUUUCGAAACGCGAUACCAAGCAUUUUAGAGUUAAUCCAACUAUCCAAAUCAUGAUAAAAUAAAAUAAAAUAAAAGUCAAGCCAUGCAUACAAUAAUGCUUAUAUGUGAAUUUUUUUUUUAAUGAUCCCAAUACAUAUUUGAAGAAUAAAAAAAUUAGUUCAAAAUUUAAAAAAAUUAAAAUCUUUUAAAAAUACAACUAAUCCACAAAAAAAAAAAAUAAUUACACGGCACCUAUCACCAGCCACUAAGUGCCAUGGGCCAGCGCGCCCAUGGCCAGGCAAGGAGCUCCCCUGAAAAGCAACAUGUAGAAUUUAGGCGUAAUAGAGUGUCUGUAGACACUACUACUUAGGUACUAGCUAUCACGCACUUUAAUAAGUUCAAUUAUUAGUAUUUUUAGCUGAAAUAUUGCACAAAAGCUGGAAAAAGUCCAAUUAAGCUAUAGAAAAACCCAGAUUUUGAUUUUGCAAUACUAAAAUGUUGCAGAACGUUAAAAGUACGUGUUAACUGUGUAAACCAAUGGAACUGUGUAAAGGGGACUUAUGAUUAUGUUUAAAUGAAAUUUUUAAAUAAAUUGCGUACCUGCCACUAACUUUACUUGCUUUUGUCAUCUUAAUUUCUUUUCUUUCCAUUCAACCUUCGCCUAAAAAAAAAACAUGUAAUUAGGCUUUAAUUUCAGUUUAAUUGUUAAAAAAAAAAUUUAGGAAUUAAAUGAAAAUUUUUAAAAAAUUUCAUUGCUCAAAUCCACAAUAAAAUAUAAAAAAGUAAUAAUAAUUUAAUGAACAGUAAAAAAGUCACACGUUUUAGCUUUAAAUUUAAUAUUAAAGAUUUAUAUUUUUAAGAAAUUCAACAUAAUAUACUCAAUGGCUAGAAGCUUGGUGGCCAAGUUCAUAUCAUGAGUUUUCGUUUAUUGUCGAGGAUGAUUUGGAGGUUUCGCCGUUCUUUUAUAAAUAUGCGAGGGGUAUGAUUGCUAUUACAAUGUGUCGAAUUUUAGUCCUUUUUAUAUAUGAUAUGGUGCUUCACUUCAGCGUCCACGGUUUGUCCCAGGUUUUGUAUUUGUUAGACUGGAUGUUUUAAUGUUCAGUGUUAAGGUUUACAGAUUUCUUGAUUUGUUAUAUACUGGGUUUUUUUUGUCUUUCAUUUUCGUGAUCUUCUUUUUCUUCUUCUUGUUCUCUAAUGGUGUCUUUUUCAUCGAUCUUGUUGAUGCUGAGACUCAGGGUGUGCUUAGGAAUGCAGUACAAACCGUAUCUUAAAAAUUUUAAUUUUUUUAUUUAAAAUAAAUUAUUUUUUUAUUUUUUUAGAUUAUUUUGAUAUGUUAUAUCAAAAAUAAUUUUUAAAAAAUAAAAAAAAUUAUUUUAAUAUAUUUAUAAGUGAAAAGUACUUCAAACCGUUACGUCUUUAGCUUGAGUUUUGAAUGAAGGACGUUCUUGUGUGAAUACCAAGAGUUUUUGUUUUUUUUUUUUUGAUUUUAAUGUAUUAAUAUGAAAAAUAAAAAAAAAUUAAAAGACAUUAUUAUUCUAAUAUAUUUUAAAUAAAAAAACUUUAUACGUCCCUUGUAGACUCAGGUAAAAAGUUUUUUUUUUUAAAAGAAAUAAUUUAAUAAAAAUAAUAUUAUUUGAUUUUCUUUUAAAAAUAAUUAAACUUUUAAACUCUGACCCGAUGAAGUAAAGUUUUAAAAAUUAUGGUUAAAACUGGUUCAGCGAAGAGCUUUGGCCUGAAAAGGGGGAAAAGUCGACACUGCUUUCUCUCCUAAAUAGACACCGGAUGACUAUGACACCCUUGUUAUGGUAUCUGAUUCAGCGAAAAGGAGGGUAUUAUGGUAAUUGGAACAACCUGAAUCGAGAAUCUGAACCGCUGUAUUCCUACGCAAAGAUGCACACGCUACUGAUAACUCGGCCAUCUCAGUCGAUUACUCAAUGUAAUUAAUUAGAGCACUCUUUGCUGAUUAUUUCAAGAAGGGACAUCCUCUGCCCUUAUUUUUGAGUCACCAGCUAGCUACAAGUCUUCAAGCUUUGAAAUGGCUAAAAUGAGAAUAGCCUAAUAAUAAUAAUAAUAAUAAUAAAAAGCAACAACAGAGAAGAUAAAAUAAAGAAGACAUAAAAGCAGGGUAUCUACUCUAUAACUGGAAGAAAAUUAAUAGCAUUCAUAUCUAUUGUCAUGAUUAAUUAAGUAUUGAAAAAAAUUAUCAAGAAAAUUAAUAUCAUCAAGAAUAAAGAGUUCAAAAUGUUUGUUAAAAUUCAAAAAAAUGGUGAAAUGUCCUAUUUUUAGGGAUAAUGUCAAAAAUUUCAUUAAAUUUAAAAAAGUGAUGAAAUUUCAAAUCAUCAGGGAUUAACAUCAAAGUUUUAUUAAAAUUCAAGAAAUUAUGAAAUCUACUGUCUUUAGGUCUUCAGGGAUUAAUGUAAAGAAAAAUAAAAGAUUAAAAAAUUAAUGAAAUCUCCUAUUUUAGAGAUUGAAAAUGGCAAAAUUUCCGUUAAUUUUUUUUUAUUGAUAACAGUCAAGAUUAUAUAUAUAUAUAUAUAUAUUAAGGCUAGUGCUAUAAAAUGACAAGCUAUAAAAUCUUUGAUUUUUAGGGAUUAAUGUUAUUUUGAUUAAUGUUAUGAUUUUUAUAAAAUAUUGUCUAAAAAAGUAUUUUUUUGAAAAAAACCAGGGAUGCAUUAAUAAGAUAAAAAAUGGUUUUAAUUUGAUGGAUAUCUUUUUUAUUUUAAUCUCAAAGCAUUGUUUUUUUUUUAUUAUUUCUUUUCAAUAAAGAACAUAGAACAAAAAAGUUAUAUUGUUUUGUAGAAUAAUUAAAGAACAUAUGAAAAAAAAAGUUAUAUUUUAUCUCUUCGUUGCUAAAAUUAACAUCAUAUUUUACUAUCGUUGCACUACAAAAAAAAAAACAAUAUGUAAUGGCUCUUCAAAAUAUAUUUAAGGACACUUUUUAGUAAAGGCAGGUUCAUCUGCAUCGAUACGAGAGAGUUUUAUUUGCUAGGACAUGCCUUGUUGUAUGAUUUAUACAGUGUUUGAUUUUGUAUUUCAACAACAUUUAAAAAAAAAUUAAAUUUCGAAACACUACAAAAACUUAAAAAAAAAAAUGUUGAGACACUAAAAUACAAGCUUCCUUUUUUUUUUUUCCAACCUACAAGUUGUGCUCUCCAAAAACUAAUGAAAAAAAACUAAUAAAAACUAACUUAAUUUGAGACACUAAAAUAAAAAAAUGUUGAGACACUAAAAGUCUAAAAUACAAGCUUCACCUGCAACGCCAAACCCUAAGUAUAUAAACUAACUUCCAUUCACAAUCAUCAGCCGCCUCCUUCUCUUCACCCUCUCUUUCUCUCUGCUCAUCCCGUCAUCAUUGCUUCUCUCUCUCUCUCUCUCUCUCUCUCUCUCUCUCUCUCUCUCUCUCUCUCUCUUUCCAAUCAGAACUAAACAGACGAUGGCUGAGGCACUUCUAUCUCCGAUCUUGGAGCAGUUAACCACGAUCGUUGCUCAACAGGUAUUUUUCUACCAUCUGCAAUAACCUGAUUUACCUAGCAGAGAUAAGAAAUAUAUAUAAAGUUCAAGCCUUUUUUCUUCCUAUCAUAAAAAGAAUACUUUUAACUUGAAUAAAUAAAAAUAAUAUUUUAAAUCCUCAAGUAUAUAUUUGGAUUUUAUUAAAGAAUCUUCUUUUUCUUGUUUUAUUAUUUUUCAUAUUUCCAAAAAUAACCUAAAGAAAAUAUAUCAUUCCAAAUAUAGGAAAACCGAAAAAGGCAAAACAAGAAAUAUUAAGGGUAAAAUAAUCAAUAAAAAGUUCAAAGGAUUACCGAGCGAGUAUAUAUAUAUAUAUAAGGUAAAAUAUCUAUAGUUUAAUGUAAAAUAAAAACCAGAUUUUAUGUCGGUUCAAAGGAGAAAUCCUUCUCUCGGGAGAACAUUAAACUCUUUCCAUGCCUAUAUUAAUUAUAUAUAUAUAUAUAUAUAUAUAUAUAUAUAUAUACGUUCAGAAAUAUUUUAUAUAUAAAUUAUUAAUAUAGUCAAUCCAUUUCACAAUAAAAUAUAUUAAUACAAAAUAAUUAAUCUAUCAGUUGCCAAAAAUUAAGAAAUUGUGUUGAAAUCAUAGUAACGUUUCCUAUGCUUGAACUUCCUUAUCUUUUGUACACUAAUAGGUACAAGAAGAGGUGAACCUCGUAGGAGGUGUGAAGAAACAAGUCGACAAGCUGAAAAACAAUCUCCUCGCUAUCCAAUCUGUCCUUGAAGAUGCAGAUAGAAAACAAGUAAAGGAUAAGGCUUUAAGAGAUUGGGUAGACAAGCUCAAAGAUGUAUGUUAUGAUAUGGAUGACGUGCUUGAUGAAUGGAGCACUGCAAUUCUUAGAUGGAAAAUGGAGGAAGCUGAAGAAAAUACUCCCAGCCGAAAGAAGAUACGGUGUUCCUUCCUGGGAUCUCCUUUCUUUUGUCUCAAUCAAGUGGUUCAACGUCGCGAUAUUGCCCUCAAGAUAAAAGAAGUAUGUGAAAAAGUGGAUGACAUUGCCAAAGAGAGAGCUAUGUAUGGCUUUGAGUUGUACAGAGCCACUGAUGAACUCCAACGAAUAACAAGUACCUCCCUUGUUGAUGAAUCAAGCGUGAUUGGUCGAGAUGAUAAAAGGGAAGCUGUAGUAAGCAAGUUGCUAGGAGAAAGUAUUCAGGAAGCGGGGGACGUAGAGGUCAUCUCUUUAGUAGGGAUGGGCGGGAUUGGAAAGACAACUCUCGCCCAACUAGCUUUUAAUGAUGAUGAGGUUACGGCUCAUUUUGAGAAAAAGAUAUGGGUGUGUGUUUCAGAUCCAUUUGAUGAGGUUAGGAUAGGCAAAGCUAUCCUUGAGCAACUUGAAGGGAGGGCACCGGAUUUGGUUGAAUUGCAAUCCCUUUUGCAAAGGGUUUCUGAAUCCAUUAAGGGAGAGAGGUUCCUUCUUGUCCUUGAUGAUGUAUGGACAGAAAAUCAUCGACAAUGGGAACAACUGAAACCAUCUCUCACAGGCUGUGCACGAGGAAGCAGAAUUCUAGUGACCACUCGUAAACAUUCUGUGGCAACGAUGAUGGGAACCGGCCACGUGAUCAACCUUGAGAAAUUGUCUGAUGAGGUAUGCAGGUCAAUAUUCAAUCAUGUGGCAUUCCAGCAAAGAAGCAAAGAUGAGCGUGAAAGAUUGACAGAUACCGGCGAUAAAAUUGCAAACAAGUGCAAGGGCUUGCCUCUAGCUGCCAAGGUAUUAGGAGGUCUAAUGCAGUCUAAAAGAACAAGAGAAGAGUGGGAACGUGUUUUCUGUAGCGAACUAUGGGGGCUAGAUGAGGUUGAUAGAGAUCAGGUUGAAAGAGGAAUAUUUCUACCUUUGCUUUUGAGUUACUACGAUUUACCUUCUAUGGUAAGACGAUGUUUCUUGUAUUGUGCCAUGUUUCCAAAAGACUACGAGAUGCGGAAAUAUGAAUUAGUAAAGAUGUGGAUAGCUCAAGGUUACCUCAAGGAGACUUCAGGUGGAGAUAUGGAGGCUGUUGGAGAGCAGUACUUUCAAGUCUUAGCAGCGCGCUCUUUCUUCCAAGAUUUUAAGACGUAUGAUCGAGAAGAUGUUAGAUUCAAGAUGCAUGAUAUAGUGCAUGAUUUUGCCCAAUAUAUGACAAAAAAUGAAUGUCUAACAGUGGAUGUCAAUAACCUUCGAGAAGCAACAGUGGAGACUUCAAUUGAAAGGGUUCGUCAUUUAAGCAUGAUGCUGUCAAAGGAAACCUAUUUUCCCGUGUCCAUUCACAAAGCAAAAGGUCUUCGCAGCCUCUUCAUCGACGCUAGAGACCCUUGGCUUGGAGCUGCACUACCUGAUGUAUUCAAGCAGUUGACAUGCAUCAGGUCAUUGAAUUUGUCAAUGUCCUUAAUCAAAGAAAUACCAAACGAGGUAGGGAAAUUGAUACAUUUGAGACACCUCAAUUUGGCAGAUUGUUAUAAGUUGGAGUCCCUGCCAGAAAUCAUGUGUGAUUUAUGCAAACUGCAAUCCCUAGACGUUACUACAUGUCGGUCUCUCUGGGAAUUGCCCAAGGCGAUUGGAAAACUUAUCAAAUUGAGGCAUCUCCGGAUUUGUGGUUCAAUUGUGGCCUUCAUGCCAAAGGGAAUAGAGAGGAUAACAUGUCUUCGAACAUUAGAUUGGUUUGCUGUGUGUGGUGGUGGUGAGGAUGAAAGUAAAGCAGCUAAUCUAAGAGAAUUAAAGAACUUAAAUCACAUCGGAGGGAGUCUUAGAGUAUAUAAUCUACGAGGAGGUUUAGAAGGUGCGAGAGACGCUGCAGAAGCACAACUCAAGAAUAAGAAGCGUCUGCGUUGUUUGCAAUUGUAUUUCGACUUCGACCGGGAGAACGACAUUUUAAUUGAAGCUUUACAGCCUCCGUCAGACUUGGAAUAUCUAACCAUAUCUAGGUACGGAGGGUUGGAUUUUCCAAAUUGGAUGAUGACAUUAACCAGAUUACAGGAGCUUACACUCGAUUAUUAUGUAAACCUGAAGGUUUUGCCUCCGUUGGGUAGAUUGCCGAACCUUGAAAGCCUAGAAUUACGCGGGUUGAAGGUGAGAAGGUUGGAUGUUGGAUUUAUAGGUAUAAAAAGUGUUAAUGAAAGAGAAAUUGCAAGGGUCACUGCUUUCCCCAAAUUAAAAAAACUUUGGGUUUUGAAUCUCAAAGAAGUAGAAGAGUGGGAUGGAAUUGAAAGGAGAUCAGUGGGAGAAGAAGAUGCCAACACAACUUCAAUAUCCAUUAUGCCACAACUUCGACAGUUGACAAUUCGUAAUUGCCCGUUGUUGAGAGCACUACCAGACUAUGUUUUGGCAUCGCCUCUACAGGAAAUGGUCAUAAGCAUUUGCCCCAUUCUAAGGAAACGUUACGGGAAGGAGGAGAUGGGUGAAAAUUGGCAAAAGAUUUGUCACAUCCCUUACAUUUCUAUUUAAAGAAUAGUUAAGACACCGCUACGUAAGUAAAAAAUAAUGUGUUUGAUAAUUGUUUGGGAACGCUGUCCAAUGUGUUUUCAUAAAUUUUGAAAUUUUUUUUUUAAAAAAUAAUUUUUUUAUGUUUUUAGAUUGUUUUCGUGUGUUGGUAUCAAAAAUAAUUUUUACAAAAUAAAAAAAAUAUUAUUUUGAUGCAUUUCUAAGUGAAAAGCACCAAGGUUGUCAAAAACACAUUUUUGACACGACACGGAAUAUACAAUAUAAACUUGGAUCGUAAACUCAAAUCGUAAAAUCAUAAAAUCGUAAGUAAAAGUGAAAUAAAGUAAUAAACAAUACAAAUGUCCAAACACUUAAAAUACAUGAUUCAAAUAAAAAUUUAUAAAUAGUUUAAAUAACUUUAAAAUAUAAUACAACAAUUAUGUCCAUAGAAUUUUAUUAACUAAAAAUUAACAAACUUAAAACAAAUAAUAUAUUGGUGUGUCAUAUAAACUAAACAUGAUCUCAUUGCCUUGAUCUUCAUAAGGAUGUAUAGUGCUGAGAAUUGAAUAAAAUACAACAAAAAAACCAACAUAUAAAUACAGGGAAAACACAACCAUCCCUUGCAGCAGCAGCUAAUGCAGGGUUAUCUUCAAUUCGAAAGUCCCUCCUACACCAAACAAUGGUCUUACUGCUACCCAUUAGGAUCAUAACCCCUUUUGCACCAGAAGAUAAACAAAUAUAAACAAGCUCCUGGAUAACAAGCUCCUGGUUAUUAUCCAGGAUAUAUAAGAGAAGUAAGAAUUGGGAACAGGUAAAUUCCAGUUUACCACAUACUACAAGAACACCAACUCUAAAACUACACCUUUGCAUCAGAGACACCCCCACCUUCUGUAUAAUAGAGGAGCACUCCUCUAGAACCUUCAAAGACAAAUCAUUGCAGGCACCUCUCUCUGUUUAACCUAAUAUUCUUCAACUAAUUCUUUUAACUCUAUGUGCAACAAGAAGAUGAGAUAUCAUGUGACUGAAGAAUCAAUAUAUAUACCAAAAUUCAGGACAGUAUUAAGCAUUCAUUUCAUGCUCUGCCCUUCUAGUGGGAAUUGCAAUAAAAAGGAAGAUGGGUUUUGAAGCUAUAUAUGAUGUAGCAGCAUUGUAGCAACCAGAAACUGAAAGCAACCAUUUGAAAGCAACAUAUUUGGUACCGUCUAUCAGAUUAGGACACAAACAUGCAAAGAUUGCAAAAACCCAAUAUGGCAAUAAAUAUAUACACACAUACAAGACUUGUCAGCACAGUUAAUAAGGCAUGCGAAAUUACAAAAGAGAAAAGAUCUUAUGAUUCAGCAAAUGAGCAAAUGUUAAUAUGACAGGCACUCAACUCUUAUUCUAUAUCAGACACUUCGUCGCCAUGGAUGAGGGGAAAAAGAAAAGAUUAACAGAAAAUAAUGUGUUUACCUGGAAGAUUUUCAACACCAGGAAGAUUUUCAGCACAAAUUGCAAGAUUAACAGCAAGUUCAAGAUUAUUUAACUGCCAAAUCACCCAAAAAUAAUAUAAGAUUGAUAACCCAAAAAUGAUAUAAAACAUGAUAGAGAAGGAGAGAAUCAAGCAAACCUGGCCACUAAUGAAAUAAUCCAGCAACCAAACCUGGCCACUAAUGAAAGAAUCCAGCAAGCAAAGCUGAGAGAGUGGAGACUGGAAACUGGAGACCGGAGAGGCGGAGAGGCGGGCCUGUUAACGGCGAAAUAAAGAAAAAAAUGGGGUUUUUGAGAGAAAGAAAGAGAGUGGAAGGCGUUGGCUUCUGCUGGGUUUAAGAUUUGAGAAUCAGAGAAUGUGAGAUCUGCUUCUGCUAGGGUUGAAUUUGAGAAUCAGAGAAUGUGAGAUUUGGGGGAAGCGGAAAGGAAAAAGGGGAAUUUUGUGAGACUAACGGGAUGGAUAGGAGAGGAUUGAGAACAGUGAGAAGAUUCAAUGGUUUUUGUUAAUUCUAUCGAACUCGGUAAACUCGGUUCGAGUUUACCGAGUUCACCGAGUUUGACCAAGUUUACUAAUUUUCAAGUUUUCUACCCGAUUUCACACGGUAUAUCUGAGUUGACUCGUAAAAUCGUAUGAUUUUACGAGUCAACUCGCAAGUUUGACAACCAUGAAAAGCACUAUGAACCGCCACCGCUGCUAUAAUUUCAAACAGGCAAGCUUUUCAAAUUGAGGUAAUAAAAUAACUAUAAAAGACAUAUAUUAAUAUUGAUGUUUUUUAGUUGAAAUAUUGUAGAUUUAAUUUCUGCUAUUACAUCAUAAAACAAACAAUACUUUAUAUAAAAUAUUUUUUAUUGUUUCAUUAAACUAUCUGUAAUUUCAUCACGUACGAAAUUCAUCCUGCCUUGACUAUAGUUUCCAUUGAUUUUAGAGUGUGCAACAACAUCAGGUAAAAUCUCAUCAGGAACAUAACUGGAAUUGUGAUCAAAUUUUGUAAAUGCAACGUCAUCAUACGAUCUCCUUCUAAUAUAAUUAUGUAGUGCCAUUGAUGCCAUUAUAAUUUCAACUUGCGUUUUGUAUGGAUAAGCAAGCAUGUUUUGUAAAAUCCUUCACCUUUGUUUCCAUACUCCAAAAGAACGUUCUAAGACAUUACGUAGCGAUGAGUGUGCUCGAUCAAAAACUUCUUGCCGAUUUCUUGGUUGUCCACGACGCCUAAAAUCUUCUAAGUGAUAUCUCUCACCUUUAUAUGGACCUAAAUAAUCAUACUCAUUGGGAUAUCCAACAUCAACUAAAUAGUAUUUACUUGUAAUUACAAACAACAUUCAAAUUUGUCAUGUAAUUAGUAAAUAAUAAACAAAUUUUUAUACUUAUAAUUACAUAACAAGUUCUGUUGUAUAACUACCUUCUGGUGGUUUAUGAAAUUUUAUAUUUCUAUUCUCAAUAGCCUCAAGAAAAAUACGUGUAUCGUGGGCACUACCUUCCCAUCCUGCCCACAUAAACAUGAACUGCAUGUCAAAACUACAAGCAACCAUUAUGUUUUGAGUCGAUACACCUUUUCUUCUGAUAAAUGGAAUUUGAUUUUCAGUUGAUAUGCAAGCUCACACAUGUGUUUCAUCAAUUGCACCAAUACAAUUCUACAUGAAAACCAUUGAUAAUAUGAUGUCGUUACUUACUAACAUGCAUAAAACAAUUUUUCUUUGAAUAAUAACAAUAUUAACAAAUCUUUUUCUUACCUUGAAAUGAGGCAUAUAUCUUGGAUUCAUUGCAAUUUCUCGUGGAGUGCUUGUAAAAUUCAAGUCCUUUGGUUUUAUGACAUCUAUUGCAAACAAACAUACUGCUGCGAGGACUUCUUUAAUGCAUCUACUAACAGUUUCACCUGAAUGUUGAAAUCGCUCUUGAACCUCUCUAUUUGGUGCUCCUUGUGCUAUUGUAUCUAGAAAUAUAGCCACUUUUUCAAUCACACUCAUCCUUCUCGAAGGCUUUAACCCAUACUUUGUUUCUAAAUCACUGCACAGGCUAAACAAAGUUCAUGUGUCCAUUCUAAACAGGUUGACACAUCAUUUCCAAUGUCCUCGUAAAACUUCAGUUAACCAACGCAUGCAUGUAUUAUAUGAAACCAUGCACGGUUCUUUAUGCAUAUAAUUAAUAUAAUACAUGUUUAUUGCCCCAGCUGUGCACACAACUAACUUCUUCAUAUCAAAAUCUCACUUCCAAAAUGAUUCAUCAUCAUCAUCAUCACUAUCGUCGUCGUCGUCGUCAUCAUCAUUGUUGUCGUCAUCAUUUUCCCCGUCAUCACCAUCCUCUCCCGAGCCACCGUUGUCAUCAUCACCACGAUAAUUAAUGUGAUCAACAACACGAUCCAUUAUGUUUUCAUAAUCAUCAUCAAGAUCUUUAUUGAAUAUUGCAUUAAAAAGCGCAUCUUCCAUAUGUAUAAUGCUAAAUAAAUAAACAAAUGAAUAAUGUUAAACCCUAUUUUUUCAAAUAAAACAUAAUAUCUGAUGGUAUACUUUAUCGUUUAAUUUUACACCACGCAAAUAUUACAGUCUACGUCUUCACACUAGAAAAAAUAUUGGAAAAAAAUGUUUUUGGAAAGUAUUUUUUUUAUUUGUUUUUUUUACUGGGUCGGACCCGAAAAAAAUGUUGGUUUAGAUUGUGAACAGUGGAGACAGGCAAAUGCAUCAGCAGAAGAAGAAGGAGAAGGGGGAGAGGACGCUACCCUGUACGAUGGCGAAGUAUGGUUGGCGGUGGCAACGACGAAGGCUAGUGGUGAACUAAGAGACGGUUUUCCUUUGUCCCUGCUCUUCUUCCUUCUCCCUGUUUCUGCUACGCUUUUUUUCUAUUUCGGACAGUUUUCUCCCCGUUGAUGAUGGUGCUGUUGUUGUCAACAAUGACUCCAGACGGUUAUUAUGGCGACGAUGAGGAAGGUUGACGGUGGUGGCCUUGUUUUUAUCCCGUGGUUGCCUCUGUUUUUCGUCUGAUUCUGCUCUUCUUCCUUCUUUCUGUCUCUGCUACGUUAUUUUCCUGUUUCAGACGGUUUUCUCCCCGCUGAUGGUGGUGCUGUUGUUGUCGACAAUGACGCCAGAUGGUUGUUGUGGCGGCGAUGAGGAAGGUUGGCGGUGGUGGCCCUGUUUUUAUCCCUUGGUUGCCUCUGUUUUCCUCUGAUUCUGCCCUUUUUCCUUCUCUCUGUCUCUGCUGCGUUCUUUAAGCGUUUCUGACCAGUUUGUUCUUUUUUUUACUUCUUGUUUUCCCUUCAUUCUGGUUCGUCACUUCUUUCUACCCUUAUAUUUAUUAUUCUGCAAGGUUGUAACCCAUGUGAAAGAUUGUGAAAGGUUCUAUCGCAAUGUACCAUGUGAAAAGUAUUACUGCAAUGUAUUUUUGUCACCAUGUAAAAAGUUUUCAUAUCUCUGCAAUUUACACCAGUUAGAUGGUUGUUGCUUGUUGCAUGUGACUUGUUGCAUUUCAAAUCCUUGCAUUUCAGAUUCGUGCUAUUCUUGCAUCCUGUGAUUUCUUUCUUUUUAGUUUUUUUUAUUAUGUUUAACAUUUUGUAUACUCUUUCCUUUUCCUUCUUGUUAAUCCACAUCAAUUAUAUUGUUGAUUGCAUCGUCAAUUUUUUAUAAAUGGAUUUGUAAUCGGAUUUCUUGAGCAGUGGAAUUUGUAAUUGAAAAUUGUUCUGUCGAUUAAAACACAACCCUUUGUUUGCAUUGUCAACCAAUGGCAUUCAUAAGCAUAUUUUGUAAAAUCUAAAAGCAUUGUCCACAUCAUAUGGCAUUAAUAUUACAUAGUAUUUUUCCCGAUCGCAAUUCAUAAUACUCAACAAUUAUCGAAUAACUUUACAACUUUUAACUAUAUUAAUAAACAAUCCAUAACAUGAAUAUAAUAAAUAUUAAUGCUCCAUAACCUAAUAACCUAACUGAAUGCAAAUAGUGUCUCCUAAUAAUGUGAAUUGUUAAAAUUACAAAUAGGAUCCCGAACAAACAUAGAUGAAUUUAUUACUCAAUAUCAUCUUUAGAUAUUUGCAAAUUUAAAUAAUUGACAAGAAAUUUAAAAACAUGUUACAUAACAAUUUAGAUAAUAAUAUUACCAACAAAUAAAUGAAAGCAUGCAUUUGGGAUCAAUAUAUACCUCUCUGUUUAAGGUGCUUUACGUCAUGUAUGCAUUCUCUACAACCAUUUCAUCUUGUUUUCAAGAUUACCCAUAGUUAACCACAUUUUUCUAUUCCUUCUCAAACCUAAAAACUCAGCAGCAAACUCAUGAAAAUCAUCACCAAUAUAAACUCCUUCAAUUGAGUGAAGCUUGGUCAUAACCUCAAGAAUACUACAUCUUUACCUAUCUCUAUUGAUAGAUGUUGAAUCACUAUUGUUUGACAUGCUGUCAACCAUUUGAUCCCACCGUAACAGUAAUUGCAACCCAAUUCCAGAACUUUUUUUUUCCCCAACUUGAACCUCAGAACAUUCUCUUUCUUUUCUUUUUCCAUUGUUGCAUGUGUUGCUACUGCUGGACAUAUUAACCCCCUCUAACCAUGUUGCAAACAUCAUGGUGAAAUUUGGAAUUCCAUCCUCUUCUGAAUCACCGCUUCGCACUUGUUAGCAAUUUUAUCACUGAUUCUGUCAAUCUUUCGCACUCAUCUUUGCUUCUUUUAUGGAAUGCCACCUGAUUGAAUAUUGACCUGCAAACCUCAUCAGACAUUCUCUCAAGGUUGAUCAUGUGCUCGGUUGCCAUCAUGGUUAACUCAGAAUGUUUACGAGUGGUCACUAGAAUUGGUGCACCGCCUUUAAGAGAUAGUUUCAGAUGUUCCCAUUGCCCAUGACUUUCUGUCCAUACAUCAUCAAGGACAAGAAGGAACCUCUUUCCCUUAAUUCAUUCAGAAACACUUUGCAAAAGGGAUUCCAAUUCAACUAAAUUCGGUGCACCCCUUUCAAGCGCCUCAAGGAUAGCUUUUGCUAUCCUCACCUCAUCAAAUGGAUCUGAUACACACACCCAUAUCUUUUUCUCAAAAUGAGCCAUAACCUCAGCGUCAUUACAUGUUCAAAAAUCUCAGAAAUAAUAUCAUUCAUCAGGUACAGAAAAGAACAUAAUGACCGGUAAGGUAGUUAUAAUUAAUGAGAGAUGUAAGGACUCAGAAAUUUAUUACUGUGAAAAGAAGAAACAUUUACCAUCAUUCUAAUUACAGUUAGCCAUCUUUAGCAAGUAAAAAAAGCCAACCCCGUGUAAAGAUAGUGACUGCAACCUCUGAUGCAAUCUAAAUUUGGUGUAUCUUCAUCCUCAAUCUUUUCUGAAAAAUAUGAAAGUGUAUGAAAGAAAGAUUGUAUGAAUUCAGAGAGAAGAAACAGGUAAUAUCAUCAUGAGCAUCUGAAGUGGCUUCUAGAUGUGUUUUUUGUAAUAAAAGCCUGGAAUCUUCAAGUCACCUCUUCAUCCAUCCACUGCCACUUUGCUUGGCAUCUAUGAAUGAAAUUCCUUUCACGAUGGGGUAUUAACAGUGUUUUUUCAAAAUCUGUUGUUUGUAUGUGCUACCAAUGAUUUUCUAUGGUGAAAGGCAAUCAACAGAAUCUCUCAUGACAGCUUCUCUUCUCCUGCAUUGUGUGGAAUCUUUAGCUUCAUCAGAAUGAUAUCAUCUUUAAUAGGGCUGCUCCAAAUCUUCAAAGCUGUUUUUCCUUGAUCUUCCGCAGUUUCUCAUUUUCUUCAGACUCUGCUGGCGAGGAUGUUCAUAACAGCUAUGAUGGCAUUGGUUUUGUAAAAAGGAGGAGCUGAUUUCAAUUGUUUUUUUCCUUUUCCCACACUGUUUUCCUUCCCCUGUUUCAAAACCUCUAAAGCUUGUUUGCUUUUUUUUUUUUGGUCAGCUAGAACUUCUGGAUGCUAGGCUAUUAUCUUUUUAGCCAUUUUCUUAUAAUACACUCGACUAUUAUAAGAAAAAAUGCAUCUGAAGUGGCUGAAUAUAUAAGCUUCGGUUCCAUCUCCAUCAGCAUCAAAUGCACCCGAGCUAUUGGUGAGCAGCGCCAACGAGAGGGGAAAAUAAAAAAUACCAUCCAGCAUUUACUCUAACCUUCCAACUCAUAUAUUCACAGAACUUUCAAUCUUGCCUUGCAUAGAAACCAACAGUGAACCUUAGUGGAGAGGUGACUCGCAGAAACUUAAAAAGCGGAAUCCACAUGCAGACAGUAACUCGGCCAACUCAGUCGAUUACUCAAUGUAAUUAAUUAUAGCACUCUUUGCUGAUUAUUUCAAAAAGGACCUCCUCUAGCCUUAUUUGAGUCACCAGCUAGCUACAAGUCUUCAAGCUUUGAAAUGACUAAUGGCGUACGGCGUACCACUCUGCCACUGGUAAGGAAAAGAAAUCUCUUUAAAGUCACCAAGGAACUUUUUUUUUUUUUACAACAGUGGAGAAUUUUAUUAAAAAUUUGGCUAUAAAGAGAAUAGCUUAAUAACAAAAAAAAAAAAAAAAGCAACAAAGAGAAGAUAAAAAAUAAAGAAGACAUAAAAGCACGGUAUCUACAACAGGAAGAAGAAAACAGGGACCAGACAAUAGAUAAAAACAAGAAGUCAACUUCUGUUAUCCCCGAAAAAGAUCCCAUCAGAGUUGAUCCCUAAAUCCAAACCGGUGUAAGCAGAAGUUGUGCUAUCAAACUUCAACCAUAAGGAGAACCUGUGGAGGAUAAAGUAAAAACAACCCUUAAGAUCUGGAAUAGCAUCAUUGAAGAUUACAUCAUUUCAAUGUAGUCAUAGACGCCAUGCAAUACAAGAAAAGAGAAGUUGUUAUCAUGAAAGAUUCUGAAAUUUUCCUUGCAUCAUUUGUAGCACAUAUCAUCAAUAGAAUUUGGGAAAGAAUUACUAAUACCCCACCAAAAUAGGAAUUUCAUUCAUAACUUCCAGGCAAAAACACGAUGAAUGAAGAGAUGGCUUGAAGUUUCAAAUCUUCUUUUACAAAACAUACAUCUAGCUUGCUGAAGAGAAAAGAAAUCAUGCUGAAACAAGAAAUCACCGAUGAAGACUUUAUCUUGGAUAAGCAGCCAAAGAAACAAUUGAACUCUUUUUUUUUUUUUUGGGGGGGGGGGGGGUAACGAUACUAAAAACCGAAAAGGUUAUACACCACCGUAAAGCAAUUAAUCCAAGAAAUGGGAACUGGAUUUUACUGUAUAAAAACCAUUUUACUAUGCAACAAAUUUUUUUUAGGGAUAACGUCAAAAUUUUGUUAUAAAUUAAAAAAUUAAUGAAAUUUUCUAUUUUAGUGAACAUCAUUAAAAUUUUCAUUAGAUCUUAAAAAGUGAUGAAAUCUUGUAUCUUAAGGGAUUAACGUCAAAGUUUUUAUUAAAAUUCAAGAAAUUACAAAAUCUACUAUUUUUAGGAAUUAAUAUAAAAAAUUUAAUAAAAUCUCCUAUUUUAGAGAUUGGUUUUUAUAACCGUGGAGAUUAUAUAUAUACAUAGCAAGGCUAGUGUCAUAAAAUGACAAGCUAUGGACUCUUUGGUUUUUAGGGAUGAGAAUAAUUUUUACAAGUUUUUUAUUCUAAGAAACCGGUGUCUAUUCUUAAAUAAAUUAUAAAUAAAAAUAUAAUAGCAUAAAAUAAUUUAGAAAAACAUAAACAAUGAUAAUUUUUUAUUUAAAAGGUUAUAGUAAAGGUGAUGUUAACCUAAUAUCUGAAUCUUUAAAAAUCCCCAACAAUUUUAGAAUUUCUAAUUUUCUUUGAUUAUUAGGUUUCGACUCUCUUCGUUGCAUUGGUCACGGUGUGUUGCUAAAAUUAACAUCAUGUUUUACUAUCGUUGCACUACAAAAAACAGAAAACAACAUGUAAUGGCUCUUCAAAAUAUAUUUAACGACACUUUUAGUGUCGCUAAAUAUUUUCAAUCUGCAACAGAAUUAUCACAAAUGGUCACUAUAUAUAGUGUCAUAAUUAAGUUAUGCAGUGACACCGAACCCCCUAUAAAAAGAUUGAAGAUCCAAUUUAAUAAUCUGAGGAAUUGAAAAUUAAGGAUUCAAUUUAAUAAUUUAAAGAAAUUUGAUAUGAUUUAUUACUUUCAAAUUAUAUGGACUCGGGUAAAACUUGGUUAAAUAUUAUUGAUUUUUUUUUUUGGAAAAACAAUUUUGGUAAAAAGAUGUCAUUUUAAUCCCUUUAAAUAAAAACUAUUUCAUUGAUGGUAUAUAACUUGCAAGAUAGUAUAGACAUUCAUUACAAGUUAGUUGGGGAUUGUUGGUGUAAUUUAUAAAUGAAUAAAAAAAGAAAUGAUGUCUAUCCCAAAUUAGAAAAAAACACUCCCUCUUAAUGUUUGUAAUUAAGUGUGGGUUUCUAUUGUGUAGUAAAUUAAAUCAUGAUAGAAGAACUCUCCUAGUGGGCUUUCUAAUAUUAUUAUAUAGAUAUUUAUAAUAUCAAAAGAUGACACUUGGAACUUGGAACUUAAUAUAUCAGUGAGAUUAAUUCACCAUUGAAUUAAUUCUCGUAAUUAAUUAUGACAUUUGUGACUGUUGAGAUAAAACUGAAUAAUAAUUAUUCGAUUUAAUUUAAAGUGUAACUCUUUUAUGAACAAUCAUAUUGUUUAAUCAAUAGUCGUACCGUUUCAUCAGCAGUCAUGCCGUUUCAUCAGCAAUCAUAUUAUUUCAUGAACAAUCAUAUUGUUUCAAGUCUAUAAAAACAUGUUACUACACAAAAAAAUCAUAUACAACAAAAAUAUAUAUUCUUUUCUUGGUCUCAUCUUCUCAUUCUUUUAGAGGACUUAGGCUGUGUUUGUUUUCCGCUAGCUUUUGCGCUUGCGGUGAAACCAACGCAGCAAGGUGUUUGGUAAAAACCAAACUAUGUUUUAUGUUGCGAGGCCCACUAAAAAAUUGAGUUUGAAAAACAGUUUUUACAUGUUUUUUUAACUGAGUUUCGUAAAAAUUCCUAAAACCCUAUUUGUUUUGCAUUUCAAAAGCGCUUUUGAAAAAAAUUAAAAAAUUUUAUUUUUUUCUUUACUUCAAAUUAAUAUUUUUUUAUGUUUUCAGAUCAUUUUGAUGUGCUGAUAUCAAAAAUAAUUUUUUAAAUAUAAAAAAAUAUUAUUUUAAUAUAAAAGACACUUUGAAAAGCAACCGCAACCACACUCUCAAACACAACUAUCAAAUAUUUUAUACAUGUUUUUUGUUACACAUAAACUUCAACCAUAUUUUUUACCAAACACGUAUCUAAAUCUAACUAAUCACAGCAAACUGCAUAUUUUUAAAUUUUUUUUUUUCAAAUCACAAUCACAAAAUUAUCUAAAACACAAACAUUUAAAAUAAACACUUUAAAAACAAUAUUUUCACACCUUUAAGCUACCUUCCUAUUUGUUUCCAUUCUAAAUAUUUUCAAGAGUACAUGUACCCUGUUGCUGUUUAAACAGAAAAAGAAGAAGAGGGGGGACAAAUAUGCAGUUCCUUAGAAAAAUAAAAAUACGGCAUUCAUCUGUACUUGGGUUUGAAAUAAGACAUCUUGGCUAUUUGGUUGCUCAAUGAUCCACUUCUUACUAACUUCUGCAACUUACUAGCCUCUGUCAAAAAGGGUUGCUCUGCUCUACUUUUUUCCUGCAGAAAGAAGAAGAAGAAGAAGAAGAAGAAGAAGAAAGGAAGGUGAUUGAGUCCAGACAAUAUGAAUCCUUUCCUCCAGAAAAUCUUGCUCAUUUCUUGGCCUUUUCACACCCAUUGAAAGGAGCUCCAAUCACACAAACCAGCAAUCCUUCCAAACUUUUUCACAUGAUCAGCACACGCAACUGAUAUCCACACAGCCCCAGAGCCUGUAGCUGCCGCCAACAAAACCCCAGCAUCCUCUCCAUGAAUAAACCAAAACACAUCCCUGCCACCCCCUGCUUAUCCACUAAUAACUCCUUAAACUACCCAGAUACAUGACUUCCAUUUUUAGACCCAAAAAUCAAAGAUCAAUAUCAAACCCCAGUCCCUGCUAUGAAAACAGGAUAAAAUCACCUGAUCUCAAAAACCCAGAUAGAUAGAUGCUUGUUUAUAGUUCCAUUACACAAGAGCUAAUUGGUUACUACUUUUGGUUUGGGUAAAUUAGUUUGGAUGGACAGAUAUAUAUUACCGUGAUCCAGUUUGGAAGAUCAGUGGAAUAACAUAAAAUGAAGAGAAGAAAUAGAGAAGCAGAUGAGAAGCAGGAAUUUCAGUAGAAUGCUAUAAUCAGUUGUCCAUAUCAGAUACAUUUCAGUAGAAACUACAGCAUUCUUAACCUAAGGUCAGUAUCAAUCCAAAAUAAUUGCUAUAAAUCGAAGAAGAAAUUACUUUCCACAAAUAAUAAUCCUUAGCCUAGAACUCGGUAGAAUUGAAAAGCACGAGUGUUUCACCUUUGGAACUCAAAAUGGCAUGUCAUUCUCAGUAGAAACAUACAACCAGGAAAAGCCAUCCGCAGUAAGUAACCCCUGACCGAGACUAGACUGAAAAGUUCAAUAAUAUAGGGACUGAAUUGAAAUGUUAGAAACAGUACAGGGACUGUAACAAAAUUCAACCCUCAUCACCAAACCCCAAGUACAUAAACUAACCCUCUCUCUUCAUUUCACAACCAGCAGCCUCCUUCCCCUCACACUCUCCUCUCUCUCUCUCUCAGUUCAUCCUAUCAUCAUUAUCUCUUUUUUAAAAAUAAAAUUAAACCAAACAGAAAAAUGGCAGAGGCACUUUUAUCGCCAAUUUUGGAGCAGUUAACCACGGUCGUUGCUCAACAGGUAAUUACUUUUAUACAAUUUGCAAUGAUCUAAUUAACCCUUACAUGAAUAAGAAAUAUAAAAAUUUAAGUCUUUUUUUUCUUCCAUAAUCUUAUUAUAGACUUUACAAAUACCAACAAAUACAGAUUCUUUUAUUCACUUUCCUUUUAUUCCUUUUAUAUAUUCUUUGAUCCGCCAAGCUUAUGUUAUAUAUAGGUUUGACGUCGAACAAUUUAAGAUUUAUUUUUUUCCUUCUUGUAUAGUAGCAGAGUGCAGACAGAGAUAUCAUCACGAUCAUGAUAAAAAGAAAUAUUAUUAUUUUUAAUAUAUAGGUUCUUCAUAAAUAUUUUAUAUAUAAAUUUAUAAUAUAGCCAAUCCAAUUCACUGUACGUGUGAACUAUGCGGAAAAAAGAUUAAUAAAAAUUAUUUAAUCUAUUAAUUACCAAAAAUUAAAAUUAAAAACUUGUAGUGAAAUCAUAGAACUGUUUCCUCUGCUUGAACUUUCUGAUCUUUUCUACACCAAUAGGUACAGGAAGAGGUGAGCCUAGUAGGGGGUGUGAAGAAACAAGUCGACAAGCUGAAAAGCAAUCUCAUUGCUAUCCAAUCUGUCCUUGAAGACGCAGAUAGAAAACAAGUGAAGGAUAAGGCUGUAAGAGAUUGGGUAGACAAGCUCAAAGAUGUAUGUUAUGAUAUGGAUGACGUGCUAGAUGAAUGGAGCUCAGCAAUUCUUACUUGGAAAAUGGAGGAAGCUGAAGAAAAUACUCGCAGCCUACAGAAGAUGCGAUGUUCCUUCCUGGGAUCUCCUUGCUUUUGUCUCAAUCAAGUGGGUCGACGUCGAGACAUUGCCCUCAAGAUCAAAGAAGUAUGUGAAAAAGUGGAUGACAUUGCGAAAGCGAGAGCUAUGUAUGGCUUUGAGUUGUACAGGGCCACUGAUGAACUCCAACGAAUAACAAGUACCUCCCUUGUUGAUGAAUCAAUCGUGACUGGUCGAGAUGAUGAAAGGGAAGCUGUAGUAAGCAAGUUGCUGGGCGAAAGUAUUCAGGAAGCAGGGGACGUGGAGGUCAUCUCUAUAGUAGGGAUGGGCGGGAUUGGAAAGACAACUCUCGCCCAACUAGCUUUUAAUGAUGCUGAGGUUACGGCUCAUUUUGAGAAGAUAUGGGUGUGUGUUUCAGAUCCAUUUGAUGAGGUUAGGAUAGGCAAAGCUAUCCUCGAGCAGCUUGAAGGGAGGGCACCGGAUUUGGUUGAAUUGCAAUCCCUUUUGCAAAGGGUUUCUGAAUCCAUUAAGGGAAAGAGGUUCCUUCUUGUCCUAGAUGAUGUCUGGACAGAAAAUCAUGGACAAUGGGAACCACUGAAACUCUCUCUCAAAGGCGGUGCACCAGGAAGCAGAAUUCUAGUGACCAGUCGUAAACAUUCUGUGGCAACCAUGAUGGGAACCGACCACAUGAUCAACCUUGAGAGACUGUCUGAUGAGGUAUGCAGGUCAAUAUUCAAUCACGUGGCAUUCCAUAAAAGAAGCAAAGAUGAGUGCGAAAGAUUGACAGAAAUCAGCGAUAAAAUUGCAAACAAGUGCAAGGGAUUGCCUCUAGCUGCCAAGGUAUUAGGAGGUCUAAUGCAGUUUAAAAGAACAAGAGAAGAGUGGGAACAUGUUUUAUCUAGCGAACUGUGGGAGCUAGAACAUGUUGAAAGAGGACUAUUUCCACCUUUGCUUUUAAGUUACUACGAUUUACCUUCUGUGGUAAGACGAUGUUUCUUGUAUUGUGCCAUGUUUCCAAAAGACUACGAGAUGGUCAAAGAUGAAUUGGUGAAGAUGUGGAUGGCUCAAGGUUACCUUAAGGAGACUCCAAGUAGAGAUAUGGAGCUUGUUGGAGAGGAGUACUUUCAAGUCUUAGCAGCGCGCUCUUUCUUCCAAGAUUUUAAGACGGAUGAGUUUGAAGGAAUGAAAUUCAAGAUGCAUGAUAUAGUGCAUGAUUUUGCCCAAUAUAUGACAAAAAAUGAAUGUCUAACAGUGGAUGCCAGUAAACUUGGAGAAGCAACAACAGAGAUUUCAUGUGAAAGGGUUCGUCAUUUAAGCAUGAAGUUAUCAGGGGAGACCUCUUUUCCGGCGUCCAUUCGCAAAGCAAAAGGUCUUCGCAGCCUCUUGAUAGGCAGUAGAGACCCUUCGCUUGGAGCUGCACUACUUGAUGUAUUCAAGCAGUUGACAUGCAUCAGGUCAUUGAAUUUGUCAUGGUCUUCAAUCAAAGAAAUACCAAAGGAGGUAGGGAAAUUGAUACAUUUGAGACACCUCAAUUUGGCAGAUUGUGGAGAGUUGGAGUCCCUGCCAGAAACCACGUGUGAUUUAUGCAAUCUGCAAUCCCUAGACGUUACGUGGUGUCGUUCUCUUAAGGAAUUACCUAAGGCUAUUGGAAAACUUAUCAAAUUGAGGCAUCUCCAGAUUUAUGGUUCAGGUGUGGCCUUCAUACCAAAGGGAAUAGAGAGGAUAACAUGUCUUCGAACAUUAGAUGGGUUUACUGUGUGUGGUGGUGGUGAGAAUGAAAGUAAAGGAGCUAAUCUAAGAGAAUUAAAAAACUUAAAUCUCAUUGGAGGGAGUUUUAGUAUACGGAAUCUAGGAGGAGGUAUAGAAGAUGCGAGUGACGCUGCAGAAGCACAACUCAAGAAUAAGAAGCGCCUGCUUUGUUUGGAAUUGGGUUUCGACUACAACCAGGAGAACGGCAUUUUAAUUGAAGCUUUACAGCCUCCGUCAGACUUGGAAUAUCUAACCAUAUCUAGUUACGGAGGGUUGGAUUUGCCAAAUUGGAUGAUGACAUUGACCAGAUUACAGGUGCUUACACUCCGUUAUUGUGAAAACGUGGAGGUCUUGCCUCCGUUGGGAAGAUUGCCCAACCUUGAAAGCCUGGUAUUGAGCUCGUUGAAGGUGAGAAGGCUGGAUGCUAGAUUUUUAGGUAUAGAAAAGGCUGAGAAUGCCAGUAUUGAUGAAGGAGAAAUUGCAAGGGUCACUGCUUUCCCCAAAUUAAAAAAACUUUGGAUUGAGGGUCUCGAAGAAGUAGAAGAGUGGGAUGGAAUUGAAAUGAGAGUAGGAGAAGAAGAUGCCAACACAACUUCAAUAUCCAUUAUGCCACAACUUCGAGAGUUGAAAAUUCAUAAAUGCCCAUUGCUGAGAGCACUACCAGACUAUGUUUUGACAGCGUCAUUACGGGUGUUUGAACUCGAUGAUUGUACAAACAUGGAGGUCUUGCCUCCGUUGGGAAGAUUGCCCAACCUUGAAAGCCUGGCAUUGAGGUCGUUGAAGGUGAGAAGGUUGGAUGCUGGAUUUUUAGGUAUAGAAAAAGAUGAGAAUGCCAGUAUUAAUGAAGGAAAAAUUGCAAGGGUCACUGCUUUCCCCAAAUUAAAAGAGCUUGGCAUUAGUUAUCUCGAAGAAGUAGCAGAGUGGGAUGGAAUUGAACGGAGAGUGGGAGAAGAAGAUGCCAACACAACUUCAAUAUCCAUUAUGCCACAACUUCGAGAUUUGAUGAUUGUUAAUUGCCCAUUGUUGAGAGCACUACCAGACUAUGUUUUGGCAGCGCCUCUACAGGAAUUAUUCUUUAGUGGUUGCCGCAAUCUAAGGAAACGUUACGGGAAGGAGGAGAUGGGUGAAGAUUGGCAAAAGAUUUCUCACAUCCCAAACAUUUAUUUUCAUGAUAUAUAGGUGAGAAAGACAGAAUUCUUUAAUUAGAACCGGCAGGAACCGGUAAAUUCUUCUAUUUUACUGUAUUUUAACAAAUCUAUUUUCGGCUCUCCAUUUUUUCAUUAAUGUAAUUUAAUUCAAAAAUAAGUGAAAAAUACAAAUUAAUUAAUUAAUCAUUUGUUGAAUUGGAUAUAAUUAUGUCUUUCCCUUUCUCCUCAUUCAUUUAAACAUAUAUAAUCAACCUUAAUAUUUUUAUAUCAUUAUCACAACAAUAAUUUCAUCAUAUUAGUUGGAAUUCAUGAUAAUCUUUAUUAACUAAUCAAUUUGUUAAAAAUAUACUUAUAGCUAGUCUUAAAUAUAUUUUAUUUUUCAAAUUUCUUUUAUUUUAUAAAAAAUACACAAUUAAUCUAUAAUCAUUCUUCCCUUCAUAUAAAGAAUACACAAUUAAUCUACAACAAUAUUAAUAAUAAGAACGUAUUUUACCAUUACAUCUUCUAUAAACCUUAACACCCACACAAUUUUAAUUUCAUCAAAACAUAUAUUUAAUCAAGUUUUUCUAAAUUUUGUCAAAACUAGCAAUAGAUUCAAAAAGUAAUAAGUCAUUCAUCUUAUAUUUUAUUUUCAAAACCAACGGUCAAAAUAUAGAUCUCGAAAUUGUGCACAAUAUAUCUCAAAAUCAAAAAUAUCUAACAGUUGAAUCUCCCUAGAUCUGAAUAAAACCAAGCUAACUUGAAAAUUAACGAGCUAUUGUUCAACAUAAACGACACCUUACCGGAGAGUGUGUUUCCUAUCUCCACCGUCCAGAAUGAAGACAAUAUUUAGGCGCACCACAUAUCCAAAAAUAGAUAUGAUCCAACGGUGGAAGAGAGAGAAAUCAGUCGGCGACCAAAACUUCCCUGCAAGUGUAUUUUCUUUUGUUUUCUAGGAAAUUUCCGAUGAUGAUUUCCGUCAAACGGAUUGUGUGCUUUCAAAUCCCUCCGAUCAGUUAGUACAGGAGAAUGAGAAGAACAAUAUAUCCACAAAUCAGCAUGAUUCAACGGUGUUUGCCAGAGAUAUGGUCACCAGCUCCUUCAAAUUCUACACUUCUCUUUCUAGCCGAAUUUGCUCUAUUGUCUCUCACCUCUUUUUAUUUUGGACUGGUUGGCUGCUAUUUUAAAGGCAUAUUUUUCAUUAAUUAAAAUUGUGUUCCUUAUUUAUGCUUUUAUGUAUUUUAUUUUAUUUUUCAUGUAAACUAUCCGGUUUGUUUCUGCUUAAAUCACUAGUCUUUACCGAACUCUGAUUGGGAUGAGUUCUUUAACAAAGUUAGGAAAACAUAUUAAUAGAUUUCAUGCAAAAUUACAUUCCAAUUCAACGAUUGGAUUGAAAGGUCUUCUUUCUAACGUAAUACUAGUUAAUUCAUAACUUUUCAUUGACCAUCUAGAUUUUAUUUGAAGCAACCCAAAGAAAAUGGAAUGCUCCUUUUAACAUUUACCUUUCAUUGGAUUGUUUUGGUUAUGACACGUUUGCUUCUGGUCUGUAUUUGGCAGCUUGGGCUUAGAAGAUACUUCAGAGCUACUUCAGAGGGGGUUCCGAUUUGGUCCUGCGUUGUGAUUUACUUCUUUGAGUGUAUUAAUUAUUUAUUAUUGAAGUAAGGAGAAAGGAAUUGAAUUUAGAAUGCUAAAAGUAAGCCAUGGGGGCAGCUGAAGCACAGAGGUAGUAAUUAAGCAAGUAAUCUAGCUAGAUUGCUGCCCUUGGAAGUUAUUAGUGUCACUUCCAAUGCAAGUUCUCUACAAUUUUUAAUCUUUGUAUGAAGGCUUCAUGCAUGAAAUAAUUUAUUGCUGGAGGAGGAGCAGGGGCCCUAGCUGCUGUUUAAUACCGAGGCACUUUGUAAUUUUUAAAAAUGUUUUAUUUUUAUUUUUAUCUAAAGAUAUAUUAAAAUAUCUUCUUAGAUUUGUUUUUAUUUUUUAUACUAAUACAUUAAAAUUAUAAAAAAACAUUAAAAAUAUAUUAAUUUGAUUUUUUUUAAGCCAAGUGCACUUUUAAUUUAAAAUACUUCUAGACAUAAUUUCAAACGUAAAAACAAAAAGAUUUAUGAAUCUUAUCAGCCCCAAGGUUGUGUGGUGCAGUUAUUAUUGUAAUGUAGAUACAUUUUUUUAAAUCAAUAUGUUUGUAAAAUCUAAAAGUUAACUCUUUAUUUAAAUUAUUUAAAUAACAUGAUAUGAGAUAUCAUGCAUAAUUAUUAGAUUAAUUAAUUCUAAAAAUUUAAUUAAUUAAUUCUGAAAUUAACAAUAAAAAUUAUUUAUGUUGCAUAAUGUAAAUUGUCAAAUCUUUUUUUUUUAACAUCUAAAUCUAUUGAGUUAAUGUAACUCGUAUAUAAAACUAUAUUUUAACAACAAAUUUUGUCCAUGCUUUUCUCAGAGGGAAGAUUGUUAAAGAGUUCAACUAAACCAUGAAAAAAAAAAUUCACGUAAUACCCAGAAGUAAAAAUCGAGGGACUUUUCGUUUCUUAUUCUUCGGUGUUUUUUUUUUUUUUUUUUUUUUUUCUUUCAUUUUUGUGAUUUCUUCUUCUUCUUGUUCUCUAAUGGUGUCUUCUUUAUCGAUCUUGUAUACGCUGAAAUUUAGACUGUGUUUGGAAAUGAGAUGUAAAUCAUGUCUCUAAAAUUUUGAGUUUUUUUUUUUGUUUAAAAUGAAUUGUUUUUUAUAUGUUUUCAUAUUUGAUGUGCUGAUGUCAAAAAUAAUUUUUAAAAAAUAAAAAAACUUUUAUUUUGAUGCAUUUCUAAUCGAAAAACACUUUGAACCCACACCACUACCACAAUCGCAAACAAGCCCUUAGCUUGGGUUUCGAAUGCGGGACGGCGUUGCGUCAAUACCAAGAGUGUUUUUUUUUUUUUUUUAGAAUUUUCAAAUUAAUUUUCUUUUUAAAAAUGGUAAUUAAAUUACUUGUUUUUAUGAUUUUAAUGUAUUAAUAUGAAAAAUAAAAAAAAUCUAAAAGACAUUAUUAUCUCAAUAUAUUUUAAAUAAAAAAAAACUUUAUACGCCCCUUGUAGACUCAGGUAAAAAGUUAUUUUUUAAAAAAGAAAUAAUUUAAUAAAAAAAAUAUUAUUUGAUUUUCUUUUAAAAAUAAUUAAACUUACAAACUCUAACCUUUUUUUGAGUCUGUUUGUCUACACGGCAAUUGUAGGACCCACAAAAAAUAGGUAGAAACACAAUUUCAUGAGAAGCAUCUUGCACCAGCUUCGACGACACUAUUAACUUUUGUUAAGUGAAAUAGUGCAGAGUGAAUUAAUUCACUCUGCACACAAAAAUGAACACGUGAACAGUAAAAAAAAUCUGAUUUUUUAUUUGAAAAAUUAGUGUUUAACAUUAUUUAAUGACACUACAUAAAUUAGAAGGAGAUCGCAUGAUGGCGUAACAUUUGCAUAAUUUUAUCGUAAUCCCAAUUUGUUUCUAAUGAUUUUUUAUCUAAUUUUGUUGUACGCUCAAAAAACCAUGAAAACUAUAGUCCUUGUAGGAUGAAUUUUGUAUGUGAUGGAAUUGUAGAUAGUUUAAUGGAACAAUAAUUUUUUUUUAUAUAAAAUAUUAUUUAUUUCAUAGUAUAAUAGCAGUAGUUAAAUCUAUAAUAUUUAAAUUAAAAACCAUUAAUAUUAAUAUAUAUCACCAAACACAUUAAAUAACUUUUUGUUCAACCUCAAUUUCAAUUACAAUUUUAACCAAAUAUAUAUAAAAAUAUCAAACCAACCUCAACCAAAAAUAUUUUUUAUAAAAUAAUUUUUUUCAAACAACAAUCAUAAAAAUUACUACAAUACAAAACACACUCAAAGUAAAGUUUUAAAAAUUAUGGUUAAAACUGGUUCAAGGCCUUCAUUGAGCCCAAUGUGAAGAGGCCCAACCUAGCGUCAUAAAAGCCCAAUAGUCUCUUCUCCGCCACCACCAGGCCAUGCCAUUUAUAUAAGCAAACGAAUAUGCUGCGAAGAGCUUAGGCCUGAAAACGGGAGAAAAGUUUGACACUGCUUUGUCUCCUAAAUAGACACCGGAUGACUAUUACACCCUUGUUAUGGUUUCUGAUUCAGCGAAAAGGAGGGUAUUACGGUAAUUGGAACAACUUGAAUCGAGAAUCUGAACCGCUGUAUUCCUCCGCAAAGAAGCACACACUAUUGAUAACUCGGCCAACUCGGUUGAUUACUCAAUGUAAUUAAUUAUAGCCUUAUUUUGAAUCACCAGCUUGCUACAAGUCUUCAAGCUUUGAAAUGACUGGUGGCGUACCACUAUUCCACUGGUAAGGAAAAGAAAUCUCUUCAAAGUCACCAAGGAACUCUUUUUUUAGACAAUAGUGGAGAUUUUAUUAAAAAUUUUGGCUAAAAUGAGAAUAGCCUGAUAAAAAAAAAAAGCAACAACAGAGAAGAUAAAAUAAAGAAGAUAUAAAAGCAACCAUCUAGUAGAUGGUCCAGUGAUAAGAGCUUGAAACUAAAUAUGCUUCUUCUGUGGUCUCAGGUUCGAGCCAUGAAGUUGUUAAUAUUGAUGGUCACUUGAAACUUACCUGGUCGUUAAUUUCAAGAUUUAUGAGGAUUAGUUGAGGUGCGCACAAUCUGAGCCGAACAACACACAUUAAUAAUAAUAAAAAAAGACCAAACAAUAAAUAAAAACUAGAAAUCAACUUCUGUUAUCCUCCAAAAAAUCCCGUUAUAGUUGAUCCCUAAAUCAAAUCGGUGUAAGCAAAAGUUGUGCUAUCAAACUUCAAGCAUAAAGAGGACCUAUGGACGACCAAGUAAAAAUAACCUUGAAAAUCUGGAGUCAUUGAAGAUUACAUCAUUUUGAUGUAGCCAUAGACUCCACGCAAUACAAGAAAAGAGAAGUCGUCAUGAAAGAUUAUGAAAUUUUCCUUGCACCAUUGGGAGCACAUAUUAUCAAUAAAAAUUGAGAAACAACCACUAAUAUCCCCAUCAAGAUAAAAAUUCCAUCCAUAACUUCCAGGAAAAAACACAUUGAAUAAAGAGAUGGCUUGAAGUAUCAAAACUUCUUUUACAAAACACCCAUCUAGCUUGCUGAAGAGAAAUGAAAUCAUGCUGGAACAAAAAAUCAUGUGUGAAGACUUUAUCUUGAAAAAGUAGCCAAAGAAACAAUUAAACUUUUCUUUUUUUAUUUUUUAUUUUUUGGGGAGGGGGGGUUUUAGGUUGAACACCACUAUAAAGCAAUAGAUCCAAGAGAUAUAAAGCAAUAGAUCCAAAAGAGAUGGAAACUGGAUUUUAUUGUACAAAGACCAUUUUACUAUACAGCAAAAAAUUAAUAGCAUUCAUAUCUAUUGUCAUGAUUAAUUAAGUAUUGAAAAAAAUAUCAAGAAAAAUAAUAUCAUAACAAAUAGAGAGUUCAAAAUUUUUGUUAAAAUUCAAAAGAAUGGUGAAAUGUCCUAUUUUUAGGGAUAAUGUCAAAAAUUUCACUAAAUUUAAAAAAGUGAUGAAAUUUCAAAUCAUCAGGGAUUAACAUCAUUUUUGUUAAAUUAUUUUUUUAUUUUAAAUUAAUAUCUUUUUGAUAUUUUUAAAUCAUUUUGAUGUGCUGAUGUCAAAAAUAAUUUUAAAAAAUAAAAAUAUAUUAUUUUAAUGUGUUUUAGAAUAAAAAAUACUUUAAAAAACAACUACUACCAUACUAUAUAGUGUCAUAAUUAAGUUGAUGCAGCGAAAUCAAACCCCCUAUAAAAAAAGAUUAAAGAUCCAAUUUAAUAAUUUGAUGAACUGAAAAUUAAGGAUUCAAUUUAAUAAUUUCAAGGAAUUUGAUAUGAUCUAUUACUUUCAAAUUAUAUGUAAUCUUCUUUUUUUUUUAAUGAAAAAGAGGUUUGAAUUCAAGAUUUUCUAGAUAGAAAAAUGCCAAUAUCAUUGAAGUUACAACUCAUUGAAGAUAGUUCAAUGCAUAUGAUAAUUAGAAAACUUGUUAUCCAUUAAUGCUAACAAGAUGAUCAAACUUGGAAAAUCAGUUUUUAUACAGUUGAUAAAUAAACCUGGUCCUCGAAGAACCUGCUUUCAAGUCUCGUUAAGGAACGUUUGGGAACGCGGUUGCGGUUGCGUUCCUAAAAAAUUUAAAAUUUUUUUUUCUAAAAUUUAAUAUGAUUUAUAUGUUUUGGAUCGUUUUGAUAUGCUGAUGUUAAAAAUAAUUUUUAAAAAAUAAAAAAACAUCAUUGACAUGCAUUUUAGCACAAAAAUUUAUUUGAAAAGCACCCACAACAACACUGUCAAACACGCUCGAAUUGCUUAGCCUGCAAGAACCCUAAUUCCCGCAAGAACCCUGCUUUGAAGUUUUUCAAUUGCAUGAGUUGCUUUUAUUUCCUCUGUCAUUCCCAUUUUCUUUGUUUAUCAUUUACUCCUCUAAUGGUCAUCCAAUCUUCUCUUUACUUCAGGUAUAUACGUACAUCACAUCAAUUUCAUUUUUCAACCUACAAGUUGUGCUCUCCCUUUACCACAGCCCUACAAAAACUAAUAAAAAAAUGAGACACUAAAAUACAAGCUUCACUAGUAAAAAAAGCUACAAGUUGCAAGAACUCCACCUGCAACACCAAACCCUAAGUAUAUAAUUAAACUAACUUCCAUUCACAAUCAGCCGCCUCCUUCCCUUCACCCUCUCUUUCUCUCUGCUCAUCCCAUCAUCAUUGCUUCUCUCUCUCUCUCUCUCUCUCUCUCUCCAAGCAGAACUAAACAGACGAUGGCCGAGGCACUUGUAUCUCCGAUCUUGGAGCAGUUAACCACGAUCGUUGUUCAAAAGGUAUUUUUCUACCAUCUGCAAUAACCUGAUUUACCUAGCAGGGAUAAGAAAUAUAAAGGUCAAGCCUUUUUUCUUCCUAUCAUAAAAAGAAUACUUUUAACUUGAAUAAAUAAAAAUAAUAUUUUAAAUCCUCAAGUAUAUAUUUGGAUUUCAUUAAAGAAUCUUCCUUUUCUUGUUUUAUUAUUUUUCAUAUUUCCAAAUAUAAUCUAAAGAAGAGUAGAGUUGCCAAUUCUCUUUAAACUAACUAUUAAGGGUAAAAUAAUCAAUAAAAAGUUCAAAGGAUUAGCGAGUGAGUAUUUGGUGUGAAUUAAAACUAUAUAGUUAACACACAAUCUUAUUAUCAUGGCUUUAUUUCUAAAUUGACUUCACAAAUAUAUACAUGCAGAUCCUUUUAUUCACUUGCCUUUAUACAUCCAUAUAUCUAUAGUUUAAUGUAAAAUGAAAACCAGAUUUUAUACCGGUUCAAAGGAGAAAUCCUUCUCUCGUGAGAACAUUGAACUCUUUCCAUGCCUAUAUUAUUAAUUAUAUAUAUAUAUAUACACGUACAGGUUUAACGUUUUACGAUUUAAGAUUCAUUUUAUACCUUCUUGUACAGUAGCAUAGUGCAUACUGAUAUCAUCAUAAUGAUGAUAAAAAGAAAAAAGAAAUAUUAUUAUUUCUAAUAAAUAUUUUUUAUAUAAAUUAUUAAUAUAGUCAAUCCAUUUCACAAUAAAAUAUAUUAAUACAAAAUUAAUAGAAAUGUUUCCUAUGCUUGAACUUCCUUGUCUUUUCUACACUAAUAGGUACUGGAAGAGGUGAACCUAGUAGGGGGUGUGAAAUUGUCUUAAAAUCACAGAGAUGUUUCCUAUGCUUAACUUUUCUUUUCCUUUGUAAACUAAUAGGUACAAGAAGAGGUGAACCUAGUAGUGGGUGUGAAGAAAGAAGUCGACAAGCUGAAAAGCAAUCUCCUUGAUAUCCAAUCUGUCCUUGAAGAUGCAGAUAGAAAACAAGUGAAGGAUAAGGCUGUAAGAGAUUGGGUAGACAAGCUCAAAGAUGCAUGUUAUGAUAUGGAUGACGUGCUAGAUGAAUGGAGCACUGCAAUUCUUAGAUGGAAAAUGGAGGAAGCUGAAGAAAAUACUCACAGCCGACAGAAGAUACGAUGUUCCUUCCUGAAAUCUCCUUGCUCUUGUCUCAAUCAAGUGGUUCGACGUCGCGACAUUGCCCUUAAGAUCAAAGAAGUUAGUGAAAAAGUGGAUGACAUUGCUAAAGAGAGAGCUAAGUAUGGCUUUGAUCUGUACAAAGCCACUGAUGAACUCCAGCGACUAACAACUACCUCCUUUGUUGAUGAAUCAAGCGUGAUUGGUCGAGAUGGUGAAAAGAGAAAUGUUGUAAGCAAGUUGCUGGCUGAAAGUAGUCAAGAAGCACGGGACGUGGAAGUCAUCUCUCUAGUAGGGCUGGGCGGAAUUGGAAAAACAACUCUCGCCCAGCUAGCUUUUAAUGAUUCUGAGGUUACGGCUCAUUUUGAGAAAAAGAUAUGGGUGUGUGUUUCAGAACCAUUUGAUGAGGUUAGAAUAGCCAAAGCUAUCCUUGAGCAGCUUGAAGGGAGACCAACGAAUCUGGUUGAAUUGCAAUCCCUUUUGCAAGGGGUUUCUGAAUCCAUCAAGGGAAAGAGGCUCCUUCUUGUCCUUGAUGAUGUCUGGACAGAAAAUCACGGACAAUGGGAAAAACUGAAACCAUCUCUCACAGGCUGUGCUCGAGGAAGCAGAAUUCUAGUGACCACUCGUAAGGACGCUGUGGCAACGAUGAUGGGAACUGACCACCGGAUCAACAUUGAGAAAUUGUCUGAUGAGAUAUGCAGGUCAAUAUUCAAUCACGUGGCAUUCCAGGAAAGAAGCAAAGAUGAGCGCGAAAGAUUGACAGAUAUCGGCGAUAAAAUUGCAAACAAGUGCAAGGGCUUGCCUCUAUGUAUGGACAGAAAAUCAUAGACAAUGGGAACAACUGAAACCAUCUCUCAAAGGCAGUGCACCAGGAAGCAGAAUUCUAGUGACCACUCGUAAACAUUCUGUGGCAACGAUGAUGGGAACUGACCACCUUUGCUUUUGAGUUACUACGAUUUACCUUCUGUGGUAAGACGAUGUUUCUUGUAUUGUGCCAUGUUUCCAAAAGACUACAAGAUGCGCAAAUAUGAAUUGGUGAAGAUGUGGAUGGCUCAAGGUUACCUCAAGGAGACUUCAGGUGGAGAUAUGGAGCUUGUUGGAGAGCAGUACUUUCAAGUCUUAGCAGCGCGCUCUUUCUUCCAAGAUCUUAAGGCGUAUCAAGAAGUUAUCAGAUUCAAGAUGCAUGAUAUAGUGCAUGAUUUUGCCCAAUAUAUGACAAAAAAUGAAUGUCUAACUGUGGAUGUCUAUACACUUGGAGAAGCAACAAUGGAGACUUCAAUUGAAAGGGUUCGUCAUUUAAGCAUGAUGCUGUCACAGGAGACCUCUUUUCCCAAGUUCAUUCAGAAAGCAAAAGGUCUUCGCAGCCUCUUGAUCGACACUUGAGACCCUUCACUUGGAGCUGCACUACCUGAUCUAUUCAAGCAGUUGACAUGCAUCAGGUCAUUGAAUUUGGCAAGGUCUCGAAUCAAAGAAAUACCAAACGAGGUAGGGAAAUUGAUACAUUUGAGACACCUCAAUCUGGCAUCUUGUAUGGUGUUGGAGUCCCUGCCAGAAACCAUGUGUGAUUUAUGCAAUCUGCAAUCCCUAGACGUUACUUGGUGUGGUUCUCUCAAGGAUUUGCCUAAUGCGAUUGGAAAACUUAUCAAAUUGAGGCAUCUCCGGAUUGAUGGUUCAGGUGUGGCCUUCAUACCAAAGGGAAUAGAGAGGAUAACAUGUCUUCGAACAUCAGAUAAGUUUCCUGUGUGUGGUGAUGGUGAGAAUGAAAAUAAAGCAGCUAAUCUAAGAAGAUUAAAAAACUUAAAUCACAUUGGAGGGAGUCUUGAGAUACAGAAUCUAAGAGGAGGUAUAGAAGAUGCAAGUGACGCUGCAGAAGCACAACUCAAGAAUAAGAAGCGCCUGCGUCGUUUGGAAUUGUAUUUCGACGAAGAGAAAACAGAGUUGCAAGCGAAUGAAGGCUCUUUAUUUGAAGCUUUACAGCCUCCGUCAGACUUGGAAUAUCUAGCCAUAGGGUUUUACGGAGGGCUGGAUUUGCCAAAUUGGAUGAUGACAUUAACCAGAUUACAGGAGCUUACACUCGAUGUUUGCAAAAACGUGGAGGUUUUGCCUCCGUUGGGGAGAUUGCCCAACCUUGAAAGCCUCCAAUUAAACGUAUUGUUGAAGGUGAGAAGGCUGGAUGGUGGAUUUUUAGGUAUAGAAAAAGAUGAGAAUGCCAGUAUUAAUGAAGGAGAAAUUGCAAGGGUCACUGCUUUCCCCAAAUUAAAAACACUCAACAUUUGGCAUCUCCAAAAAGUAGAAGAGUGGGAUGGAAUUGAAAGGAGAUCAGUGGGAGAAGAAGAUGCCAACACAACUUCAAUAAUAUCCAUUAUGCCACAGCUUCGACUGUUGAGAAUUUUCCUCUUUACUGUUUAUUGUUGACUUUGGAUUGUAUUUCCGACUUACCAUUUAUUGUGUCAUAUACCCCCCCCCCUCUCUCUCUCUCUCUCAACAUAUAUAAAAUAAUAUGUAAUUCAUAUGUAUAUAUUUAAAGAGUAGUUAAGACAGACAGGAAGAGGUAAUUUUUUAUUUAAUUAUUGAAUUAGACUUAAAUUUUACAUGUUAAAAAAAUUAAUCUAAGAUGAUAUUAUCUCGCUCACGUGAAGAUUAUUCCUUACUUAAAUUCUCCAGUGUAGGUCAAUGUUUUUGAUUCUUGACUUUGUUUUUGAUUUACUAAUUCUUGUUUUGUUAACCAAAACAUUUUACCAUUACUUCUUUUGAUAUAUUUAUUUUGUUCAGAGCGGCUUCCGAUUUGGUUCUGCGUUGUGAUUUACUUCUUUGAUUGUAUUAAUUAUUUAUUAUUGAAGUAAGAAGAAAGGAAUUGAAUUUAGAAUGCUAAGUAAGGCAUGGUGGCAGCUGAGGCACAGAGGUAGUAAUAUUAAUACAUUAGAACUAUAAUUUGUUGCUGCCCUUGGAAGGUAUUAGUGUCACUUCCAAUGCAUGGAAUAAUUUACCUGCUUUUUGGUUGAAAUUUGUAUAUUCUUUUUAUGUUAAGUUAGUGUUUCAAAACUAUAAAUUAUAUCUUGUAUUAAGACAAUUCAAUUAUAUUAUGAAGUUGAUUUUGUUAUUAAUACUGCGUUGAACUCUGAUUAAGUUAGGAUAAAUUGUGUAUAAGUUAGGGUUCACAUAGAUAUGAAACCUUGAAAGAAAAUCUUGUUUAUGUACCAGUCAUGGAUCCGGGAUCGUCAUAAAUUUGGUCAGAGACGUCGAAACAUUGCGACUCCAGUAACGUAACAAAGGGAACCAGUCCACCACAGGCUUCCGUCAUUACAUGUUCAAAAAUCUCAGAAAUAAUAUCAUUCAUCAGGUACAGAAAAGAACAUUAUGACCGGUAAGGUAGUUAUAAUUAACUAGAGAUGUAAGGACUCAGAAAUUUAUUACUGUGAAAAGAAGAAACAUUUACCAUCAUUCGAAUUACAGUUAGCCAUCUUUAGCAAGUAAAAAAAGCCAACCCCGUGUAAAGAUAGUUACUGCAACCUCCGAUUCAAUCUAAAUUUGGUGUUUCUUCAUCCUCAAUCUUUUCUGAAAAAUAAGAUAGUGUAUGAAAGAAAGAUUGUAUGACUUAAGAGAGAAGAAACAGGUAAUAUCAUCAUAAGCAUUGAAGUGGCUUCUAGAUGUGUUUUUUGUAAUAAAAGCUUCGAAUUUUCAAGCCACCUCUUCAUCCACUUUGCUUGGAAUCUAUGAAUGAAAUUCCUUACAAAUGGGGUAUUAGCAGUGUUUUCUCAAAAUCUGUUGAUGAUAUGUGUUACCAACGGUUUUCUAUGGUGAAAGGCAAUCAACAAAAUCUCUUAUGGCAGCUUCUCUUCUCCUGCGUUAUGUGGAAUUUUUGGCUUUAUCGGGAUGAUGUCAUCUUUAAUAGGGCUGCUCCAAAUCUUCAAAGCUGUUUUUCCUUGGUCUUCCGCAGUUUCUCAUUAUGGCUGAGACUCGAUACCAAUUCUUCAGACUCUGCUGGCGAGAUGUUCAUAACAGCUAUGAUGGCAUUGGUUUUGUAGAAAGGAGGCGCUGAUUUCAAUUGUUUUUUUCCUUUUCCCACACUGUUUUCCUUCCCCUGUUUCAAAACCUCUAAAGCUUGUUGGCUUCUUCUUUUUUAUUUUUUCAGCUAGAACUUCUGUAUGCUAGGCUAUUAUUUUUUUAGCCAUUUUCUUAUAGUACUCUCGAUUAUAAUAAUUAAAAAAAAAACAUCUGAAGUGGCUGAAUAAGCUUCGGUUCCAUCUCCAUCAGGUUUGAGUAACUCGGCCAACUCAGUCGAUUACUCUAGCAUUAUUUUGAGUCACCAGCUAGCUACAAGUCUUCAAGCUUUGAAAUGACUAGCUAGUGGCGUUCCACUAUGCCACCGGUAAGGAAAAGAAAUCUCUUUAAAUUCACCAAGGAACUUUGCUUUUAGACAGCAGUGGAGAUUUUAUUAAAAAAUUUGGCUAAAAUGAGAAUAGCCUAAUAAGAACCUAAAAAAAAAAAAAAAAACAACCGUAGAGAAGAUAAAAUAAAGAAGACAUAAAAGCACGGUAUCUACAAUAGGAAAAAGAAAACAGGGACCAGACAAUUGAUAAAAACUAGAAGUCAACAAAAAAAAUUAACAUCAUAUUUUACUAUCAUUACACUAUAUAUAUAAAAAAAAACAAUAUGUAAUGGCUCUUCAAAAUAUAUUUAUAAAAGAGAUCUUUAUAAAAGAGAUUAAAAGAUCCAAUUUAAUAAUUUGAUGAAAUUGAAAAUUAAAGAUUCAAUUCCUUACUGAAGAGCUGCUUUUAUUUCCUCUGCCAUUCCGAUUUUCUUUGAUUCUCAUUUAAUCCUUUUAUGGUCAUCAAAUCUUUCUCAUUACUUCAGGUAUAUAAGUACAUCACAUCAAUUUCAAUCUUUUAUUUUUUAUUUUUUAUAACAAGUUGUGAAUCAUAUCAAUUUCUUUUUUCAACCUACAAGUUGUGCUGAUCUCCCUUCACCACAGCCCUACAAAAACUAAUAGAAACAUGUUGACACACUAAAAUACAAGCUUCACUAGUAAAAAAAUACUACAAGUUGCAAGAACUCCACCGCAACGCCAAACCCUUUUGGGCUUGUUUGUUUCUGCGUUUCAAAAAUGCUUUUGACAAAAUUUAAAUUUUUUUUAUUUUUUUAUUAACUUUAAAUUAAUAUGUUUUUAGUGUUUUUAAAUCAUUUUGAUGUGCUGAUGUUAAAAAUAAUUUUUAAAAAAUAAAAAAACAUCUUUAGCAUGUAUUUUGACAUAAAAAACUAUUUAAAAAAUAACCGCAAUCACACUGAGAAACACAUAUAAACUAACUUCCAUUCACAAUCAGCCGCCUCCUUCCCUUCACCCUCUCUUUCUCUCUGCUCAUCCCAUCAUCAUUGCUUCUCUCUCUCUCUCUUUCCAAUCAGAACUAAACAGACGAUGGCUGAGGCACUUCUAUCUCCGAUCUUGCAGCAGUUAACCACGAUCGUUGCUCAACAGGUAUUUUUCUACCAUCUGCAAUAACCUGAUUUACCUAGCAGAGAUAAGAAAUAUAUAUGAAGUUCAAGCCUUUUUUCUUCCUAUCAUAAAAAUAAUACUUUUAACUUGAAUAAAUAAAAAUAAUAUUUUAAAUCCUCAAGUAUAUAUUUCGAUUUUAUUAAAGAAUCUUCUGUUUCUUGUUUUAUUAUUUUUCAUAAUUCCAAAAAUAACAUAAAGAAAAUAUAUCAUUCCAAAUAUAGGAAAACCGAAAAAGGCAAAACAAGAAUUGCCAAUUCUCUUUAAACUUAACCAUUAAGGGUAAAAUAAUCAAUAAAAAGUUCAAAGGAUUAGCGAGCGAGUAUUUGGUGUGAAUUAACACACAAUCUUAUUAUCAUGCCUUUAUUUCUAAAUUGACUUCACAAAUAUAUACAUCCAUCACUUGCCUAUAGUUUAAUGUAAAAUGAAAACCAGAUUUUAUGUCGGUUCAAAGGAGAAAUCCUUCUCUCGUGAGAACAUUGAACUCUUUCCAUACCUAUAUUAAUUAUAUAUAUAUAUAUAUAUAUACACGUACAGGUUUAACAUUUUACCAUUUAAGAUUCAUUUUAUACCCUCUUGUACAGUAGCAUAGUGCAGACUGAUAUCAUCAUCAUGAUGAUAAAAAGAAAAAAGAAAUAUUAUUAUUUCUAAUAAAUAUUUUUUAUAUAAAUUAUUAAUAUAGUCAAUCCAUUUCACAAUAAAAUAUAUUAAUACAAAAUAGAAAUGUUUCCUAUGCUUGAACUUCCUUGUCUUUUCUACACUAAUAGGUACAGGAAGAGGUGAACCAAGUAGGGGGUGUGAAAUUGUCUUGAAAUCACAGAAAUGUUUCCUAUGCUUAACGUUUCUUUUCCUUUGUACACUAAUAGGUACAAGAAGAGGUGAACCUAGUAGUGGGUGUGAAGAAACAAUGUGACAAGCUGAAAAGCAAUCUCCUUGAUAUCCAAUCUGUCCUUGAAGAUGCAGAUAGAAAACAAGUGAAGGAUAAGGCUGUAAGAGAUUGGGUAGACAAGCUCAAAGAUGCAUGUUAUGAUAUGGAUGACGUGCUAGAUGAAUGGAGCACUGCAAUUCUUAGAUGGAAAAUGGAGGAAGCUGAAGAAAAUACUCCCAGCCGACAGAAGAUACGGUGUUCCUUCCUGGGAUCUCCUUGCUUUUGUUUCAAUCAAGUGGUUCGACGUCGCGACAUUGCCCUGAAGAUCAAAGAAGUUAGUGAAAAAGUGGAUGACAUUGCCAAAGAGAGAGCUAAGUAUGGCUUUGAUCUGUACAAAGCCACUGAUGAACUCCAGCGACGACCAACAAGAACAAGUACCUCCUUUGUUGAUGAAUCAAGCGUGAUUGGUCGAGAUGGUGAAAAGAAAACUGUUUUAAGCAAGUUGGUGGGUGAAAGUAGUCAGGAAGCACGGGACGUUGAUGUCAUCUCUCUAGUAGGGCUGGGCGGAAUUGGAAAAACAACUCUCGCCCAACUAGCUUUUAAUGAUGCUGAGGUUACGGCUCAUUUUGAGAAAAAGAUAUGGGUGUGUGUUUCAGAACCAUUUGAUGAGGUUAGAAUAGCCAAAGCAAUCCUUGAGCAGCUUGAAGGGAGACCAACGAAUUUGGUUGAAUUGCAAUCCCUUUUGCAAGGGGUUUCUGAAUCCAUUACUGGAAAGAGGCUCCUUCUUGUCCUUGAUGAUGUCUGGACAGAAAAUCAUGAACAAUGGGAAAAACUGAAACCAUCUCUCACAGGCUGUGCACGAGGAAGCAGAAUUCUAGUGACCACUCGUAAGGACGGUGUGGCAACGAUGAUGGGAACUGACCACCGAAUCAACAUUGAGAAAUUGUCCGAUGAGAUAUGCAGGUCAAUAUUCAAUCAUGUGGCAUUCCAGGAAAGAAGCGAAGAUGAGCGCGAAAGAUUGACAGAUAUCGGCGACAAAAUUGCAAACAAGUGUAAGGGCUUGCCUCUAGCUGCCAAGGUAUUAGGAUGUCUAAUGCAGUCUAAAAGAACAAGAGAAGAGUGGGAACGUGUUUCAUCUAGCGAACUGUGGAGGCUAGAUGAGGUUGAUAGAGAUCAGGUUGAAAGACGAAUAUUUAUACCUUUGCUUUUGAGUUACUAUGAUUUACCUUCUGUGGUAAGACGAUGUUUCUUGUAUUGUGCCAUGUUUCCAAAAGACUACGAGAUGGGAAAAUAUGAAUUGGUGAAGAUGUGGAUAGCUCAAGGUUACCUCAAGGAGACUUCAGGUGGAGAUAUGGAGCUUGUAGGAGAGCAGUACUUUCAAGUCUUAGCAGCGCGCUCUUUCUUUCAAGAUUUUGAGACGUAUGGUCGAGAAGGUAUUAGAUUCAAGAUGCAUGAUAUAGUGCAUGAUUUUGCCCAAUAUAUGACAAAAAAUGAAUGUCUAACAGUGGAUGUCAAUACACUUGGAGGAGCAACAGUGGAGACUUCAAUUGAAAGGGUUCGUCAUUUAAGCAUGAUGCUGCCCAACGAGACCUCUUUUCCCGUGUCCAUUCACAAAGCAAAAGGUCUUCGCAGCCUCUUGAUCGACACUAGAGACCCUUCGCUUGGAGCUGCACUACCUGAUUUAUUCAAGCAGUUGACAUGCAUCAGGUCAUUGAAUUUGACAGGGUCUCAAAUCAAAGAAAUACCAAACGAGGUAGGGAAAUUGAUACAUUUGAGACACCUCAAUUUGGCAAGGUGUGUAGAGUUGGAGUCCCUGCCAGAAACCAUGUGUGAUUUAUGCAAUCUGCAAUCCCUAGACGUUACUUGGUGUCAGUCUCUCAAGGAAUUGCCCAAGGCGAUUGGAAAACUUAUCAAAUUGAGGCAUCUCCGGAUUGAUAGUUCAGGAGUGGCCUUCAUACCUAAGGGAAUAGAGAGGAUAACAUGUCUUCGAACAUUAGAUGUGUUUAAUGUGUGUGGUGGUGGUGAGAAUGAAAGUAAAGCAGCUAAUCUAAGAGAAUUAAAAAACUUAAAUCACAUUGGAGGGAGUCUUAGUAUACCGAAUCUAGGAGGAGGUAAAGAAGAUGCGAGUGACGCUGCAGAAGCACAACUCAAGAAUAAGAAGCGCCUGCUUAGUUUGGAAUUGGGUUUCGACAGAGAGAAAACAGAGUUGCAAGCGAAUGAAGGCUCUUUAAUUGAAGCUUUACAGCCUCCGUCAGACUUGAAAAAUCUAACCAUAACUAGGUACGGAGGGUUGGAUUUGCCAAAUUGGAUGAUGACAUUAACCAGAUUACAGGAACUGACACUCAUUGACUGUACAAACGUGGAGGUCUUGCGUCCGUUGGGUAGAUUGCCCAACCUUGAAGGCCUGGUAUUGAUGUUGUUGAAGGGGAGAAGGUUGGAUUUUGGAUUUUUAGGUAUAGAAAAAGAUGAGAAUGCCAGUAUUAAUGAAGGAGAGAUUGCAAGGGUCACUGCUUUCCCCAAAUUAAAAACACUUUGGAUUUUGAAUCUUGUAAAAGUAGAAGAGUGGGAAGGAAUUGAAAGGAGAGUGGGAGAAGAAGAUGCCAACACAACUUCAAUAAUAUCCAUUAUGCCACAGCUUCGACUGUUGAUGAUUGAUGGUUGCCCGUUGUUGAGAGCACUACCAGACUAUGUUUUGGCAGCGCCUCUACAGGAACUACGCAUAAUUAGAUGCCCCAAUCUAAGGAAACGUUACGGGAAGGAGGAGAUGGGUGAAGAUUGGCAAAAGAUUUCUCACAUCCCAAAGAUUUCUAUUAAAGAAUAGUUAAGACACCACUACGUACGGAAGUCUGUAGGACCGGCAGGAAGAGGUAUGUUUGAUAUACCUCUUUACUGUAUAUUGUUGACUUUGGAUUGUAUUUCCUACUUACCAUUUAUUCUAUCAAAUGCAGCAUAAAAUUACCUCUCUCUCACAUCCUCUCUCUCCCUCCCAACAUAUAUAAAAUAAUAUGUAAUUCAUAUGUUUAUAUUUAAAGAAUAGUUUAGACCGGCAGGAAGAGCUAAUUUUUUAUUUAAUUAUUGAAUUAUACUUAAAUUUCAAAGGUUGUUGCAAUUUAAGCUCUCUCUCUUAUUUUUUUCUCUCUCUCAUUUUCUUGUCAUUUUCGAAUGUACUAUGUUGUUGAUGGGUGCUUAGAUACUAUGUUGUUGAUUUUAUUAUUUGUUUUGGUGUUGUAGCGGCAAACGGUGUUGUUAUUGCAACUGAGAAGAAAUUGCCAUCUAUUUUAGUCGAUGAAUCUUCUGUAAGUAAACAUUUAUUAUUAUUUUUUUUGGUUUUGUUAUAUUCUUUGGUUGAAAUUCAAGUAACCCUUUUGUUUUUUUGCGUUUUCUUUAGUGACAUCGGUUGGUAGAAAUCUGUUCAAAUUCGGUGUAAAUUUGUAAUUUUUAUUAGUAAUUUGAGCCUAGUGAUUUGGGUUCUUGCCAAUGAGGCGUUACUAUACUAGUCAAUGACUCUUAAGAUUGGGACUUUGCAUGUUGGAGUGUGUAGAUUUAUAUCCUCUUUAAUCCCACAUUGUAUAAAAAGGUGGUGUUGGUUAUUUUAAAUCGUGUUGAAUGAGGUGGAGAUGGUUUGAUUUUGGAGCCAGUCGAUUGGUCUAUUAUUCUAAUUUGCAAGAUGGUAUAUAACUUGAGUUGGUUGUUGAUGGUAUUUAAUUGCUUCUUGUUUCAGGUUCAGAAAAUACAGAAUCUGACACCCAAUAUUAGAGUUGUCUACAGGUUUGUUUCUGCCUGCUUCUCAGUAAUUAGGAAUUUCCAUUUUUUUAGCUUGUGUUUCUCUGGCCUUAACUAUUGCUAAAAUAUCUGUCAUGAAUGAUUGUAGCAGGCGGGUGUGUAGAUUCAAAGCUCUCUUUAUGUUUGGUGGGAAAUUGUAUAGUUUCUGCUGUUGUUAUAGUGUCCUGAUAAGUGUGAAAUUUGACCCGGGGUGGUAAAUUGAGAUAGAAGCAUGCCUGCUUAUAAUCUGAACUUCAGUGGAACUCCUUGUAGGUCAAUGUUCUUAAUUGGUCUGGUUAUGGACUUGACUUUGACAUGCUGUACAUGUACGCUGUUUCUGAUUCAACCGAAAAAAAGAGGGGGACAAAUAUGUAGUUCCUUAGAAAAAUAAAAAUAAGGCAUUCCUCUGUACAUGGGUUUGAAAUAAGACAUCUUGGCAAUUUGGUUGCUCAAUGCAACUUGUGCAACUUAUUACCUAUGUCAAAAUGGGUUGCUUUGCUGUAAUUGUUUCUUGACAGUGCUGAAUCACAUGUAUUUUGUUGCAGUGGAAUGGGUCCUGACUUUCGAGUUUUGGUUCGGAAAAGUAGGAAGCAAGCAGAGCAAUAUCAUAGACUGUACAAGGUACCCAUCUUCAAGAUUUUCAAAAUCUGCUACAUCAGUCUUCAUCCUAUUCCACCAAUAACACACCUUAAGGUCUUUAUACAUCUUGGUGGAACCUGGAUGCAUUGUGUAAACUGUCUGAUGUGCCUCUACCAUCAAUUCUCUCCUCAGAUCAUCUACAUCAGGUACACAAAGCCUAUCCCUAUAUCUCAGCACAUCAUCAUCACCUAUCACAAAACCUGCAGCCUUACCCUGCUCAACCUCAUUUCUAAUCCCGAGUAGUGAAUCAUCUUUCUUCUGAGCUGCUUUUAUCUUAUCAAACAAAUCUGACUUAACCUGAAAAUGAGCAAUCAUUGCUCCAGCUUCACUAAGAUCAAAUCUGACUCCUUCAUCCACCAACUCAUGCAGCUCCCUAAUCAGAGGUCUUCGUACCUCCUGAAUAUGAGCUAAGCUCCCUGAUGAUUUUCUACUCAAAGCAUCGGCAACUACAUUUGCCUUACCCGGGUGGUAAUGUAUGGUACAAUCAUAAUCCUUCAGCAGUUCCAUCCAUCUCCUUUGCCUCAGGUUUAGAUCCCUUUGCUGAAAGAUAUAUUUCAAACUCUUGUGAUCUGUGAAGAUCUCACAAGUUUCACCAUACAAGUAGUGCCUCCAAAUCUUCAAGGCAAAAAUUACAACUGCCAUCUCUAAAUCAUGUGUAGGAUAGUUCUGUUCAUGCUUCUUCAACUGCCGUGAAGCAUAGGCAAUAACCUUGUCAUGCUGCAUUAGAACACAUCCUAACCCCACUCUCGAAGCAUCACAAUACACUGUGUAACCACCAGAACCUGAUGGUACUGCUAGAACAGGCGCUGUAGUCAAUCUCUCUUUCAACUCCAAGAAACUUUUCUCACAAGCUUCAGACCACUGAAACUUAACAUUUUUCUGCGUUAACUUAGUCAAUGGUGCAGAAAUUCGAGAAAAGUUCUCCACAAACCUCCGAUAGUAGCCGGCCAAACCUAAGAAACUUCUAAUCUCUGUCGCCGAAGUAGGUCUAAGCCACUGCUUAACUGCUUCAAUCUUUUGAGGAUCAACCUCAAUCCCAUUCCUUGACACUACAUGCCCAAUAAAUGCUACACUCUCCAACCAAAACUCACUCUUUGAGAACUUGCCAUACAACUGAUGUUCUCGCAGAGUUUGAAGCACCAUUCUCAAGUGCUGCUCAUGCUCCUCCCUAGACCUCGAAUACACCAAAAUAUCAUCAAUAAAAACUAUCACAAAUCGAUCAAUAAACUGGCCAAACACUCUAUUCAUCAAAUCCAUAAAAGCUGCUGGUGCAUUCGUCAACCCAAAAGACAUCACUAAGAACUCAUAAUGACCAUACCGAGUUCUAAAAGCUGUCUUCAAAAUGUCUGUCUCCCUAAUCCUCAACUGAUGAUACCCAGAUCGAAGAUCGAUCUUAGAAAAGAAUUGAGCUCCCUGCAACUGGUCAAACAAAUCAUCAAUGCGGGGGAGUGGGUAUCUAUUUCGAAUAGUCACCCGAUUCAGUUGCCUAUAAUCUAUACAUAACCUCAAUGACCCAUCUUUCUUCUUCACAAACAACACUGGGGCUCCCCAAGGGGACACACUUGGUCGGAUGAACUUUUUAUCCAACAAAUCCUGCAGUUGCUCCUUUAACUCCCUCAAUUCUGCUGGCGCCAUUCUAUAUGGUGCCAUUGAUAUUGGUUCAGUACCCGGAACCAAAUCAAUACAAAACUCAAUAUCCCUAUAUGGAGGCAAUCCAGGUAAGUCAUCGGGAAAGACAUCAAUAAACUCCCUAACUAUAGGGACUUGGUCUAAUUGAGGAACUUCUUUCUCUACAUCCACUAUAUAUGCUAGGUAGCACUGUACCCCUUUUCUAGCCAUUUUCCUCGAGAUAGCCGACAACAUAAUUGAUGGAGACCCAAUCUUAUCUCCUUGAAAUACCAACCCAACUUCUUCAUCUAGAUCAAAUAUUAUUUUCUUACCCCAACAAUUUACCGAAACCCUAUGCUUUGCCAACCAAUCCAUUCCCAAAAUCACAUCAAAAUCAACCAUAUCUAAGACAUUUAAGUCUCCCAUAAAAAUCUUAUCUCCAAUCUCUAUUUCACAAUCCAGAUACACAUACUUCACUAAUAUUAAUUCAUCUAAGGGAGUGGAGACUGAAAUGGGGGAUUUUAACAAGGUUGGUUGUUUAUCUAACCUCAUGGCAAAAUAUGGGGACAUAAAUGAAUGGGUUGCACCCGUAUCAAACAACACUUUUGCUUCAAAAGAGCAAACAGGAAGAAUACCUGAAACAACUGUGUUGGAUGCCUGAGCAUCCUGCUGAGUCAAGGCAAAAACUCUGGCAUGCCCCUGACCCUGCUGUAUCUGACCUCUAUCACCUGCACCCCGGCCUCUCUGACCACGGCCACCAAAACCUCUACCCCUAUGAGCCACAGACUGGCUCGUCGAUGGUGCCUGAAUAGGAUGCUGAACUGAAACAGAUAACCCCGAAGCUGACAACUGUCUCCUUGGGCACUCUCUGAUCUUAUGACCUAUCUGGCCACAACUAAAACAAGCCUCGGUCCUUCUGUAGCACUCUGCACUAGUAUGACUUCCUCCACAGUGCUGACAUGAAGAACUAUCACUAGGUGUAAUAAAUGAACUACGAGGUGCAGUCUGAACUAAACUCUGAGUACCACUACUGCCACUCUGACCGCCUGAGCCACUAACUGACGGUCUCUGUCUAAACCUCCUCUGAACCCAUGAGCCCUGACGACCACUUCGUCCCCUAGACGGACCUGCACUUAAUCCCUGUUGCCUAAAAGACUGACCCUCUUCUCUAGGCCUCUUAGACUGGCCUGCAGUCAUAUCCUCCAAUUCUCGCGCCUCUAUCAAUCUGGCGCUAUCAACAGCUAAAGAGUAUGAUGGAAACACCUGUGACACCAUCACCUUAUACAUAGAGGAUUUGAGUCCUCUAAUAAACCUCUUCACCCUUCACUCCUCAGUGGGUAGAAGAUGUUCUGCAUACCUAGACAGCUGAGUGAACUUCAGAUCAUACUCAUCCACUGUCAUGCUCCCCUGAGAUAGCCUCUCAAACUCAUAAAGUCGAGCAUCUCUGACGCUCUGAGGGAGAAACCUGUCUAAGAACAUGGAGCUAAACUCCUUCUAUAUCCACUGAGACUCUACUGGUCUUGCUCUUUUCCUAGACUCAAACCAAGAGAUUGCCACAUCUCCUUCCAACCUGAAUGAUGCCAAACUCACAGCUCGGUGGUCUGUACAUCCCAAAGCUUCACACCGUCGCCAAAUAUCAUCUAGGAACCUCUGAGGAUCCUCUGAACUAUCCAUCCCAGUAAAAAUAGGAGGUGCCAACUUCAUGAAGUCAUUCAACGGCACAUUAACUCCCUGAACAGUGUGGGAUGUCGAGGGUACAUCUCUAUCCCUCCUUCUAUCUCUCUCCAUAGAAAACUCUAUCCAGGUCCGCACAACCUGGCUAAGUUGCUGAAACUCUGUAACAGGUUCAGGGUCAGCUACCCCCACACCUGUUUCAUCAACAAUAUCUUCCUCUUCUAUCUCCUAAGGCUCUUCCUCCACUGGUGGAGGUACCUCCUCAACAUGUUGAGGCACGGGUGCACCGCGCCUCCUUCUCUGCCUUGCAGUUCUCAACCGCCCAAUAGGGACAUCAUCCUGAUCAUCCUCUACUCUAACAGUAUCAGCUAUUCGUCUAUUCCUCGACAUUUCCUAAAAUAAAAGUGAGAGCACUCAAGUCAUGCUAGAACAAUAGCAUGAUAAUUAUCACAGAAUUAUAGGAAAGCAUAUCUAUCACAAGGAAGAAGACAUGCUUGAUGAGAAUUCAGAAUUUCAAAGACAACAAACAAGACAAUACGGAUCUUAAUGCUCCACUUAUUAUGAAAUUAAUUAUAUUAUUGUUUCUUUAACCUAAAGCUCUGAUACCAAGUUUGUCACGACCCGAAUCCCGGAUCCAUGACCGGCACAUAGACAAGGUUCCCCUCCAAGGUUCCAUACCUAUGUGAACCCAAACUUACACACAAACUUAUCUUAACUCAAUCAGAGUUCAACGCAGCAUUAAUAACAAAAUCAACUUUAUAAUAUAACUGAAUUGUCUUAAUACAAGAGUUAAUAUAAUUCAUAGUUUUGGAGCACUAACUUGACAUAAAAGAAAAGUACAAAAUACAACCAAAGAGCAGGUUCUGAAGGUCCAACAAAAUGACCUGCUAUCAAGCUAUAAGCCUGAAAAGGAUAAAUAAUGAGAUGGUGAGUUCAACAACUCAGUGAGUAGAUAACGUUCAAUAUACACACACGAGGUAAUACAACAAUGAGAAAUAUAUAUAUACAAGUAUGGCUCUAGGUUCUUAUAGAAAGGUUUCUCAAAUAGGCCAUAACAAGAAUAUCAUAUGGUAAAGCUCGUCAGAAAAUCAAAAUGCAAUGAGCAUGAGGCUCCGUACUGUGGGAUGAUCAGUCCACACAGGUUGGUGACUCCCCCGACCAACUAGGGUUCAGAUACGAUGUGCACAAAGACUAACACUACCCUGUUAGCAUGGGUAUUUUGACUGACAUACCAUAGGUUCAUAAUCAUAUUCAAACAGACAUAUUCAUAUCUCAAGGCUCAACUCAUGACAUCAAUCAAAUGAGGAGCUAUCAAUUCAGAAGUCAAUCCCAAAUAUAUACUGGUUCAUAUCAAGAAUUCAGAUUCAACAAUUGAUCAUGUUUAAUCAAAACAAAGAUAAUAAUCAACAUAUAUAUUAUCAAGAAGCAUGAUCCAAUUCAUAUUAACAAAUCAAAUAUUUAUAAUAUUUCUCAUGCAUAUGGAAAAUUAUCCACUCACCUGACUCGAAAGCAACAAAACUCAAAGCUGAUAUCGAAGGAAAUCCUACUGACGUCCCGCCGGUAGAAUAUCAGGAUUAUCUGAAUAUAAAGGAGACAUAUUCAAGAACGACUCGAAAGAAUAUUUAACUUAUUUAAUACACUUAACUAAGGGUGUAUUCCAUAACCCUAUAUGUUUUUGAACUAACUAGUUAUCUUUCCUAAAAACCCAACAUUUAACGGUUUUCCCGAAAUCUAAUCCAUAAUAAAAACAACUAAUAAAAUUGAUAAUAAUUUACUAAAUAACCCUUAAUUAUUCAUCAAACCAAUCUGAAAAAGCUAAUAUUACAGCUAGGGACUAAUCUGUAAUUUAUCCUAUUUUUAAGGGUCAAAUUGCAACUUUUGUCUAAUUGGAGGACCAAACUGAAAUUUAUCAUAAAUCCAUGAAUAUACUGAAAUUCUGACCAUAACUAGUCCUCAUUUCUGUCCAGAUCAUCUCAUUAUACUCCAAGGACCAUUCUGGAAUUUUACCAAAUUUUUAGGGUCAAAUUGUAAUUUUUAUCAAAUUGGAGGACCAAAUUGAAAGUGUUAAAUUCUCUUAUCUAUACAAUAAUUCUGUCCAUAAUUCAUAUGUUAUUCUGUUCAGAUUCUCGGAAUAGGCUCCAGGGACCAAUCUGCAAAUUUUCCAAAGUUUGGGGACUAAACUGUAAUUUUCCAAAAUUGAGGGACCAAACCGAAAUUUUGUCAUCUUCAACCUCCAACCCAGAAUUUUUAACAGAAACCUACUGUUCUUGCCAAAUUUCUAACUCAACAUUCACCAUUUAGACAAUUCAUAACUCAAAAUUAUCACAAUCUUCCAUAAUCAACUCAUUAAUCAAUUACCCAUAACAAUCAACCUUAUAACAUUCAAUUUAAUUCAUCAAUUAAACCCAAAACACAAAUUUUCAAAACCCUAACAUUUAUCAAAACCAAAAUUAAAAGCUCAAUAAUACAAAUUUAUACAUUUAACAACCUAAAUCUUACCUUUUUACUUAUUUCCUCCAACUCCUUUCUAUUUCCUUUCUAAUUUCCCUCUUUUCUCUUCUUCUUCUUCUUUCUCCCUUCUCCCUUCUCUCUCACGGUUUUUCACUCAAAAUAUUCAGAUCUCUUCUUCUUCUUUUUCUUUCUAUUUAUAUUUCUUAUGUUUAUCUAAUUACUACAAUACCCUUAUUUAUUUAUACUCCAACUUUUAAGCCUACAAGGACUUUAUUGUAUUUUCCUACUCAUUUAUUCAAAACAUCACAUAAUGCUUGAUAACCUGGUUAAGAUAAUAUAUCUGGAAAGUAGUUAUUGAGGUUGUCUAUAUUACAAGACUUCUUGUUAGUUUUCUUAUUCCCAAUAAUACCAUUCUGACCCCCAAAACAGCUGAAUUUUGCUUGAAAUCCAAGAGUUAAAUAUCCGAUUACUAUUUUAUAUCAAUUCAUUGUCAUCUUUUGUUGUUAAUCGUGAAGGUUGUGACUUGUGAAUUUUUAUGAUUGUAGGAACCAAUUCCUGUCACACAACUUGUGAGGGAAACUGCUGCUGUCAUGCAAGAGUUUACUCAAUCUGGGUACUGGAACAUCUUUUAUACAUUCAAAGUGUUUCAGUGGUUUUAGUUGAUUUCCUUUGUAAUUUAGAUCUGAAUUUCAAUUUCCAAAGUUCAUAACCUUAGCCCUUAUUCUAAUAAGCCAACAACUCUCUCCCUAUGUUCCUGCAUCAGCAUGUCAACUCUUCAUGCUCUUAUUCUUGAAGUUUGAAAAUACUCAUCCUUUGUUUUUCCUCGCAGAGGUGUAAGGCCUUUUGGAGUAUCUUUGCUAGUCGCUGGUUUUGAUGACAAAGGUCCACAGCUGUACCAGGUGUCUUUGCUAGUCACUGUGUUAAUGUCUGAAGUCAUUAACUAUUUUUUUUUUAUCUGGAUUAUCCACUGCAGACUAUGUGGUAGCCUAGUAUUCUAGAAGCUGUAGGCCUUUGUGACUAUCAUGCACCCUUCUGUGUGCCCAGAGGGUUGAUAAGUUUUUGACCUUUUGUUUUCUUGGUUGAGAUUUGGAUGGAUUAUGACUCACUUGUGUUGCCUUUUUAAAAAUAUGUUAGACUCUUGCACUCAAAUCAUAGUUCUUCUGAUGAUGUUAUGUUUUGUAUUUGUUUGGCUAGGUUGAUCCAUCAGGUUCCUACUUCUCAUGGAAAGCCUCAGCAAUGGGGAAAAAUGUUUCAAAUGCAAAAACAUUUCUUGAGAAGAGGUAUUUAUUUGUUUUUGGUACCAUGAAAUGCAUUGAUUCUGCAAAAACUUCUAAACAUCUUCAUGGGUUCUCCUAGCUAGCAACAAAUGUGUUUCCACCUCCAGCCAUCAACUGCCAAACAUAUUCUUCAUUCAAAGAUCAAGCUACCUUCAAUUUUCAACUGCCAGUUUACUUUGUGCUACUCCCAUCGUUCUUUAUAUAAUUUAUUGUACUUCAUUCUCCCCAUCCAAGAAGAAUUGGAUUGUCUUUUUUUUUUUGAAAAAAAAAAGAAAAAAGAAAGUGAAAAAAAGAAUUGAAUGGACAGAAACAUGGUAAAUAUUUUGGUUUUUUGUCCACAUAUCUUCAUUUGAUUUGAACAACUUUUGUUUUCCCUAACUUAAUAUGUGCUCUGUAGAUACACUGAUGAUAUGGAGCUUGAUGAUGCUGUACACACCGCUAUCUUGACACUAAAAGAGGGGUACAUCACUUUAAAAUUUCCUCCACUUUUUAUUUUUGAAUUUGAGCAGUGGUGUUUUUUACAAGGUUUGGUAUAUAAAAAGUAGAAGAAAAAUUCAGUAGGUUUAAUAUACUUGCGCCAUGCACGAGCACCCGGUUCAUUACAUAAUUGAUUGAUAUACUUGUAAUUCAGCCAUUUAGGUAUUGCGAUUUUCUGCCACACAUACUGAGUAUCGUAGGUAAAAUGAAUUCUAAGUAACAGUAGUCUAGUUGGGGUCUUCAGCCUUGAGAACUUAAAUUGGCUCUCAACACUUCAGUUAGUAGUUCAGGAGAUUAAAUUAUGUGAGAUACUGUUUAAGUGAAAAUGAAUGAAAGUUUCUCAACCCAGUGUCAAUCAAAUGUACUUGCAGGUGCUUAAAGGUUCCUUUUCUUUCCUCUUAGUGAUUUUAAGUUGUUAAUUUGUCGAGUCUUGCUUCUAUAAUCAGAGUGAUGGUGGAUUAGUGAGCAUAAUCUUAGUAUUUGCAAAGUGGUCAAAGAGAGAUAUAAAUGAGCAUUUUAAAGUUUCUUACAAGUUCUGAGUGUGUCCCUUGUAACCUUACAAGAUUGUUUGUGUUUGCAGAUUUGAAGGGCAGAUUUCUGGGAAAAACAUUGAAAUUGGGAUAAUUGGUGCUGACAAGCAAUUCAGGCAUGCUCUUUCUUGACCUUUUUCCUUAUUAAACUUGGUAAUAGUGUCACGUAAUUUCAAGCUUAGGAUGAGUUCCAGAAGUAACUUGCAGGAUGCACAUUUUUGUUAACACAGUUCAUAACUAGAUAAAAUCUGAUAUCUAAAAUCUUUUGGAUCUCACCAAUUUCAUAUAUGGCCUUCCACUUGUGGUUUCAAUUUUGAAGUUCUGAUUUUCACGCACUCUUGCUCUAGUUUCAGUCUGACAAUUUACACAUGAGACUCGUGUUCAAAAUGGCCAAUCCACUCUUUCUUUGAAUGUUUAAGCUUCCUUGGAAGAAGUUAUGUGUGGCAUGACCAUGGCAAUCUUAUCCCUUGUGCUUUCUUUACUGCAGGGUACUAACUCCAGCCGAAAUUGAUGAUUAUUUGGCUGAAGUGGAAUAGACAUUGUAUUUUUUGGCUAAAGUGGAGUUCUUCCCUGUAUUGACACCAAUCGAGAUACAUGUGUUACUUUCCUCUGGAAUUGCUUGAAUCAGUUGCUUUUAGCCGAAGUUUCUAUUAAUUCCAAGUUUUCAGAACUGUAAUGUGGAAAUGUUAUAGGACUUCUCUCCAAUCUUAGAUGGCUUCUAAAGUUUUGCAUCAAUAUGAUUUCCUAUAGGAUACGUUUGACAGAGUGCAGAAAAUUGGUCUUUUCAAUUAUAUCUAUCUCCUCUCAAUGCUUGACCUGUAAUAUGCCCGUUCUUAUUUAAUUCCAAUGGAGCUUCGAAGAGGGAAAGAGAGGGGCCAUGGAAUAUGGAUAUCGAAUUGCAACUCAAUUGACACUUCAGAGCCUCGUCUUUGCAACAAGUCUCAUGCUGGAGUUUUUGCUGUUAAAUUAUACUAAUAAUAAUGACAAUAAUUUGUCCAUUGUGUUUAAACAAAUUAACCUUGGUCUAUUUUUUUUAUGAAAAAUAAACUUUUUUAGAAUUGAUUAUUCUAGCUAUCAGCUACCGUCACAAUAUAGAACCCCAUGCAACCUCAAAGACACCACGAGGCUACAAGAAUGCUAUUGUUUGACUCCUUAAGUUCGUUAGAGAUAUUUUGAGGCUUUUGUCCCUUAGUAAACAGAGAAAAACAUAAGCUACUUUUGUCUGGCAGUGCUGGUCUUCACCCACGUAGUCCAUUAUCCAAGAAAACACUCUUCACAUAUCUUCUUGCUUGCUGAAUGUUUACAGCUACCCAACUCCAAACUCCUCUUUUAUGCUUUCAUGUAAGUCGUAUCCUUCCUUCCUUCCUCUCUUUCUCCUCUUGCUGGAUAACAUUGCUUGUUCAAGGAAUUUCUUGUACUGGGAAAUGGGUUUCAAUGGAAUUGCUAAGUAUCAACGUUCACUUGACAGAGGAUGUCUAAAUUGUUUUGUGUUCUUGUUAGUUAAAACAUUUUCGCAUUUUGUUGGCUCUCAUAUGUAUUGAACGAGCAAUCAUCAUUAUCUGAAAAGUCUUACUGUGAAUUCAGAAAUUAUAAGAUGAAGGACCAGUUUUAGCUGUCAAAGUGCUAGGCUUAUCGUUGUUGAACUCUAACCAGUCUUCAACAGUUGUGGCCUUGUUUAUCUUGCAAAUUUUGAUUUUUGUAGUUUAAUCAGAUAGUUUAGACUAAUAUUUGAUUCUGUAAUGAAAAUACAACCUAUACUCACAGCAAUUAAGAAUUAUUGCGAAAGAAAGAGAGAAGAUAUUUGGUUUAGAAAGGGAAAGUUGACAACUUUUCUUCUUCUUUUUUAACUGUGUAUUCUGGUUUGCAUUUCAGGUGUUUGCUAUUGUGAUUAAAAGUAGUUUUAGUGUCUCUCUUUGUCCAAUUAUUUUGCAUUCCAAAGCAUCCUUUGCAUGGAUUUUAUUUGGUUGCUUCCUCUGUGUAAUGGCUUUAAAUUAAGAGGUGUGUAUGUUUGUUGCUGGCAAUUGUGUGUUUACUUGAUUAGUUUUUGCAGGUUGCUUGUUAGAUGCACACUGAAUCAUAUUUUUAUAGAAUCAAGUAUCCGGAAUGGUCAUUUCAGACGCAGAGAAAAGAAUUCCAGUAGUGGAGAUGUUAAAAAGUCGAAAAGCGACAGGGUCUAUAUCGACAAACAUGGCAAAUGGCGAAUCUUUGAUCACAAAAAGAUGUCCAGGAAACGAUGUAAUACGGAGUAAUUCACUUCGUGCUCCUACAUAUAACUGCUGAAGCAAAUAUGGCUUUAAUUAUUAAGUCGUCUUUUUUACCUAGGUGGCUCUUUGAGGGGACAAGGAUGGAAAUAUGGAUCUGGAUUUGUUGAUGGAAUUUUCCCAGUGCUAGGUCCUGUUGCUCAUCAGAUUCUGAACUUUGUGCGGAAAGAAGUGGAUCCGAAUAAUGUUUGGGCUGCUCUUGACACUCUUCCUGUCACUCACGAGACUUGGGAUGAUCUUAUUAAUGUAGCCGUCCAACUUCGUUUGAAUAAACAAUGGGAUCCGAUUGCUUUGGUGAGUAAAUCGUGCCUCAAUUCUUUCAUCGUGUAAGGUGGUAGGCGAUGGAUUAAACCACAUUGCACGCAAAUAUUUUUGUGGCAGGAUGUUUGCAUAGUAUUUUUCUCUUCAAUCAUUAAGACUGAACCCUCGAUUGUUCAAAUCUCCUUUAAGUGGUUGGUGCUGCAGUUGGUGUUCGGAAUUUUCAUAUACCAGCAUUUUCCUCCAACUGAAUGAAACAAAUCUCUUUACUGUCUCUAUUUAUUAUAUCGACAUUUUUAAUAUCGUGUGUUCUUAAUUCUUAAUAAUCUUGUUGGGUGUAACUCUAAAAUUUCCAGAUAUGUCAAUGGAUACUGUACAAGAGCUCCUUCCAGACAGAUGUCAUGUGCUACAAUUUACUAAUAGAUGCUUAUGGGCAAAAAUCUUUGUACAAGAAGGCAGAAGAGACAUAUGUUGAUCUUCUUCAAGCCAGGUGUAUCCCUACUGAAGACACCUAUGCCCUCCUUAUAAAGGCUUACUGUGCAUGUGGAUUGUUAGAAAAGGCUGAAGCUGCCUUUGUUGAUAUGCGAAAGUAUGGCCUUCCUCCAAGUAUGUGUUUACCAAUUCAUUUCUUCUUAGCUUUUAGGGAAAUUGCAUUUUCAAGAAGUUCUUGGACUACAUCAACUAUUUCUUAUAAAACAAAAUUUCCUCAACCUGUAAGAUUCUUUGCCUCAAAAAUUGAUUUUUUGUGGGGUUAAAUUCGUUUUAAAUUUUGAAACCUUGCUCAAUAAUUGCACAGGGCUGUAUUUCUUUUUUCUUUUCGGGGGUGAAGUAUACUAAACGUAGGACAAGAGAAGGUGGGCUCAUGGUCUGCAUAUUUCUUGUUGCUGCUAUACUAGUAGUGAUUACUACUCCUUAUCUACAUCACCAUGCUUAGAGAAUGGUUGAUUAAACCAAGAGGGACCCCUUACUAAUUUAGCUAAACCGGAACUGGAUUAGGCUAGAGGCUCCUGGAUGACAAACUUGCUUCUGUAGCUUUCCUUUAUGAGAUUGCGUGGGUUAUUUCUCUUCUUUUUGUGGUGGUGAAAUACAGGGCAUUAGUUCUGCUUUUGUGUUUCGUUCUCUUAUUUACACAUCUCAGAUUUUCAUUUUUCAAGCUGUUCUGUUGAUACACUUGCAUGCACAUUCAAGGAAGUGAAAAGUGAGCGUAUACUCCAAUUUUGGCCAGGUGAAAUUGUAUACAAUGCUUAUAUUGAUGGGUUAAUGAAGGCUGGAAACCCUCAAAGAGCAAUUGAGAUCUUUCAGCGAAUGAAAAAUGAUGGCUGCCAGCCCUCUACUGACACCUAUACACUGUUGAUCAACCUUCAUGGGAAGGUACGCUCAGUGGUAUUUGGUUCUGAAUUAUUCUGCAAAUCUGAUCUUCUUGAAAUGCCACUGGUCCCAGUAGAAAAUUAUUUGUAACUCGUACGUCUACAAGUCUACAGUGAUACAACAAACAACUUGAAAUAUAUGCAUUUAAUUUCAAACAAUUACCAGACUAAAUUCAAAGAUAUGGUUAUUAAUUCUGAUAACCCUGUACAACAGUGGUGUUUAGGAUCCUUAAAAACUCAUUUUGCUAAUCUUUUUCCUGUACACAGGCAAGUCAAUCUUACAUGGCCUUGAAGUUGUUUAACGAAAUGAGAAGUCAAAAAUGCAGACCAGAUAUCUGCACAUACACAGCUCUGGUGAACGCGUUUGCUAGAGAGGGACUCUGUGAGAAGGCAGAAGAAAUAUUUGAGCAGAUGCAACAAGAUAAGCUUGAGCCUGAUGUGUAUACUUACAACGCGCUCAUGGAAGCUUACAGGUUAGUAUCAUAGAAUGAUAUGGUGUUUCAAUAAUCUUUCAAAGAAAAUGGAAAAGAAUACUGGAGGUGCUGCUUCUUGCUUCCUAGAGAUUCCCAAUAGAACUGAUGAUAUUUAACUAUCUUGUCCUCACAGUCGUGCAGGUUUUCCUUACGGGGCUGCAGAAAUAUUUUCACUCAUGCGGCACAUGGGCUGUGAGCCGGAUAGAGCUUCAUUUAACAUCAUGGUAGAUGCGUAUGGGAGAGCUGGCCUUCAUGAGGGUAAGAUGCUUGAACCAAAUAGUAUCAAUGUACUUUAUUAAGUGAGAAUUGGAAAAAGAUUAAGCUCCAGAGAAUUUGGGAACAGUUUGAGCAUGUAAUGGUUUAAAAACGUUCCGAUCAACUAUACGAACUUGAAGGGAUCUAUAUUGCAACAUUUGGAUUAUAUUUUGGAACAGUGUUCAAUUUUAUUCUGGAGAUCUGCCAUAAUCUUUCUAGGAUUUCCUAGGAAACAAGAUAAAGUUGUAUGAGAUAUUAUCAGGCUAUCAGCAUUUCAUCCGUUUGCGACACCUUUCCUACUUGGAAGAAGUUCCUCUUGUUUUUCGUAUAUGCUCCUCGUAAUUUUGGCUUAAUGAUUUGGCUGCUCCUAUUUGCUUUUUAGAUGCUCAAGCGGUAUUCAAUGAGAUGAAGCGACUAGGAAUAACCCCUACAAUGAAAUCACACAUGCUACUUCUCUGUGCCUACUCAAGAGCAAGAAAUGUGGAUAAAUGCGAAGAAAUUGUUAACCAGAUGAGCGAAUCUGGGCUUGAACCAGACACGUUUGUCCUCAACAGCAUGAUGCACUUGUAUGGCCGCCUGGGCCAAUUUGAAAAGAUGGAGGAAGUUCUAACUGCAAUGGAAAAGGGACCUUAUGGAGCUGAUAUCAGUACAUACAACAUCUUAAUCAACAUAUAUGGACGAGCAGGAUUUUUCGAGAGAAUGGAAGGUAUUUUCCAAUCACUUCCAACCAAAAAUCUGAAACCUGAUGUUGUGACUUGGACUUCAAGAUUGGGAGCCUACUCAAGAAAGAAACUAUACGCAAGAUGCUUGGAAAUCUUUGAAGAAAUGAUUGAUGCUGGAUGUCACCCUGAUGGAGGAACUGCCAAUACUUCUAUCAGCAUGCUCAAGCGAAGAUCAAAUUGAACAGGUUACCACUGUAAUCAGAACAAUGCAUAAGGGCAUGGAGGCUGCUCUUCCUGCAUGAUUAAUGUGUAACAGUCCGGCAGCGCAUAAAGGAGCAAGACCAAGUUGAAGCCGGGGAAGAAAUGAGAGAGGCAUGUUGGAGAAGACUUACCUGCAGCAAAAAGAUAAGGUGAGCACGUGUAUGGUCAAGAUUGGACAAGAAGCACUUACGUGGAGGGCUGAGAUGAAGAAGCUCAUGCGGCUGACAGCUGACAAGGGAGUAAGUUCAAAGGCAAACGACACCGUUUGGGAGAAGAAAAAGAAUCCAAAUACAACACAGAUAAAUAAAACAGCUGUCAAUUCUAUCUGUUAUUCUUAAUUCCCAACUAACCGAGAAUUAUAAUAGAAGGGGGAGGAAGGGGCUGCAGAUAGGCAGGAAAUUGCUUUGAAGCAAAUCUCAUUCACCUAGGAGGCCCGGGCUACCUCGAAGCUGCCCAUAAAUCUAGAUUAGGGUUUAUCAACAUUGCAUUGUUCUUUCAAUUCGAGUUCUUUAAGAUAUUUCAUUUCAGUUGUUAUUUCAAUUUCCCCAGUUUUCUUUUUUUUUAAACCUGUAAGGCUCAGGUCUAAGAAAAGCUAUAAUAAGAAUUCCAGUAUUUUUCCCUUACUUACCAAGUUCAUUACAAGUGGUAUCAGAGCCACGAUUCUCGGAUGGCUGAAGGAACAAGAGUUUCACAACUGAUAGAAACAAUAUCAGGGAUGAAACAACAACAGGAGACGCAACAAUAAAACCAACAGAAUCAGCAGCAAAUAUUGGAAGACAUAGUUCAGCAAUUAAGAAACAUGUCUACCAGGAUGGAUCAGAUGGCUAAGGCCCAUGGGCUUCCCCCCAAUUCUCCCACUAGGUCAGUCAAUGGAAAUACAAGGCAUGAAGUAGUACCACAAGAAGGAAUUCAGCAGGUUCAACUCAAGUCAAUCAGAUUGGAGUUUCCCUGGUUCAAUGGAGAUGAUCCUAUUGGUUGGGUAUAUAAAGCCAAUCAAUAUUUUAACUUUCACAACACUCCAGCUCAACACAGAUUGUUUAUAGCCAGUUUUCACAUGGAAGGAAAGGCCAUAACAUGGUAUUAGGAACUAGAAGAAACCAGAAUUCUCACCAGUUGGGAGGCCUUCGUUAAGGCCCUCCAAAUUCGAUUUGGAACCUCAUCUUAUGAUGACCCCAUGGAGGCCCUCAUAAAUAUCAAACAGACAUCAACAAUAGAGCUCUACAAAACCCAAUUCGAAAUGCUUUCGAACCGGGUCAGAGGGCUGUCUGACUCUCACAGGCUCAGCUGCUUCCUAGGUGGAUUGAAGGAGGAGAUAAGAAUGGGAGUACGAAUGCUAAACCCUCAAAAUUUAGUGGCUGCUUAUGAAUUAGCAAGGAUGCAGGAGGAAAAUCUGAUAAUCAUGAGGAAAUCAUGGAGACCUAGUUUUAUGGGGUUUCAAGGCCGAAACCCAACACCAACUCAGCCCAGGGUUGAAAAUAAACCAGUUCUAGUACAGAGACUCACCCCUCCAUAGAUGAAGGAAAAAAGAGACAAGGGGCUUUGCUUUAAACGUGACAAUAAGUGGGGACCUGGCUAUAGGUGUGGAGGACCCAAGAUAUUCUUGAUAGAGGAAUUAGAGGAGGAGAUGAAGGAUAAAAAUUUUGUUCCUGAAGACCUGAUUGAUUUAGGAGACCCUCAGGAAGAAGGCAAGGAGGGAGUCGACAUAUCCCUCCAUGCAAUCAUUGGAAGUCCAAAUCCUAAAACUAUGAGCGUGUUAGUUAAGCUAAGUGGCCAUAAUUUCGUGGCCUUAAUUGACACAGGAAGUACACAUAAUUUCAUACAUCCAAGGGUAGCAAGAAGAGUAGGGAUGAAGGUUUUAAAACACAAGCCUAUUGGGGUGAACAUUGCAGAUGGUUCCAAGCUGUAGAGUGAGGGAAGCUGCUCAGAUAUCAAACUGAUGAUUCAAAGAGAUCAGUUUGUCACUCGGGCUUAUGUCAUACAGCUGGGAGGAUGCGAUAUGGUGUUAGGAAUCCAGUGGCUCAAAAGUUUAAGGCCUAUUCUCUGGGACUUUUCAGCCUUAAAAAUGGAAUUCCAAAAGGAGGGGAAGAGGGUCUUGAUUUGUGGAAUGGGAGUGGAGAAAUCAGAAGUAGACUGCAGCCCAACCUUUUUACAAGAAUUGAGAAGAGUCGAAGAAGGACUGAUUUUGCAAAUUUAGGAGCUGGGAUCAGUCUAGAAUAAAAUUCCAGAACAGAUUGAGAAUCUGUUGCUAGAAUUCAUGGAAGUUUUUCAAGAGCCAAAAUGAAUCCCACCUAGCAGAUCACAUGAUCACUCUAUACUGUUGAAAGAAGGUACCUCCCCAAUAAGUGUACGUCCUUACAGGUACCCCUACUACCAAAAAUCUGAGAUAGAAAAACUAAUUAAGGAGUUGUUGGUAAUGGGUACUAUAAGACUCAGCCAAAGCCCUUUUUCAUCGCCAGUCCUACUAGUUAGGAAGGCUGAUGGGUCAUGGAGAAUGUGUGUGGACUAUCGUGCCCUCAACAAGGAAACUGUGAAAGACAAGUUUCCCAUACCAGUUGUGGAAGAAUUAUUAGAUGAACUACAUGGUUCUCAAAAUUUUUCCAAGUUAGACCUCCGAUCAGGCUUCCACCAGAUCGGAAUGAAGGAAGAAGAUGUCCCCAAAACAGCCUUUAGAACUCAUAAAGGGCACUAUGAAUUUCUGGUGAUGCCUUUCGGCCUCACAAAUGCCCCUUUCACUUUUCAAGGAUUGAUGAAUGAUAUUUUUCGACCCUAGUUUUAACAUGAAUAGGGUUUUUUUAUAUAAUUUAUGAUAUAAAGACAAAAAGAAUUCAAGGAGAGGAUUUUCCAUGAAUAUGUAAAAUAUGUAAUUGGAUUGAAAUCUUAUCAUAGAGCAAUAUCUUAGACACUUUCUAUGGAAAAUAUGUAAAGGUGCCCAUCAAAACAUUUUCCAAGAAAAAAUAAUACAGUAAUUAUUUUUAUUGUUAUUGUUGUUGUUAUUAUUAUUAUUAUUUUAUGCUCGUAUAUACGAUUAGGAAGUUUUAACAAAGAAAACCGAAAAAGGCAAAACAAGAGUUGCCAAUUCUCUUUAAACUGAAAUAUUAAGGGUAAAAUAAUCAAUAAAAAGUUGAAAAGGAUUAGCGAGUGAGUAUUUGGUGUGAAUUCAUUUACUUGCACCACCUCACCAAGGCCUGGACAAACAGCCACUCCGAGGAUCCAUGUCGUUUAUUCAAUGCGCUUAAUCUUGUGUGUGUGAGUGUCUAUAGUGUUUUCAGUGCCUCUGCUUAUUUAUAUUUUUCAACGGAAGUGUCUCUAAUUUUAAUUUUUCUAUUUUAUUUCUUGUACUUCCAUUACUUUUUAUAUAUAUUUAAUCGCUGUUUUUAUUUUUUAAUUGAUGGUUGUAUCUAUAUUUUUCACCAUUAGAUGUCUAUGUUUUACAGUUAUUAAUGACAUGUAUAUUAAUGGGCAUGUAUCAUCCUUGUUAUGGAAUUCAUCAUUCAUAAAAUCUAAGAUAAAAGAAAACCAAAAUUUAAAAAUACAUGGAAGGAGAAAAAAGAAUUAUUAUUUUUUCAUCAUGAAACAAUGACUUCGUAUGUAUAGUAAGCAGCGGAGUGAGGAAUUGUAGUUUGGGAAUGUCGAAUUAGAUAAAAGAUUUUAGAGGGAGGGCCAAAAUUUUAAAUUUUCUAUUUUUAAAGAUAAAAAUCUGAUUUAUUGAAGAAAAAAAACACCUUGCAGGACCCUGCCCCUGCCAGCCCCUGUAAUUCCUCCAUGUUCGUGUGGCUCUUGAACAGUGUUGGUGGUGCGUGGAAUAUCACUCCAUGGCCAAGGCACAAUCAACGGUGGCCCCUCUUACAACGACACGGACGGCGAAAACGAUCGCUUGCAUGUCCAAAGGUUCACCUCUUGGGAUAUUUGUGUUGAUCGCUACAUUACCAAAAUAGCUUCUCCAUUUCUUCAUGAGAGCACCGCACACAAAUCCAGUCUUGAAAAUAGCAUGCCGUGGAUAAAUUAGAGGGAAGGUAUUUAGUAAUUUGGAGUGGAGAUAGAAACAAAAAUUGUUGAGAGGGAAGGAUCGAUGGAGCAUUGAGUGGGAGAGGGAGAGAGAAGAGUAGAUUAAGCGAUAAGGGGAUUGGCGUCUACAUGUCCCUGUCCGAUCUUUGAGCCCCAUGUGAAGCAGAGGCCAUUCUCGACGUUUUCCUUCUGUUGGCUAUUUUCUCUUAGUGCCAACAAUUGAGUCUCGACGGAAUCGUCGAUCUCUUCUUUCCUAUCUUACACGUUUGAAGGGUAGACAAUUCAAUGUACUAAACAUGAGAAUUUCAACCAUGUUGCUUGCUUUCAGAUCUUCUACAUCACAACCUUGUUUAUACAGGGGACAUGAACGCUAGCUAUUAUUAUAAAAAAAAAAUUCCAAAAUCUCAACCUGAUACCGCAAAAGGCCAUCAUCUGUAUCUAGAUAUACACUAGUUAUUUAACAUGCAAUUCGCACCGGGUUGCAUAAUUAUUAUUUGCAAUUACCAUCCUAGUGAAGAUCAAGCAACUGUUUUCUGCAAAUUCACAAGAAGAAAUUUAGCACCAAAUAUUAUCAUUAUCCGCGCAAAUAAAACCUCAGUUUCAGUGGAUUAAGUCCAAAUAAAUGAGAGAAUGGUAGACUUGGAAGCUAAACCAUUCAUCUAAAAGAGAUGAUACCCAUCGAUUUUGUGGAUUAAAUCCAAAUAAAGUUAUCAAAACCCAGCACAAAAAAUCUUCAACAAUAAAUAUGAUUUCUGCUAGUGAAAGGCAAGCCACCUGGACCUGGUGCCUGUGCUUUCUAAAUGCCAUCACAGCCCCAUUCAAAGAACUUCCAGACAGAGGAUUCUUCAGACCAAUAGAUUUACUAACGGAAGACAAUAAAUUCAAACUGUGAUAUCAGAAUCAAUGUAGAUACCUCCAUAUUUGCAUAAUCCAACAUAAAAAGGACAACUUUUAUGUUUUGGCAGCGCCUCUACAGGAAUUAUACAUAAGUGGUUGCCCCAUUCUAAGGAAACGUUACGGUAAGGAGGAGAUGGGUGAAGGUUGGCAAAAGAUUUCUCACAUCCCUGACAUUUAUUUUGAUGAUAUAUUAUUAUAUGUGAGAAAGACAGAACUCUUUAAUUAGAACCGGCAGGAGCAUGUAAAUUCUUCUACCAGUGUUAAUUCUUAACGGUAUAAUAUUUUACUAUAUUUUAACAAUCCAUUUUAAUUAAUUAUGUAAGUCAUAGUUAGGUCACUGGGAUUUUUGUCAUUCAGAAAAUGGAAUGCUCAUUUUAACAUCUACCAUUCAUUGGGUUGAUUUGGUUAUGACACGUUUGCUUUUGGUCUGUGUUUGACAGCUUGGGCUUAGAAGAUACUGAAGAGCUACUUCAGAGUGGCUUCCGAUUUACUUUGUGCAUUUGAAGAUUUUCCCUUAAUAUUUUUGGAAUCAAAUCGAAGGGCAUUCUGGUAUAAUCAAAUGGAGGAUUUCAUUCAGUGUUGUAUUAAGCACCGUAUGUUUCAUACACCUCCUUACUGUAAUUGGAUUGAAAUCAUUUGUAAUCUAUUGUUGACUUGGAUUUUAUUUCCUACUUCCCAUUUAUUCUCACAUCCUCUCUCUCUCUCUCUCUGUUUUUUAUUCUUUUUUAAUUAUUGUGCACCCCAAACUAGAUUACCUUGUGUACCCCAAACUACAUUACCUCUUAAGGAAUUAUUGUUAACCCCAACUUACAUGUAAAUGUGCAAUCGUUGAUGGAUCUCGAGUUGGCGGAAUCUCUUUAAUGAUUUAGUUCUUAAAAAUAGCUAUUCUUCCGUAAAUGGUGUUCAUAAAUAUGUCCAUGACAUAAAAAAAAAAAGAAAAAGGAUAUUAACUAAUACAUGGUUUCUAUUUCAAGAGCCAUCAUUAAAAGUACAAAAUUCUGAUUGCCAAAUUCUUCUCUACCAAAUAAAAGUUUGAUUAAAUUGAAUUGAAUAUAUAGCACAAUUGAAUAGCAUCAAAUACUCAAUGGAUCAGCUAAAAAAAACAAAUUACCAAAACAUAGAUUCUAAACAUAAUAACAAUUUGAAAUGGUAGAGGAUAUUCAGUCGACUUGUGUAUUUAGCAUCGUACACCUUAUGCCCUAGAGUAGUAUUAGGAUGAGUUCUCUUCUUGAAAAUAUUGUGCACCCUAAUCCCACAUGGAAGUGUGUGAUCAACCCCAUGAGAAUCAUUAUACAUCCCAACUCACAUGCAAAUGUACAAUUCCUUGUGGACCUCGGGUUGUGGGCUCUUCCCUAUGAUUUGGUUCGUGGGAGUGGCUAAUUGUUUACGUAUCCAAGAAUAUAUAUGCGAUCUAAAAAAAUAUAAAAAAGGGGAUAUUAACUGAUACAUGGUUUCCAGUUCAAGAGCCAUCAUCAAAAUUACAAGAUUCUUAUUGCCAAAUUCUUCUCAACCAAAUAAAAGUUUCAUUAAAUUGAAUUGAAUAGCAUCAAAUAUUCAAUGGAUCAGCUAAAUAAAAGGUACUGUUUGUAAAAACAAAUUUAAUAUAUCUCAAAAUUAAGCAGAUUAUUUUGGUAAUUAAAAUAAGAACUUCAAAAAAUAUAAUAAAGAAAUGAAUUAAUAUGGCCUGACGUAGUUAAAACAUAUCGGUAGACUCGAGUAACUUGUUUAAAUAUUAUUGGUUUUUUUUUUGAAAAAAUAAUUUUGGUCAAAACGAUGUUAUUUUAAAUUUUUUUAUAAAAAAAUUAGAUUAACUUGGGUUAACCCUCCUAUAUUAUACCUAAUUCUUGACCCGGGACGUUGAACCUCAAGUAAAGUUUUAAAAACGUUGUCCCUAUAAUUUUUUUUCUAACAAUGUAGCACUAUAUUCACUUUUCAUUUCUUUAAUUUCACCAUUUUUAUCUUGAUUUAAGUUUUUUUAAUUUAAUUUAAUCAAUUUUAUUAUCGGUUAAAUUUCUUAUAUUUUAAUAGCCUAAAAAAAUUAUAAUAAGUGGUUUACAUUACCAUACAACAAAAAAUUAAUAGCAUACAUAUCUACAGUCAUGAUUGAUUAAAUAUUGAAAAAACUUAUCAAGAAAAUUAAUAUAAUCAAGAAUAAAGAGUUCAGAAUUUUUGUUAAAAUUCAAAAAAAUGGUGAAAUGUCUGAUUUUUAGGGAUAAUGUCAACAAUUUCAUUAAAUCUAAAAAAGUUAUGAAAUCUCCUAUCUUCAAGGAUUAACGUGAAAGUUUUUGUUAAAAUUCAAGAAAUUGUGAAAUCUAUUGUCUUUAGGGAUUAAUGUAAAAAAAAUUAAAAAAUUAAUGAGACCUCCUAUUUUAGAGAAUGAAGAUGGCAAAAUUUUUGUUAAAAUUCUUUUAUUCAUAACAGUUGAGAUUAAAAUAAUUUAGAAAAACAUAAAUAAUGGUAAUUUUUCAUUUAAAAAAAUAUGAUAAGGAUGAUGUUUAACCUAAUACUUGAAUCUUUAAAAAACUAAUAUCAAUUUUAGAAUUUUUAAAUUUUUUUAAUUAUUAGAUAACAAUUCUUUUUAUUGCGUUAGUCACGGUGUGUUGCUAAAAUUAACAUCAUAUUUUACUAUCAUUACACUAUAAAAAAACAAAAAACAAUAUGUAACGGCUCUUCAAAAUAUACUAGCUUUGAUACCCGCGCGAUGCCGUGGGUUAUUUUUUUUUGCAUAAAAAAUAUUAAAAAGAAUAAAAAUUUAAAAAUCUUGGGUUUUUCUACAAAGUUAUACCCAAGAAUCUUGGGUUUGGCUGCAACGCCUGACCUAAGAGUAAUAUUUAUAAUAUUAAUAAUAAAAUUAAACUUGCAUGACCCAAGUUUAAGUGAGUCUGGCUGUAACACCGGACCCAAAAAUACUGGAUGUAGGUCUAGCUAUAAGGUCGUGUCACAAAAGUGUGAUAAUUAAAUAGAUUAAUUACAAAAAACAAAAAAAAUCAACAGGAAGGAAAAAACUAAUGAAGAAAAAGAAAAAAAAUUGAAUUAAUUGGGUUAACCUUUUAAACCAGGUUAUCCCGUAAAACCUGAGAUAUGCGUUAUCAACGUUUGAUAACUAAAUAGAAAAAAAAAUGACGGGUUUACCUAGAAUUAACCAGGUUAACCCAUCAAAUCAAGUUAACCCGUCAAGCCCAGGAUACGUGUCAUGAAAGUAUGAAAGUCUAAUAAUUAAAUAGAAAGAAAAUUAACUUUAACAAACUAAACUAAAUGAAAAAAAUAACUCGUCAAAUCAGGUUAACCCAUCAAACCCGAGAUUCGUAUUAUGAAAAUCUGAUAACUAAAUAAAACAAAUUUAACAUUAACAAACUAAAUCAAACAAAAAAAAUUCAUUAAAAAAAUAAAAAGAAAAAACAAAAGAAAAAAACAGUUAUAUAAUAUAAUACAAUAUAAUUAUAAUUAUAAUGAAAAAACGUGGGGAAAAUUUAAAAAAAUGGAAAAAAAGUGGGGAAAGCUAAAGCUAAAGCUAAAUUCUCAACCAACUCAAUAUUUAAAAAAUAAAUUUAACAAAGAUAAUUUAAAAAAAAAAACAUGUGGGGGAAACACUAUAGCCAAACAAAAACCAUGUAAGGGAAACACUGUAGUAAUCCAUAGUAUUUUUUUUUUAAAAAAAGCUACAAAGCUAAUCUCUCAACCAGUUCAAUAUAUAAAAAAAACGGAAAAAGGCUAUCUAAAAAAAAAAAGUCAAUUUUGGGUAAAAGAAAUGAAAAAAAAUGUACAAAAAAGGAAACAAAAGCGAAAAAAAAACACGUGGGGAAAGCUACAGUGUUUUAAAGAAAAAGACAAAAAAACUAAAUUUUCAACCAGCUCAAUAGUAAAAAAAUAAAAUCAACAAAAAUAAUUCUGAAAAAAAAAAAAACAAAAAAAAUAUGUAAAAAAUGACAAUUUUGGAAAAAAAAAAACAUAUGGGGAAAGUUAAAGCUAGAUUAUCAGCCAGCUCAAUAUUGAAAAAAUAAAUUCGAUAAAGAUAAUUUUUUAAAAAAAAUAUAUGGGGAAACACUGCAGCAAAACAAAAACUAUAUAGGGGAAACACUGUAGCAAUCCAUAUUGUUUUUUUUUAAAAAACUACAAAGCUAAAUUCUCAACCAACUUAAUAAAAAAAAAAAAAUCUAAAAAGAUCAUUUUGAAAAAAAAAAAAGAAUAAAGAAAUCAUAAAAAAAAGAGAAAACAAUGUAUGAGAAUAUUAUAGCAAUCCACAACGAGAUGAUUUGCCCGCGCGCUGCCGCGGACUUAUAAAACAAAUGCACUUGAUAGUGUUAUAAUUGUGAACCAGCGCUAGAUAAGUAAUAGAAAUUAAAGGUAUGAUGGAGCAAAUAUUUCAUGACGGAAAAAAAAGUUAUGUUGGUGAUCAAAAACUUAGAGACUGAACAAAAUGAUUUGUAGCAAUCUACAGUGUUUUGUGAGGAAAGAUACAGUGAUUUCGCCACAUGAUUUAGCUUUUCAGUUAAUAAAAAGCAAAAAAAAAUACAAAGCUAAACUCUCUACCAACUUAAUAUUAAAAAAAAACCAACAAAGAUAAUUUUGGAAGAAAAAAAACCCAUGAGAAAAAACGUUGCAGCAAUUGACAAUGUUUUGUGAGGAAAACUAUAGCGUUUUUCCCAAUAAAAUAAACUAAAAAACUAUUUAGAGAAAUAUUAUAACAAUCCAUAGUGUUUUGUGAGAAAAACUACAACGCUUUCCUCAUAUGAUUUAGCUUUAUUGUAAUUAUAAUUCUGAACCAACUCAAUAUUAAAAAAAAAAUCGAUAAAGAUAAUUUUAGAAAAAAUCAUAAAAAAAUCACAUGGAAAAACACUGCAACAAUUCACAGUGUUUUAAAGAAAAAAAUAACAAAGCUAAAUUCUUAAUCGGCUCAAUAUUAAAAAAAAUCAACAGAGAUAAUUUUAGAAAAAACAAAUAACAAAACAAACACAAAAAAAAGGGAAAAAAAUCAUGUUGGAAACACUGUAGCAUUUCACAGUGUUUUGUGAUGAAAUCUACCGUGCUUCCCCACAUGAUUUAGCCUUAUUUGUAAUGACUUGUAAUUGUAAUUCACAAACAACUCAAUAUUAAAAAAAUAAAAUUAAAAAAGAUAAUUUGAAAAAAAUUAUAACAAAAAAACUAUACGGAGAGAUACUGUAGCAAUCCACAAUGUUUUAUGAGCAAAGCUACAAUACUUUCCCCACAUGAUUAAGCUUUAUUACAAAGUUAAAUUUUAACCAACUCAAUAUUUUAAAAAAAUAAAAUCGACGAAAAUAAUUUUGGAAAAAAAUAUUACGAAAAAAAACACAAAAGAAACUGGAAAAAACCAUGUGAGGAAAAACUGUAUCAAUCCAUAGUGUUUUUUGAGGAAAAACUUGUAUUUACUUGUAAUUUUAAUUUUUAACCAGCUUAAUAUUUAAAAAAUAAAAUUGACAAAGAUAAUUUUAGGAAAAAACAUAACAAAAACAGAAAAAAACCAUGUGGAAAAAAACAUUGUAGCAACCAACAGUAAUUUUCGAGGAAAGUUACAGUGCUUUCUUCACAUAUUGUAACUGUAAUUUUUAACCAGCUCAAUAUUAAAAAAUAAAAUAAAAAAGAUAAUUUCGGAGAAAAUCAGAAAAAAAACCACGCGGAGAAACACUGUAGCAAUCAACAAUGUUUUAAAAAAAAUUACAAAACUAAAUUCUCAAUCAGCUCCAUAUUAAAAAAAAUAAAAAAUAUAAUUUUGAAAAAUAAAGAAAUAAAAUAGAAAAACUAUGUGGAAAAACAUCGCAGCAAUCCACAGUAUUUUUAAGAAAAAAAUUACAAAACAAAAUUUUUAAUCAUGUCAAUAUUUAAAAAGUAAAAUCAACAAAAAUAAUUUUGGAAAAAACAAAAGAAAAAAUUAGGAAAGUUGAAAAAAAAAAAAUUUGAAAAAAAAUUUUUUGAAAAAAAAAAAUAAAAAAAAAACAAAAAAAAAAAGAAAAAAGAGAAAAGUUAAUAAAAAAAAGAAGAGAAGAAUCACUGUGGAUUACUGUUGUAAUCCACAGUAAAAUGUGUGUGGGGGGAACAGUGAUUCCCCCACACCAUUUAGAGUAUGUUUUAAUGUUUUAAAGAAAAAAACUACAUAGUUAAAUUUUUAACCAGUUCAAUAUUUAAAAAAAUUAGCAAAGUUAAUUUUGAAACAAAUUUUUUUUAAAAAAAAAACAAAAAAAAAGAAGAAAUCAAUUUUGGGUAAAAAAAAUGAAAAAAAAAACAUGUAAAAAAAAAACUGCUGCUACAGUGAAAAACCCACAUGUUUUAGAGUUCUUUAAUUUAAGGACACUUUUUACUGUAACUAAAUAUUUUCGAUCCGUAACAAAAUUAUCAGAAAUGAUAAUUAUAUAUAAUGUCAUAAUUAAGUUGAUGCAGCGACACCAAACCCUCUAUAAAAUAGAUUAAAGAUCCAAUUUAAUAAUUUGAUGAAAUUGAAAAUUAAAGAUCUAAUUUAAUAAUUUGAAGGAAUUUGAUAUGAUUUAUAUAUUACUUUCAAAUUAUAUGUAAUCUUUUAUGUUAUGAAAAGGAGGUUUGAAUUCAAGAUUUUCUAGGAAGAAUUAGCAACAAUAUGUAAAGGCAGGUUCAUCUGCAUCGAUACGAGAGAGUUUUAUUUGCUAGGACAUGCCUUGUUGUAUGAUUUAUACAGUGUUUGAUUUUGUACUUCAACAACAUUUAAAAAAAAAUUAAAUUUUGAAACACUACAAAAACUAAAAAAAAAAAAUCUUGAGACACUAAAAUACAAGCUUCCUUUUUUUUUUUUCCAACCUACAAGUUGUGCUCUCCAAAAACUAAUAAAAAAAAACUAAUAAAAACUAACUUAAUUUGAGACACUAAAAUAAAAAAAUGUUGAGACACUAAAAUACAAGCUUCACCUGCAACGCCAAACCCUAAGUAUAUAAACUAACUUCCAUUCACAAUCAUCAGCCGCCUCCUUCUCUUCACCCUCUCUUUCUCUCUGCUCAUCCCGUCAUCAUUGCUUCUCUCUCUCUCUCUCUCUCUCUCUCUCUCUCUCUUUCCAAUCAGAACUAAACAGACGAUGGCUGAGGCACUUCUAUCUCCGAUCUUGGAGCAGUUAACCACGAUCGUUGCUCAACAGGUAUUUUUCUACCAUCUGCAAUAACCUGAUUUACCUAGCAGAGAUAAGAAAUAUAUAUGAAGUUCAAGCCUUUUUUCUUCCUAUCAUAAAAAUAAUACUUUUAACUUGAAUAAAUAAAAAUAAUAUUUUAAAUCCUCAAGUAUAUAUUUGGAUUUUAUUAAAGAAUCUUCUUUUUCUUGUUUUAUUAUUUUUCAUAUUUCCAAAAAUAACCUAAAGAAAAUAUAUCAUUCCAAAUAUAGGAAAACCGAAAAAGGCAAAACAAGAAAUAUUAAGGGUAAAAUAAUCAAUAAAAAGUUCAAAGGAUUACCGAGCGAGUAUAUAUAUAUAUAUAAGGUAAAAUAUCUAUAGUUUAAUGUAAAAUAAAAACCAGAUUUUAUGUCGGUUCAAAGGAGAAAUCCUUCUCUCGGGAGAACAUUAAACUCUUUCCAUGCCUAUAUUAAUUAUAUAUAUAUAUAUAUACACGUUCAGGUUUAACGUUUUACCAUUUAAGAUUCAUUUUAUACCUUCUUGUACAGUAGCAUAGUGCAGACUGAUAUCAUCAUAAUGAUGAUAAAAAGAAAAAAAAUAUAUUAUUAUUUCUAAUAAAUAUUUUAUAUAUAAAUUAUUAAUAUAGUAAAUCCAUUUCACAAUAAAAUAUAUUAAUACAAAAUAGAAAUGUUUCCUAUGCUUGAACUUCCUUGUCUUUUCCACACUAAUAGGUACUGGAAGAGGUGAACCUAGUAGGGGGUGUGAAAUUGUCUUCAAAUCAGAUAAAUGUUUCCCAUGCUUAACGUUUCUUUUCCUUUGUAAACUAAUAGGUACAAGAAGAGGUGAACCUAGUAGUGGGUGUGAAGAAACAAUGUGACAAGCUGAAAAGCAAUCUCCUUGAUAUCCAAUCUGUCCUUGAAGAUGCAGAUAGAAAACAAGUUAAGGAUAAGGCUGUAAGAAAUUGGGUAGACAAGCUCAAAGAUGCAUGUUAUGAUAUGGAUGACGUGCUAGAUGAAUGGAGCACUGCAAUUCUUAGAUGGAAAAUGGAGGAAGCUGAAGAAAAUACUCACAGCCGACAGAAGAUACAGUGUUCCUUCCUGGGAUCUCCUUGCUUUUGUUUCAAUCAAGUGGUCCGACGUCGCGACAUUGCCCUGAAGAUCAAAGAAGUUAGUGAAAAAGUGGAUGACAUUGCCAAAGAGAGAGCUAAGUAUGGCUUUGAUCUGUACAAAGGCACUGAUGAACUCCAGCGACUAACAACUACCUCCUUUGUUGAUGAAUCAAGCGUGAUUGGUCGAGAUGGUGAAAAGAGAAAUGUUGUAAGCAAGUUGCUGGCUGAAAGUAGUCACGAAGCACGGGACGUGGAUGUCAUCUCUCUAGUAGGGCUGGGCGGAAUUGGAAAAACAACUCUCGCCCAACUAGCAUUUAAUGAUUCUGAGGUUACGGCUCAUUUUGAGAAAAAGAUAUGGGUGUGUGUUUCAGAACCAUUUGAUGAGAUUAGAAUAGCCAAAGCUAUCCUUGAGCAGCUUGAAGGGAGACCAACGAAUUUGGUUGAAUUGCAAUCCCUUUUGCAAGGGGUUUCUGAAUCCAUUACUGGAAAGAGGCUCCUUCUUGUCCUUGAUGAUGUAUGGACAGAAAAUCAUGGACAAUGGGAACAACUGAAACCAUCUCUCACAGGCUGUGCACGAGGAAGCAGAAUUCUAGUGACCACUCGUAAGGACGCUGUGGCAACGAUGAUGGGAACUGACCACCGGAUCAACAUUGAGAAAUUGUCCGAUGAGAUAUGCAGGUCAAUAUUCAAUCAUGUGGCAUUCCAGGAAAGAAGCGAAGAUGAGCGCGAAAGAUUGACAGAUAUCGGCGAUAAAAUUGCAAACAAGUGCAAGGGCUUGCCGCUAGCUGCCAAGGUAUUAGGAGGUCUAAUGCAGUCUAAAAGAACAAGAGAAGAGUGGGAACGUGUUUUAUCUAGCGAACUGUGGAGGCUAGAUGAGGUUGAUAGAGAUCAGGUUGAAAGUCGAAUAUUUAUACCUUUGCUUUUGAGUUACUACGAUUUACCUUCUGUGGUAAGACGAUGUUUCUUGUACUGUGCCAUGUUUCCAAAAGACUUCGAGAUGGUCAAAGAUGAAUUGGUGAAGAUGUGGAUGGCUCAAGGUUACAUCAAGGAGACUUCAGGUGGAGAUAUGGAGCUUGUAGGAGAGCGGUACUUUCAUGUCUUGGCAGCGCGCUCUUUCUUCCAAGAUUUUGAGACGGAUAGAUUUGAAGGAAUGAAAUUCAAGAUGCAUGAUAUAGUGCAUGAUUUUGCCCAAUAUAUGACAAAAAAUGAAUGUCUAACCGUGGAUGUCAAUACACUUGGAGGAGCAACAGUGGAGACUUCAAUUGAAAGGGUUCGUCAUUUAAGCAUGAUGGUGUCAGAGGAGACAUCUUUUCCCGUGUCUAUUCACAAAGCCAAAGGUCUUCGCAGCCUCUUGAUCUACACUAGAGACCCUUCGUUUGGAGCUGCACUGCCUGAUUUGUUCAAGCAGUUGACAUGCAUCCGGUCAUUGGAUUUGUCAACGUCUUCUAUCAAAGAAAUACCGAACGAGGUAGGGAAAUUGAUACAUUUGAGACACCUCAAUCUGGCAUCUUGUGGAGAGUUGGAGUCCCUGCCAGAAACCAUGUGUGAUUUAUGCAAUCUGCAAUCCCUAGACGUUACUUGGUGUCGGUCUCUCAAGGAAUUGCCCAAUGCGAUUGGAAAACUUAUCAAAUUGAGGCAUCUCCGGAUUUAUCGUUCAGGUGUGGACUUCAUACCAAAGGGAAUAGAGAGGAUAACAUGUCUUCGAACAUUAGAUGUGUUUAAAGUGUGUGGUGGUGGUGAGAAUGAAAGUAAAGCAGCUAAUCUAAGAGAAUUAAAAAACUUAAAUCACAUUGGAGGGAGCUUUAGUAUACGGAAUCUAGGAGGAGGUAUAGAAGAUGCGAGUGACGCUGCAGAAGCACAACUCAAGAAUAAGAAGCGCCUGCUUCGUUUGGAAUUGGGUUUCGACUACAACCAGGAGAACGGCAUUUUAAUUGAAGCUUUACAGCCUCCGUCAGACUUGGAAUGUCUGACCAUAUCUAGUUACGGAGGGUUGGAUUUGCCACAUUGGAUGAUGACAUUAACCAGAUUACAGGAGCUUAGACUUGAUGAUUGUACAAACCUGGAGGUCUUGCGUCCGUUGGGAGGAUUGCCCAACCUUGAAAUCCUGGUACUGAGCUCGUUGAAGGUGAGAAGGCUGGAUGCUGGAUUUUUAGGUAUAGAAAAGGAUGAGAAUGCCAGUAUUAAUGAAGGAGAAAUUGCAAGGGUCACUGCUUUCCCCAAAUUAAAAAGACUUGAUUUUAGGCAUCUCUUAGAAGUAGAAGAGUGGGAAGGAAUUGAAAGGAGAGUGGGAGAAGAAGAUGUCAACACAACUUCAAUAAUAUCCAUUAUGCCACAACUUCAAUAUUUGAGAAUUAUCAAUUGCCCGUUGCUGAGAGCACUACCAGACUAUGUUUUGGCAGCGCCUCUACAGGAAUUAGACAUAAGGUGGUGCACCAUUCUAAGGAAACGUUACGGGAAGGAGGAGAUGGGUGAAGAUUGGCAAAAGAUUUCUCACAUCCCAAACAGUUAUUUUUAUGAUUAGGUGAGAAAGGCAGAACUCUUUAGAACCUGCUUUGAGUGUAUUAAUUAUUUGCUUUGGUGUUUGCUAAGGUUGAGUGUAAAUAAUAUGUAAGCCUUACCAUUUACUCUAUGUGACUGUUUCAGUGGAUUAAAUCCAAGAAAUUCUUAAACCUCAGUUUCAGUGGAUUUCAUUCAAUGUGACUUUACUGUAAUUCGAUUUUAUUUCCUACUUACCAUUUACUCUCUCAUCCUCUCCCUCUCCCUCUCUCUCUCUCUCUCUCUCUACUGUAAUUGGUUUUAUUUCCUACUUACCAUUUACUCUAUCAAAAGCAGCUGUCAUAUUAUCUCGCUCACGUGAAGCUUAUUCCUUACUUAAAUUCUCCAAAUGCCACUCUAAAAAAAUUGCGUUUGAAAUUUCAACUACUGUAACUCAUAUCUAUAAUUAAUCUAUAUAUUUUAACAUCCUCUCUCUCUCUUUCUCUCUCUCAACAUAAAAUGAUAUGUAAUUCAUAUGUUUCUUUGAGUGUAUUAAUUAUUUAUUAUUGAAUAAAUAAUAAAUAAUUGAAGUAAGGAGAAAGGAAUUAUUUAUUAUUGAAGUAAUAAAUUAUUUAUUACUUCUUCGAGUAAUAUUAAUUAUUUAUUACUUCUUUGUGAUUUACUUCUUUGAGUGUAUUAAUUAUUUAUUAUUGAAGUAAGGAGAAAGGAAUUGAAUUUAGAAUGCUAAAAGUAAGCCAUGGGGGCAGCUGAAGCACAGAGGUGGUAAUUAAGCAAGUAAUCUAGCUAGAUUGCUGCCCUUGGAAGUUAUUAGUGUCACUUCCAAUGCAAGUUCUCUACAAUUUUUAAUCUUUGUAUCGAAGGCUUCAUGCAUGAAAUAAUUUAUUGCUGGAGGAGGAGCAGGGGCCCCUAGCUGCUGUUUAAUAACGAGGCACAUUGCAAUUUUUAAAAAUGUUUUUUUUUUUAUCUAAAGAUAUAUUAAAAUAUCUUCUUAGAUUUUUUUAUUUUUUAUAUUAAUACAUUAAAAUUAUAUAAAAAAAUACUAGAAAAAUAUUAAUUUGACUUUUUAAAGCCAAUAUACACUUUAAAAUACAUUUAAACACAAUUUCAAAUGCAAAAACAAAAAAGUUUAUGAAUCCUAUCAGCCCCAAGGUUGUAUUGUACAUUUAUUAUUGUAAUGUGAGACACGUCUUUCUAAACCAAUAUAUUUGUAAAAUUUAAAAGUUAACUCUUCAUUCAAAUUAUUUAAAUAACCUGAUAUGAGAUAUAUCAUACAUAAUUAUUAGAUUAAUUAAUUCUGAAAAUUUAAUUAAUUAAUUCUGAAAUUAACAAUAAAAAUUAUUUAUGUUAUAUAAUGUAAAUUGUCAAAAAAAAUUUUAACAUCUAAAUCUAUUGAGUUAAUGUAUCUCGUAUAUAAAACUAUAUUUUAACAACAAUUUUGUCCAUGCUUUUCUCAGAGGGAAGAUUGUUAAAGACUUCAACUAAACCAUGAAAAAAAAAUUCACACAAAGCCCUAGCACCAAGUACCAUGGGCCAGCGCUCCCAUGGCCAGGCGAAAAGCUCCCCUGAAGAGCAACAUGUAGAAUUCAGGUAAUAGCUAUCACGCACUUUAAUAAGUUCAAUUAUUAGUAUUUUUAGCUGAAAUAUUGCACAAAAACUGCUAUAGAGAAACCCAUAUUUUGAUUUUGCAAUACUAAAAUGUUGCAUAAAGUUAAAAGUAUGUGUAACUGUGUAAACCAGUGGAACUGUGUAAAGGGGACUUAUGAUUAUGUUUAAAUGAAUUUUUUAAAUAAAUUGCAUGUCUUCACCAACUUUUACCUGCUUUUCUCACUUUAAUUUCUUUUCUUACUUUAAUUUUUUUUCUUUCCAUUCAACUUUCACCCAAAAAAAAAACAUGUAAUUGGAUUCUAAUAUUCAACAAAAAAAAAAUCAACUUAAUUGUUAAAAUAAAAUUUAGAGAUUAAAUUAAAAAUUUUCAAAAAUUUCAUUGCUCCAACCCGCAAUGAGAGAGGGUAAUAAUAAUUUAAUAAACAGUAAAAAAACCCCACGCUUUAGCUUUAUACUUAAUAUUGAAGAUUUAUAUUUUUAAUAAAUUCAACAAAAUAUACUGAAUGUCUAGAAGCUUGGUGGCCAAGUUCAGAUCAUGAGUUUUCGUUUAUUGUCGAGGAUGAUUUGGAGGUUUCGCCGCUGUUUUAUAAAUUUGUGAGGGGUUUGAUUGUUAAUUACCGUUACAAUGUGUCGAAUUUUAGUCCUUUUAUAUAUGAUAUGGUGCUUCACUUCAGCGUCAACGGUUUGUCCCAGGGACUGCUCUUUUUUCAGGUUUUGUACUUGUUAGACUGGAUGUUUUAAUGUUCAAUGUUAAGGUUUCCAGAUUUCUUGAUUUGUUAUAAAAAAUUGAAUUCAUUAUAUUCUUUAAAUAUCCUUGGAUGUUUUUGAGUUAAAAAUCCACUAUUACCAUUAUUGUCGCCACCCCAAUCCUUUUUCUAUCCUAUAAGUAAAUUCUUGAAUUUAAUAAAUUUUAGUGCUUAAUUUAUAAAAUUAUUUUCAAUCAAGUCACACUUGAUUAAUUAUCUUAAUUUAAUUUCUGACUAAUGAUUCUUAAUGUAUAUGACCCAUUGAGUUUCUAAUAUGUUGGCCCCAAAUAUAAGUUAUGUUUUAAUGUUCAAUGUUAAGGUUUCCAGAUUUCUUGAUUUGUUAUAAAAAAUUGAAUUCAUUAUAUUCUUUAAAUAUCCUUGGAUGUUAACGUUUCUAAGGUGUUUUGGGUCAAAAGAACCUUGAGCUCAAUUUUCUAGCCACCACAGUGGUUGAAAUUUGAGCAAAAUAGACGACGCGUUGUUUAUUUUGACAGACAACAUGUCAUUUGAUUUAUUUAUUUUUUUAAAAUAAAACGAAUGACAUGUCGUCCACCCCAGGUGCAUUUUAAAAAACGACCUAGUCACGUGGUCCUUCCUUGGCAGGCCCGUGCAUGGGCCCUGAUGAAAGGGGUUAGGUAGACCCAGCAACGCCUAACCUUUUUUUUAUUUUUUUUUAUUUCAAUUAAUGCUUCUUUUUUUAUUUAAAAAGAAACUUUAUUAUAUUUAUAUUAAUACACUUUCUCUUUUUUAUUUUGUUUAAAAAGCCUUUUUUAAAAGAUGAUGAUUUUUUGGAUAUCCAUUUAAUUUUCAAAGAGAUUUUCCUUAUUCAUCUAUAAUUAAUGCCAAAUAAAUUGUUUCACAUCAAAUUAACCUCUACAUUUUGUUUCACUUUUGAAACUCAAAAUGACAAGUCAUUUCCAUAGAAACAUACAAAUAGAAAAAUGACCGAUGCAUAAUACUUAAACCCAAUGUGAAGCAAUGGCCAAGUAUAGACUUGCCUUUGCCUUUUUCCUUUUUACACAUAUUUUCUCAUUGUUUCAGUGACAUUUGCUUGCAUCAACCUUGUAGGAAAUUAGUUGCUUUAUACUGAAGUUUCAGAAUCAUACUCUAACCCCAGUCUUAAGCAAAUUAUCUUAAUUUGCAGUAUAUAUUGCCUAAACUUCAUUGAGAAUAACCUCAAAUUAAUUUUCUCUGGCACUCCACAGUAGAUCACUAUCCUUCCUAUCUUCAUCAACUUCUCAUUUCAUCAGUCAACAACGCCCCAUUACUUUCUCUCCUUUUUCUUGACACAUUCAGUAGUAAGAACAACAAUGGCUGACGCACUUGUAUCCCCAAUUUUGGAGCAGUUAACCACGAUCGUUGCUCGACAGGUACUCUUUUUUGUUUCUUUCUUUUUUUUUUGUUUUUUUUAUAAUCAACAGGUACUUAAUUACUUUUCUACAAUUUUGCAAUUAACCUAACAUUUAUAGUUCAUUAUACAUUGAUUUCAUUAUCUUAUAGAAUAUCUGUUAAUUUGUCAGAAGCUAAAUCAGUAGCUUGAUUUAUAUAUUAUCACAUUGCAUGUUAUCAAAUAAAAUACACACACAGACACACAAGAUAGCGGGUUCUUACGAUUCUCUUUCUUUAUAUCUUUUGUGCUAUACAAAAUAUGGUUAUUGUGAUGGCUGGUUAGAACAAAUCAAUAUAGUAAAAUAGUAGUAAAUUCCUUUUUCAAUAAUUCCUUAUCAUAUUUGAAUGCAUAAAUCAUUAUAUUUGUAAUAAAAUUAUUAUGAUAAAAUGAUUAAAAUAAAUAUAGUCAAAUAUUCGAUUAAUUACAAACAUGAUUAUAGAAAUUCUAAUAUUUCUUUUUUAUUUUGAUAUCAACCUCACAGAAUUUUUAAAAAAAUAGACUAUGAUAAUUAUUAAAAGUCACCUAAUAAUAUUGUGAAAUUGCAAUGUAUUGCGCUCCACAAUUAUAUGAUUAUUAUAAUAUCUAUGAAUUCUAUCUUUUAUCUAAAGAAAUCCUUUAUUCAAAUAAAAUAUAUUUUAAUUCACGCAUCUAGUAAAUUUUAGUACAAUAAUUGUGCAUUAGCAUUACAUUAUUUACGAGUCAUUUUAUUUUAGAGAGUUUAUUAUAUAUAAUUUGAAUAUAAUUAACAAUAUAAAUAUAUUAAUUGCUACUGUGAAAAAGUUUAAUAAAAAUGAUUUAAUCUAUUAAUUGCUAAAAAAUAAGAAUUUGUACUGAAAUCAUAGAAAUGUUUCCUAUGCUUAACGUUUCUUUUCCUCUGUACACUAAUAGGUACAAGAACAGGUGAACCUAGUAGUGGGUGUGAAGAAACAAUGUGACAAGCUGAAAAGCAAUCUCCUUGAUAUCCAAUCUGUCCUUGAAGAUGCAGAUAGAAAACAAGUGAAGGAUAAGGCUGUAAGAGAUUGGCUAGACAAGCUCAAAGAUGCAUGUUAUGAUAUGGAUGACGUGCUAGAUGAAUGGAAGCACUGCAAUUCUUCGAUGGAAAAUGGAGGAAGCUGUAGAAAAUACUCACAGCCGACAGAAGAUACAGUGUUCCUUCCUGGGAUCUCCUUGCUUUUGUUUCAAUCAAGUGGUUCGACGUCGCGACAUUGCCCUGAAGAUCAAAGAAGUUAGUGAAAAAGUGGAUGACAUUGCCAAAGAGAGAGCUAAGUAUGGCUUUGAUCUGUACAAAGCCACUGAUGAACUACAGCGACUAACAACUACCUCAUUUGUUGAUGAAUCAAGCGUGAUUGGUCGAGACGGCGAAAAGAGAAAUGUUGUAAGCAAGUUGCUGGCUGAAAGUAGUCAAGAAGCACGGGACGUGGAUGUCAUCUCUCUAGUAGGGCUGGGAGGAAUUGGAAAACUCGCCCAACUAGCUUUUAAUGAUGCUAAGGUUACGGAUCAUUUUGAGAAAAAGAUAUGGGUGUGUGUAUCAGAUCCAUUUGAUGAGGUUAGAAUAGCCAAAGCUAUCCUUGAGGAGCUUGAAGGGAGGGCAUCUGAUUUGGUAGGAUUGCAAUCCCUUUUGCGAAGGGUUUCUGAAUCCAUUAAGGGAAAGAGGUUCCUUCUUGUCCUUGAUGAUGUCUGGACAGAAAAUCAUGGACAAUGGGAACAACUGAAACCAUCUCUCACAGGCUGUGCACGAGGAAGCAGAAUUCUAGUGACCACUCGUAAGGACGCUGUGGCAACGAUGAUGGAAACUGACCACCGGAUCAACAUUGAGAAAUUGUCCGAUGAGAUAGGUGAGAAAGACAGAACUCUUUAGAACCUGCUUUGAGUGUAUUAAUUUAUUAUUAUUAUUUUUUUUGCUUUGAGAGUAUUAAUUAUUUGCUUUGGUGUUUGCUAAGGUUGAGUGUAAACAAUAUGGAAGCCUUACCAUUUACCUAUGUGACCUCUCUCAUCCUCUCAACAUAAAAUGAUAUGUAAUUCAUAUGUAUAAUUUCUCUCUCUCUCUCUCUUUUAAACCUCAGUUUCAGAUAAAUGAGAGAAUGGUAGACUUGGAAGCUAAACCUUUCAUCUAUAAGUGAUAUACCCAUCGAUUUUGGAGACUAAAUCCAAAUAAAGUUAUCCAAACCUAACACAAAAAAUCUUCAACAAUAAUUAAAUUACAAAUCAACAACAAAAUUCAGCAGCAAGGCCUAAUUAAAUGUUUACUCAUUUUUAUUUUUUUUAUAAAAAUAUGGUGAUCAAAUGCAGGUCAAAUAUUUUUAUUUUUUAAUAAAAAUUUAGUUCUUUAAAUAUAUUUUUCUAGUUCAAAAAAUAUAAUAAAUUAAAAAUUUUAUAUACAUCUAAUCAAAUAAAUUAAAAAAUAUUUAUGUUAAUAAAUAAAUAAAAAUUUGUUAAUAAUACUUAAAAACAAAACUGGUUCAAGCCUUCAUUGAGCUCAAUGUAAAGAGGACCAACCUGCCGUCAUAAAAGCCCAAAAUACUCCAUUAUAAAAGCCCAAGUAAAUAUCCCUGUCUUUCUCUCCCACACACUCGCAUUCUCAGUUUUUCCUCUCUGCGUCUUCAAGCAAUAAACCAUGGGUGAUAGCCAGUACUCCUUUUCUCUCACUACUUUCAGUCCUACCGGAAAGCUAGUACAGAUUGAGCACGCAUUGACUGCCGUUGGAUCAGGCCAAACUUCUCUCGGAAUCAAAGGUUGUUGCAAUUUAAGCUCUCUCUCUCUCUCUCUUUUCUCUCAUUUUCUUGUCAUUUUCGAAUGUACUAUGUUGUUGAUGGGUGCUUAGAUACUAUGUUGUUGAAUUUUUUUUUUUUGGUGUUGUAGCGGCAAACGGUGUUGUUAUUGCAACUGAGAAGAAAUUGCCAUCUAUUUUAAUCGAUGAAUCUUCUGUAAGUAAACUUUUUUUUUUUUUUUCGGUUUUGUUAUAUUCUUUGGUUGAAAUUCAAGAAACCCUUUUGUUUUUUUGCGUUUUUUAUUGUGUUUUCUUUGUGAACUUUUCGGGCUGGCCCUGCGAUCUUUUAGUAAUAACCUAAGUAUAGAGACAUGGGCUUGUAGCACUCUAAUUGAAGAAGCUGAUGAUUCUUGUGGAAAAGCAACGUGGAUUCUAGUCAAUGAGGUGUUGGUCUAGUAGUUAACAGGUUUAUAUUGAGAUUCUUAGGAGUCAUUUGAGUUUAGUGACAUCGGCUGGUAGAAAUCUGUUAAAAUUCGGUGUAAAUUUGUAAUUUUUAUUAGUAAUUUGAGCUUAGUGAUUUGGGCUCUUGCCAAUGAGGCGUUACUAUACUAGUUAAUGACUCUAAGAUUGAGACUUUGGAUGUUGGAGUCUCUAGAUUUAUAUCCUCAUUAAUCCCACAUUGUAUAAAAAGGUGUUGUUGAUUAUUUUAAAUCGUCUUGAAUGAGGUGGAGAUGGUUUGAUUUUGGAGCCAGUCGAUUGGUCUAUUAUUCUAAUUUGCAAGAUGGCAUGGAUUUUGGAUUAAAUCCAAAUAAAGUUAUCUAAACCUAACACAAAAAAUCUUUAACAAUGAAUGUCAUAACUCAAUUCUGGGUUAUUCUUCAAAAUCUAUUUUUUUAAAAUAAUAAUAAAAGCUGGCAACGUGGAGAAAGUAGGCGGGAAAUCAAGUUGCAAUUUUUGGAGGAAAUUCAAGACCUAAUUGUACUCCAUUAUGUCCAAAAAUGGAGAAAAAAAUGCAAAUUCAAGGUCAAAUUCAAUGAUUAUUGGACGAAUUUGCGUAAAAAUUAAGUCCAAUAACAUAAUUAAAUUUUUAAUAGGCCAAUUUGAUUUAAUCAUGGACCAAAUUAAAUUUUAAUUAUGUUUAAGAAUUAAUUUCGGUCCAAUUAAAGGAUUUAAUUAAGUGCAAGGACUUAAUUAUACUUUAAAUGGGUCAAAUUAAUUUUAUUUGGAGCCUAAUUGGUGAAAAAUUAAGUUUGAGAGCCUAAUUUGAGCAUAAUUGAGAAGAUUGGAAUUUUAAGAGACUAAAUUUAAUUUUUACCAAGUUAAUUGAUUGAAAUUAGGGGUCAAAUUGCAAGAAAAUUGAAGUUUUGGGGUCAAUUAGGGGUUAAAUUGACAAAAUUCACAACCAAGGAUCAAUCUGCAAAAGGCGCCAAACUAUAGGGGUUUAAUUGACAAAAUUCAGGGGUCAAAUUGAAGAAAUUGAAAGUUUAAUGGUCAAUUAGGGAUGAAAUUGCAUAAAUUCGAGACCAAUGACUAUACUGCAAAAGGCGCGUAAAUACAGGGCUAAAGUUGAAGUUCUGCAGGGGUCUUAUUCCAUUAAAUCAAAGGUUUAGGGUCAAUUAGGGGUUCAAUUGAACCAAAUUGAAAGCUAGAGGACUACAUUGAACUUCGGCAAAAUCCCUAAUUUUAACCCAAAAUGAUGUUGUUUUUGCGUUAAAAAAAAAAAGAAAGAUACCAGGCGACACGUUGCCUGGUCACUGUUCAUCUUCCCCGUGAACGCUGCCCGGGUAGCAGUUUUGCAGGUGCAUUUAAUGCCUCGCAUGUCCCCCAAAAUUGACAACACGUGCACCAAAAUAGUCACCUGAAAUCCCUCUAUCCCCGAGUAUUAUCUGGUCAGGCCUAUUAACAUGAAAACUGCUCCAGUGACCGGCCUGAAGUAGCCAACUCGGGCAGUUUUGGACUGUCAAAUUUGGCAGAUCGAGGUGCACACUUUGAACCAACGGUUGGAAUGCUUACCAACCAAACCAAAGGCCACGAUUUGACACCAUUAAAGAAAAAAUGUUCCUCUUCCAUCUCCUACAAAUAGGGCUGCAUUUCAUGGCCUGGAGGAGGAAGAAAUCGAGUCCAAAAUUGACAAAAAACCAGCCGCACCCUUCUGUUUUUCUCCUUUUCUUUUCUGCAACGAGUACUCUUUCUCUUUUCUCCUUCUCAGCCGUGCAUUCAGCCACCACCACUACCACCGCUAGCUUGACAACCAUCCUCUCCAGCACACUUCUCCCUCUCCAUUGAUUUCUUCUCCCUUUUCCUCCAUAGCGACAGCAGCUCAUCAGCACCACCAUUUUCUUUUUCUUCCUUCUCCAGCACCGGCAACAGCAACAUCAGCACCGACCUCCAUCCCCACAACCAGCUUUACCACCAUCAUUUCCAUCAACCCAGCUCUUCACCAGUGGCGGAGCAGCCACCGUGACCUUCUCUCUCUUCUCCUUCCAGCUUUUCUCUCUCCUCUGCAACUUUUUCUUCUUCCUCGCACAGUCGAAUCUGGCCACCAUCACCUCAGCCGACGCCCCCUGAGCCACCGGCUAAACCACCUCAUCACGACCGAGACCCCCACGCCAGGCAACUUCCUCCUCCCUGCUUUGCCUCUUUCUUCCUCGUCGUGGCUGCUGCAUGCAGAAUUUAUUUCUACAUGGAGUAAGCUAAUUAAUUAGCCCCUGGUUUGGGUCGGGCCAGUUAUAGCCCUGCCCAAGUGGUUGGGUCUUGCCUGGCCCCCAUUUAAAAAAAAAUCAAAAAAAGUUUUCAAAAAUCAUUUUAAAAAAAAUUUGGGAUUUUUCUCGCAUAUUUUUCUACCAAUUUUGCAUAAUAUCGGGUUGUAUAUUUACACUGUAAAAUACAAAUCUAGUAUUAAAAUACCCGGUUUUCUCCAAAAUAUUUCAAAAAAAAAAUCAAAACAUUUUCAAAAAGAAAAAAAUAUUUCGUUGCAUAUGGCCAAAUUCUAAAAAAAUUUCAAGCAUAUUUUCAUAAAAAAAAUUGCAUCUCUCUCAUGUUUUGAAAAUAAAAAAUGGAUAUCAUAAACAGUUUAUGAUCAUCCAUUAGUAUUUGGCCAACAUGUCAAAAAUCUUUUUCAAAUCUUUUUUUUAUGAUCUAGAUGUAGACUUUAAUAUUUGUGGGGUGUAAAAUUACAUGAUAAAGUACACCCUUAUGUAUUAAAGAUACAAGGUGUAAAUAAAUGCGAUGCCAAAAUUCAGACUUUAGAAUAGUUAGAAUUUAACCCGAUAAGGUAGAAACUCUCUCAUGAAGAGAGAUCUGCCUUGAGCCUUAGAAAAGACUAACGAAUAAAAACCCAACUUAGAAAAAAAACAAUCAAACAAACAAUGCAGCUUACCUGAGGUAGGGUGCAUUGGGGGUGAUGCGUCUUUCCCUUGCAUAACCAGUCCCUUACUCAUACUCUCGCAGACCAUAGAUUCCUAGUGACCAUAAUACUAGGUGGCGACUCCUAAACAUUAAUCAUAAUUCUAUAAUUAAAUCCAAAAACCCUUUCCAACACACAACACCUCACAUAGGAGGCACGGCAAAGAGCCUCCGCCGUCGCGGCGCUCACGCCCCCGCGACAAUGAAUAUGAUUUCUGCUAAUGAAAGGCAAGCCCCCUAGUGCCUGUGCUUUCUAAAUGCCAUCACAGCCCCAUUCAAGGAACUUCCAGACAGAGGAUUCUUCAGACCAAUAGCAUUAAUAAUGGAAGACAAUAUAGAUUCAAACUAUGAUAUCAGAAUCAAUAUAGAUACCACCAUAUUUGCUUAACCCAACAUACAAAGGACAAAUUGCAGAAACAAUGAUUCUAAACAUAAUAGAACCAGCACAUGGAAUAUAAAACAAAAGUUCAUCUCAACUCUAGUGAAGAUAUUCUAGGGGAGUUUUUCGAUCUAUUUUUGAGGGGUUUGUUGGGUAUUUUGAUUCAUUAGCAGCCUUCCAAGUCUUUGUGAUAUUAAUCCGUAAAGACAUGUAAAAAUACCUAGUUACCAUGAUGAGUUUCUCAAAUUUUUUUCAUAUGAAAAGAGAGGUUGAAACCCCGGACCAGUGACCUCCUAGGAAUCAUUAUGCACCCCAACCCACAUGGAAGUGUGAGAUCAACCUCUUAGGAAUCAUUGUGCACCCCAACUCAUAUGCAAGUGUGUAAUUGUUGGUGGACCUCGAGUUGCAGGCUCUCCCUUGUGGUUUUGUUUUUUAGAGUGGCUUACUGCUCACCCAUGGGUGGUGUCAAGGAGAUAUUAACUAACACAUGGUUUCCAAUUCAAGAGCCAUCAUCAAAAUCACAAGAUUCUGAUUGCCAAAUUCUCAACCAAAUAAAAGUUUGAUUAAAUUGAAUUGAAUAGCACCAAAUAUUCAAUGGAUCAACAAAAAUAAAAGGUAAUGUUUAUAAAACCAAUUUUAAUAUAGCUCAAAAUUAAGCGGAUCUUUUCGGUAAUUAAGGUAAGAACUUCAACAAAAAAAAAUAAAGAAAAGAAUUAAUAUGGCCUGACAUGGUUAAAAUAUCCCGGUAAACUCAAGUAAAAUUUGGUUAAAUAUUGUUGAUUUUUUUUGGAAAAAACAAUUUUAGUCAAAACAAUAUUAUUUUAAUUCAGAUUUGACAACUCAGGAUGCCUACUUUGAGGCAAUGGUUGGGAUCCUUACCAACUGAAUCAAGGGCUGAAAUUUUUUCCUGGUAUAAACAAGAUUGCUCUCUUCCACCUCCUAUAAAUAGAGGUGGAUUUCCUGGCCUGGGGGAGGAGAAAAUUAGGACCAAAGUCGGCAAAAAACCAGCCCCUCUGCCCUUGUUUCUGCAGUUUUUCUCUCCCUCUCUCCCCCCACCGUUCGAGCCACCACCUGCUCCACCACAGGUAGCUAGCCCAACCACAAGCUGAUCACCCCCAUUCCUGAAACAGUCACCGUUUCUUCCUCUCUCUCACCUCUGCAAAAUCCUUCUUCCUUCCCCCGUGAUCGACUCCGGCCACCAUUCCUCCCAGCGACGCCACCAAAACCAUCAACACAACCUCCUGAUCACGGCCGAGACUCCUGCUUCGAGUGAGCCGCUCCUCCGUCAACCUUCAUUUUCUGCAACCAUUUCAGUUGCAUGCAGAACGUGAACCACUGUUCACGUUCUGCAAAUAAUUAACAUUAACUUUGGGUCGGGCCAGUUAUGGCCUAGCCUAAUUGGUCGGGUCUGCCCUGGCCCAAAAAAAAGAGAGAAAAUGUGUUGGGCCAAGAUCGGCCCAUUGUUUUCUGGGUUUGUGCCUGACCCACUUAUCUGGGCCGACCCGACCCACAUGUUUUAAUAAUAUUUAAUUAAUAUAUAAUAUUAUAUUAUAUAUUUCUUUUAAAAAAAUAAAAAAAUAAAAAAUCCUUUGAAAAAAAUUGUGAUUUUUUCACAUUUUUUUCUAUCAAUUUUGCAUAAUAUUGGGUUGUAUAUUUACACUUUAAAAUACAAAUCCGAUAUUAAAAUACCUGGUUUUCUCUGAAUUUUUUUUAAAAAAAAUUUCAAAACAUUUUCAAAAAGAAAAAAAAAUUUUUGUUGCAUAUGGACAAAUUCUAAAAAAUUUCCAAGGAUAUUUUCAUUAAAAAAAAUUGCAUCUUUCUCAUGUUUUGAAAACCCAAAAAAAUAGAUAUCAUAACCGGUUUAUGAUUAUCUAUUAGGGUUCGACCAAAAUAUCAAGAACUUUUUUUCAAUUUUUUUUUAGGAUCCAGACGUAAACUUUAAUAUUUGUGGGGUGUAAAAUUACAUGAUAAAGUAUACCCUCGGGUAUUAAAAAUACAAGGUGUAAAUAAAUACGAUGCUAAAAUUUAGACUUUAGAACAGUUAGGAUUUAACCCAAUAAGGUAGAGACUUUUUCAUGAAGAGAGAUCUACCUUAAACCUUAGAAAAGACCAACGAAUAGAAACCAGACUUAGAAAAAAAAAUUAAACAACAACGUAGCUUACCUUAGGUAGGGUACAUUGGAGGUGAUGCGUCUUCCUCUUGCAUAACCAAUUCUUUACCCAGACUCUCGCAAACCAUAGGUUCCUAGUGACCAUAACACUAGGUGGCGACUCCUAAACAUUAAUCGUAAUUUCAUGAUUAAAUCCAAAAACCCUUCCCAACACACCACACCUCACACAAGAGGCACGACAAUAGCCUCUACCGUCGCCAGACGACGUCGCAUUGGCGCUCGACCCCCUUGACAACACUAUUAAAAAACAAAAAACAAUAUGUAAUGGCUCUUCAAAAUAUAUUUAAAAACACUUUUUACUGUCACUAAAUUUUUUUGAUCCGUAACAAAAUUAUCAGAAAUGGUCACUACAUAUAGUGUCAUAAUUAAGUUGAUGCAGUGACACCAAACCCUCUAUAAAAGAGAUUAAAGAUCCAAUUUAAUAAUUUGAUGAAAUUGAAAAUUAAAGAUCCAAUUUAAUAAUUUGAUGAAAUUGAAAAUUAAAGAUCCAAUUUAAUAAUUUGAAGGAAUUUGAUAUGAUUUAUUACUUUCAAAUUAUAUGUAAUCUUUUUUGUUAUGAAAAAAGGGGUUUGAAUUCAAGAUUUUCUUGGAAGAAAAAUACUAAAAUCAUUCAAGUUACAACUCAUUGAAGAUAGUUCAAUGCAGAUGAUAAAACUUGAAUAUCAAAUCCUGGAAACUACAAUAUGCUUAGCCUUCAGCUAGUUAAAAAAACGAAUAUCAAAUCCUGGAAACUACAGUUGAUAAAUAAACCUGGUCCUCGGAACCUGCUUUCAAGUCUCGUUAAUAUCACAUUGCUUAGCAAAAACCCUAAUUCCCGCAAGAACCCUGCUUUCAAGUUUUUCAAUUGCAUGAGUUGCUUUUACUUCCCCUGUCAUUCCAAUUUUCUUUGAUUCUCAUUUCAUCCUUUUAUGGUCAUCAAAUCUUUCUCAUUACUUCAGGUAUAUACGUACAUCACAUCAAUUUCAUUUUUCAACCUACAAGUCGUGCUCUUCCUUCACCACAGCCCUACAAAAACUAAUAAAAAAAUGUUGAGACACUAAAAUACAAGCUUCACUAGUAAAAAAAACUACAAGUUGCAAGAACUCCACCUGCAACACCAAACCCUAAGUAAAUAAACUAACUUCCAUUCACAAUCAGCCGCCUCCUUCCCUUCACCGUCUCUUUCUCUCUGCUCAUCCCAUCAUCAUUGCCUCUCUCUCUCUCUCUCUCUCUCUCUCUCCAAUCAGAACUAAACAGACGAUGGCUGAGGCACUUGUAUCUCCGAUCUUGGAGCAGUUAACCACGAUCGUUGUUCAACAGGUAUUUUUCUACCAUCUGCAAUAACCUGAUUUACCUAGCAGGGAUAAGAAAUAUAAAGGUCAAGCCUUUUUUCUUCCUAUCAUAAAAAGAAUACUUUUAACUUGAAUAAAUGAAAAUGGUAUAUGUUUGGAUUUUAUUAAAGAAUCUUCUUUUUGUUGUUUUAUUAUUUUUCAUAAUUCCAAAAAUAACCUAAAGAAAAUAUAUCAUUCCAAAUAUAGGAAAACCGAAAAAGGCAAAACAAGAGUUGCCAAUUCUCUUUAAACUGAACUAUUAAGGGUAAAAUAAUCAAUAAAAAGUUCAGAGGAUUAGCGAGCGAGUGUAUAUAUAUAUAUAUAUAUAUAUAUAUAUAUAUAUAUAUAUAUAAGGUAAAAUAUAUCUAUAGUUUAAUGUAAAAUAAAAACCAGAUUUUAUGUCGGUUCAAAGGAGAAAUCCUUCUCUCGUGAGAACAUUAAACUCUUUCCAUGCCUAUAUUAAUUAUAUAUAUAUACGUACAAGUUUAACGUUGUACCAUUUAAGAUUCAUUUUAUACCUUCUUAUACAGUAGCAUAGUGCAGACUGAUAUCAUCAUAAUGAUGAUAAAAAGAAAAAAGAAAUAUUAUUAUUUCUAAUAAAUAUUUUACAUAUAAAUUAUUAAUAUAGUAAAUCCAUUUCACAAUAAAAUAUAUUAAUACAAAAUAGAAAUGUUUCCUGUGCUUGAACUUCCUUGUCUUUUCUACACUAAUAGGUACAGGAAGAGGUGAACCUAGUAGGGGGUGUGAAAUUGUCUUGAAAUCACAGAAAUGUUUCCUAUGCUUAACGUUUCUUUUCCUUUGUACACUAAUAGGUACAAGAAGAGGUGAACCUCGUAGUGGGUGUGAAGAAACAAGUCGACAAGCUGAAAAGACAUCUCCUUGCUAUCCAAUCUCGCAUUGAAGAUGCAGAUAGAAAACAAGUGAAAGAUGAGGCUGUAAAGGAUUGGCUAGACAAGCUCAAAGAUGUAUGUUAUGAUAUCGAUGACGUGCUAGAUGAAUGGAGCACUGCAAUUCUUAGAUGGAAAAUGGAGGAAGCUGAAGAAAAUACUCGCAGCCGACAGAAGAUGCGAUGUUCCUUCCUGAGAUCUCCUUGCUUUGGUCUCAAUCAAGUGGGUCAACGUCGGGACAUUGCCCUUAAGAUCAAAGAAGUAUGUGAAAAAAUGGAUGACAUUGCCAAAGAGAAAGCUAUGGAUGGCUUUGUUCCGUACAGAGCCACCGAUGAACUACAACGACUAAUAAGUACCUCCUUUGUUGAUGAAUCAAGCGUGAUUGGUCGAGAUGUUGAAAAGAAAACUGUUGUAAGCAAGUUGGUGGGUGAAAGUAGUCAGGAAGCACGGGACGUUGAUGUCAUCUCUCUAGUAGGGCUGGGUGGAAUGGGAAAAACAACUCUCGCCCAACUAGCUUUUAAUGAUGCUGAGGUUACGGCUCAUUUUGAGAAAAAGAUAUGGGUGUGUGUUUCAGAACCGUUUGAUGAGGUUAGAAUAGCAAAAGCAAUCAUUGAGCAGCUUGAAGGGAGUCCAACGAAUUUGGUUGAAUUGCAAUCCCUUUUGCAAAGGGUUUCUGAAUCCAUUACUGGAAAGAGGUUCCUUCUUGUCCUGGAUGAUGUCUGGACAGAAAAUCAUAGACAAUGGGAACCACUGAAACUCUCUCUCAAAGGCGGUGCACGAGGAAGCAGAAUUCUAGUGACCACUCGUAAGGACGCUGUGGCAACGAAAUUGGGAACUGACCACCGGAUCAACAUUGAGAAAUUGUCCGAUGAGAUAUGCAGGUCAAUAUUCAAUCAUGUGGCAUUCCAGGAAAGAAGCAAAGAUGAGCGCGAAAGAUUGACAGAUAUCGGCGAUAAAAUUGCAAACAAGUGCAAGGGCUUGCCUCUAGCUGCCAAGGUAUUAGGAGGUCUAAUGCAGUUUAAAAGAACAAGAGAAGAGUGGGAACGUGUUUUAUCUAGCGAACUGUGGAGGCCAGAUGAGGUUGAUAGAGACCAGGUUGAAAGACAAAUAUUUAUACCGUUGCUUUUGAGUUACUACGAUUUACCUUCUGUGGGAAGACGAUGUUUCUUGUAUUGUGCCAUGUUUCCAAAAGACUACGAGAUGGACAAAGAUGAAUUGGUGAAGAUGUGGAUGGCUCAAGGUUACCUCAAGGAGACUUCAGGUGGAGAUAUGGAGCUUGUAGGAGAGCAGUACUUUCAAGUCUUAGCAGCGCGCUCUUUCUUCCAAGAUUUUAAGACGUAUGGUCGAGAAGGUAUUGCAUUCAAGAUGCAUGAUAUAGUGCAUGAUUUUGCCCAAUAUAUGACAAAAAAUGAAUGUCUAACAGUGGACGUCAAUAACCUUGGAGAAGCAACAGUGGAGACUUCAAUUGAAAGGGUUCGUCAUUUAAGCAUGAUGCUGUCAGAGGAGACUUAUUUUCCCGAGUUCAUUCAGAAAGCAAAAGGUCUUCGCAGCCUCUUGAUCAACACUAGAGACCCUUCACUUGGAGCUGCACUUCCUGAUCUAUUCAAGCAGUUGACAUGCAUCAGGUCAUUGAAUUUGUCAGAGUCUUCAAUCAGAGAAUUGUCAGAGUCUUCAAUCAAAGAAAUACCAAACGAGGUAGGGAAAUUGAUACAUUUGAGACACGUCAAUUUUGCAUAUUGUUAUCAGUUGGAGUCCCUGCCAGAAACCAUGUGUGAUUUAUGCAAUCUGCAAUCCCUAGACGUUACUUGGUGUGGUUCUCUCAAGGAAUUGCCUAAGGCGAUUGGAAAACUUAUCAAAUUGAGGCAUCUCCAGAUUGAUGGUUCAGGUGUGGCCUUCAUACCAAAGGGAAUAGAGAGGAUAACAUGUCUUCGAACAUUAGAUGUGUUUAAAGUUUGUGGCGGUGGUGAGAAUGAAAGUAAAGCAGCUAAUCUAAGAGAAUUAAAAAACUUAAAUCACAUUGGAGGGAGUCUUAACAUACGGAAUCUAGGAGGAGGUAUAGAAGAUGCGAGUGACGCUGCAGAAGCACAACUCAAGAAUAAGAAGCGCCUGCGUCGUUUGGAAUUGGUUUUCGACAGAGAGAAAACAGAGUUGCAAGCGAAUGAAGGCUCUUUAAUUGAAGCUUUACAGCCUCCGUCAGACUUGGAAUAUCUGACCAUAUCUAGUUACGGAGGGUUUGAUUUGCCAAAUUGGAUGAUGACAUUGACCAGAUUACUGGCUCUUGAACUGCAUGAUUGUACAAAGCUGGAGGUCUUGCCUCCGUUGGGAAGAUUGCCCAACCUUGAAAGCCUGGCAUUCUGGUCGUUGAAGGUGAGAAGGCUGGAUGCUGGAUUUUUAGGUAUAGAAAAAGAUGAGAAUGCCAGUAUUAAGGAAGGAGAAAUUGCAAGGGUCACUGCUUUUCCCAAAUUAAAAACACUUGAGAUUUGGCAUCUCGAAGAAGUAGAAGAGUGGGAUGGAAUUGAAAGGAGAUCAGUGGGAGAAGAAGAUGCCACCACAACUUCAAUAAUAUCCAUGAUGCCACAACUUCGAUGGUUGAGAAUUAUCAAUUGCCCGUUGCUGAGAGCACUACCAGACUAUGUUUUGGCAGCGCCUCUACAGGAAUUAGACAUAAGGUGGUGCACCAUUCUAAGGAAACGUUACGGGAAGGAGGAGAUGGGUGAAGAUUGGCAAAAGAUUUCUCACUUCCCAAACAUUUAUUUUGAAUAAUAUGUAAGCCUUACCAUUUACUCUAUGUGACCUCUUUACUGUAAAAUCCAAGACCUAUCACUGAUCAUGGCAAGACUCACUCCUCUAUUUCCAGAUCCAAAAAUGUCAAGAUAUUUUUAAUUCUUUAAUUCUAUGAAUAAAAACAUAGAUAUUGAAUUUUUUUUUUAAUCUUUCAUAAAUUGAAUUCAAUUUUCGAAAACUUUCUACAAAUCUAAAUAUGGAUAUUGAAAACGACAUCAAAAUAGGAACUUUCAUAGGUUUCCACACACUCCCAUAUGCCUUGAGCUUAAGCGCAGGUGGACAUCUUUUUUUUCUUUUUCUUUUUUUCCAAGACAAAUGCUGCAACCUAUUAAUCAUCCAUGAGCCAUGUGUGCAUACCGCACGCCUCCUUACAGGGCAUCUUCACUGCCGGACUGGUGGGAUUCAUAUAGACUUCAUAUGUGCUACUUUGAGGCUCCAUAUCUCCGUUUCUAGUGUUCUUGAACUCGUCAGAGAGCUUACACUGCAUGCUAUCUAUAACAACAGAUAUCAAGCACAGACAAUAAAGCAUAAGAAAAUUACAAGACAGAAAAACCAAUUCAUCGUAAUUCAAACGCUGAAAUCUCUCAGCAUACAAGUCCAAUUUACACGCCAUUUCCCAGAUUUAGUGCUCGUGGCAGAUGCACAUGAGGUAAUCAUUUCAUGCUAUUUGAUGCUUUCUAAAGUUACCAUAUAUGUCCAUAAUACGAGUUUGAAACAGAAACUGAUGCAAACAGCCAUAUUAAUCAUCCAUGAGCCAAAAAUUAAGAACUGCAAGAGUAAAAUGAACUGACUUCUUACUGCAAAAUGUGAACAGGCAAACGGUGGAUUUGGAAAUCAAGGGGGCAAGAAAAACCUUGUAAUUCAAAUAGGUGCACAGGCUAGGUGUGACAACCCUUUUAAUUCAUGAUCAGUGUAAAAUAUCUAUGGUUGUGGUAAUGCUAAUUAGAGUUGUUGAAUUAUAUUGCAAUGCAAUUCCAUGAUGUAAAAGUAUUUUUCAACUUGGAUUAAACUCACUUAAUUAGUUUAUUAAUUUGUACAAAAAUAGUUUUAUUUCAUAAAAUCUCAUAAAAUAGAAAUUACAAAUAGUAAUUCAACUCAUAAUUUCAUGCUCUCUCUUAUAUAAAAUUUUAAUUUGAACUAAACUAUUCUUUAUAGAAUGAAGUAUUAUUGCUUUCCAUCUAGAAAUGAAACACAAUAAAUUAUUUCAUAAAACAAUACAUGCAAAAUAAUUCAAUACUACUUAUAAAAGAAAAACCAUUUUAAAGUAUUAAGUCAAAAAUUCAGGAUGUUUUAAAGUAAUCCCUAGUAAUUUUGAUUUUCUCAUAAAUCUAAUUUUAUUGAGUGAAUGAAAGAUUUCAAAUAUAUAGUACGUAGUAUAUAAAUAAUUUUCUGAACCAAAGAAAGAUUUCAAAUAUAUAGUACGUAGUAUAUAAAUAAUUUUCUGAACCAAAGAAAAAACAGAAUUUUAGGAGUGAUUUAAAAUCAUGAACUAGAAUUUAAGUAUUCAAGUUGAGCAUAUUAAAUUUGAAUUCCCAGUCGUUCAAGUGCAUGGGACACAAAUCCUUCUUCAAGAAUCGUUGUGUUUUCUUCCCCUCGGAACCCAUUAAAACAUGGAGCCCAAAAGUAUUUAGAUUGCCCAAUUCACCAAGUCAUAAUGAGAGAACCCAAGCCCAAGCAGAGUACUCUGGGCUAAUUCAUUUUAUUUAGUACUAUGAUUAUUAUAUGCACUCCAUUAAUUAUUAGUUCCACUUCAUUUUGUAGCCACGAUGAUCAAUUAUGCAUAUGACCUCACCUCAACACUAGUUUUGUACCCGCACUCUGCAAUGAGGUGCAUAUAGUGUUUUUUCAGAGCAUCAAAGCAUUGACUAAGAAAGACUGACUGAAUUGAAACAGAACGCAACGAGACUUUUGGGUUUGAAACUAAUCCAGUGAAGACAGCAAAUAACCUUCUUCUUUUUUUUUUGUAAGGGAAGGCAAAUAGAAUGAGUUUAAAGCAUAAUGACUUAAUUGCAAAAUGCAUAUGAAUGCAGUUUUUUGACAAGGGAGUUUGGUGUUCCUGAAGCAGCAACAAUGGCUGCUAAGCUACGCAUAAUUUGUUGUCUUGUUCCCAACAAUGCCAUUCUGAUCCCAAACGCUGCUGAGUCUAGCAUGCUGAUUUCCUCACUAAUUUCGAUCUGAAUUUCAAUUUCCAGAUUUCAUAACCUUAGCCCUUAUUUUAGUAACCAAACAACUCUCUUCCUAUGUUCCUGCAUCUGCAUGUCGACUCUUCACUCUCUGAUUCCUGAAUCUUGAAAAGACUCUUCCUUUGUUUUUCUAGUUGUCUUGCGUUAUGUUUCUAGCUAAAAGAAGAAAUAAGUGACUUAAAUUAUGAAAAAGUAGAAAAAGACAAUGAAAGAAGUGCCUUAAAUCACGUUAAGUUAAGAAAGGAAUGAAAAGAAAAAAAGAAGAAAGGAAGGUGAUGUAGUCCAUACAAAAUGAAUCCUUUCCUCCAGAAAAUCUUGCUCAUUUCUUGUCCUUUUCACACCCAUUUGCUCCCCUUCACAAACAAACCUCCCCAUUUAAAGGAGCUCCAAUCACGCAAACCAGCAAUCCUUCCCAACUUUUUUCCAUGACCACAGCACGCUACUGAUAUCCACACAGCCCCAGCUUCAGACAGCUUCCAUCACGCAGACCCUUUCCUGUUAACACAACCGCAGAGCCUGUAGCUGCCGCCAACAAAACCCCAGCAUCCUCUCCAUGAAUAAACCAAAACACAUCCCUGCUCAUCCACUGAUAACUCCUUAAACUACCCAGAUACAUGACUUCCAAAAGGUAUAUGAUUUUUAAAGUUAAAUGUAACCUCUAAAAGUAUGGAGAGUUGGGGACUUGAAUUAUUCUUUGCACGGUGACAAAUGAAUUCUAGAAUUUAGAUUUUUAUUUCCCAUCUAAAUAUUAAAAUAUUUGACAUUAAAGAUAUUUUAAUAUAUUUUUAAACAAAAAAAUAUAUAUAAAAAAUACUUUACAGCAUAAUUUCAAGCACCAUCAACAAAUCCAAUCAUACAACCUCAACAAAUCUGGACCAUCCAUUUUCAGACCCAAAAUCAAAGAUCAAUAUCAAACCCCAGUCCCUGCUAUGAAAACAGGAUAAAAUCACCAGAUCUCAAAAACCCAGAUAGAUAGAUGCUUGUUUAUAUUUCCAUUACACAAGAACUAAUUGGUUACUAAUUUUGGUUUGUUUAAAUUAGUUUGAAUGGCCAGAUAUAUAUUACAUAAAAUGAAGAGAAGAAAUAGAGAAGCAGGAAUUUCAGUAGAAUGCUAUAAUCAGAUGUCCAUAUCAGAUACAUUCUUAACCUACGGUCAGUAUCAAUAAAAAAUAAUUGCUAUAUAUCGAAGAAGAAAUUACUUUCCACAAAUAAUAAUCCUUAGCCUAGAACUCGGUAGAAUUGAAAAGCACGAGUGUUUCACCUUUGGAACUCAAAAUGGCAUGUCAUUCUCAGUAGAAACAUACAACCAGGACUAGACUGAAAAGCUACAAUAAUAUAGGGACUGAAUUGAAGUGUUAGAAACAGUACAGGGACUGAAACAAAACUCAACCCCCAUCACCAAACCCUAAGUACAUAAACUAACUAAACCAGCAGCCUCCUUCCACUCACACUCUCUUCUCUCUCUUUCUCAGUUCAUCCUAACAUCAUUGUCUAUUUUUUAAAAAUAAUUAAAUUAAACAGACAAAUGGCAGAGGCACUUUUAUCGCCAAUUUUGGAGCAGCUAACCACGGUCGUUGCUCGACAGGUAAUUACUUUUAUACAAUUUGCAAUGAUCUAAUUAACCCUUACAUUAAUAAGAAAUAUAAAAAUGAUCUCUUUUUCUUUCUUUAUAAGAAAAACAAAAUAAAAUAUCAAAUCCUCAGAUCUAGAUUUGGAUUUUAUUAAAGAAAUUUCUAUUUAUUGUUUUAUUAUUUUUCAUAUUUCUGGAAAUAAUCUAAAACAAAUAUUCUUAGAAGGAAAAUGGAGUUGUCGAUCCUCUCAUAAAACUGAACUACUAAGGGUAAAAUAAUCAAUCAGAUGUUAAAAUAAUAAGUUUCAUAAUCUUAUUAUAAUACCAACAAAUAUUUAUUUCCAAAUAGAUUUUACGAAUACCAACAAAUACAGAUCCUUUUAUUCUCAAUAUUUCUUUGAUCCACCAAGCUUAUGUUAUAUAUAGGUUUGACGUUGAACAAUUUAAGAUUCAUUUUCUUCCUUCUUGUAUAGUAGCAGAGUGCAGACAGAGAUAUCAUCAUGAUGAUGAUAAAAAUAAAUAUUAUUAUUUUUAAUAUAUUGGUUUUUAAUAAAUAUUUUAUAUAUAAAUUAUUAAUAUAGCCAAUCCAUUUCACAGUACGUGUCAACUACUGCGAAAAAAAACAGAUUAAUAAAAAUUAUCUAAUCUAUUAAUUACCAAAAAUUAAAAUUAAAAACUUGCAGUGAAAUCAUGGAAAUGUUUCCUCUGCUUGAACUUCUUUAUCUUUUCCACACUAAUAGGUACGAGAAGAGGCCUAGUGGGGGAUGUGAAGAAACAAGUCGACAAGCUGAAAAGCAAUCUCCUUGCUAUCCAAUCUGUCCUUGAAGAUGCAGAUAGACAACAAGUGAAGGAUAAGGCUGUAAGAGAUUGGCUAAACAAGCUCAAAGAUGUAUGUUAUGAUUUGGAUGACGUGCUCGAUGAAUGGAGCACUGCAAUUCUUAGAUGGAAAAUGGAGGAAGCUGAAGAAAAUACUCGCAGCCGACAGAAGAUGCGAUGUUCCUUCCUGAAAUCUCCUUGCUUCUGUCUCAAUCAAGUGGUUCAACGUCGCGACAUUGCCCUCAAGAUCAAAGAAGUUAGUGAAAAAGUGAAUGACAUUGCCAAAGAGAGAGCAAUGUUUGGCUUUGAGUUGUACAGAGUCACUGAUGAACUCCAGCGACUAACAACUACCUCCUUUGUUGAUGAAUCAAGCGUGAUUGGUCGAGAUGGUGAAAAGAAAAAUGUUGUAAGCAAGUUGCUGGCUGAAAGUAGUCAAAAAGCACGGGACGUGGAUGUCAUCUCUCUAGUAGGGCUGGGCGGAAUUGGAAAAACAACUCUCGCCCAACUAGCUUUUAAUGAUUCUGAGGUUACGGCUCAUUUUGAGAAAAAGAUAUGGGUGUGUGUUUCAGAUCCAUUUGAUGAGGUUAAAAUAGCCAAAGCUAUCCUUGAGCAGCUUGAAGGGAGUGCACCGAAUUUGGUUGAAUUGCAAUCCCUUUUGCAAAGGGUUUCUGAAUCCAUUAAGGGAAAGAGGUUCCUUCUUGUCCUUGAUGAUGUAUGGACAGAAAAUCAUGGACAAUGGGAAAAACUGAAACCAUCUCUCACAGGCUGUGCACGAGGAAGCAGAAUUCUAGUGACCACUCGUAAGGACGCUGUGGCAACGAUGAUGGGAAGUACUGGCCACCGGAUCAACAUUAAGGAAUUGUCCGACGAGAUAUGCAGGUCAAUAUUCAAUCAUGUGGCAUUCCAGGAAAGAAGCAAAGAUGAGCGCGAAAGAUUGACAGAUAUCGGCGAGAAGAUUGCAAGCAAGUGCAAGGGCUUGCCUCUAGCUGCCAAGGUAUUAGGAGGUCUGAUGCAGUUUAAAAGAACAAGAGAAGAGUGGGAACGUGUUUUAUCUAGCGAACUGUGGGAGCUAGAACAUGUUGAAAGGAGACUAUUUCCACCUUUGCUUUUGAGUUACUACGAUUUACCUUAUGUGGAAAGACGAUGUUUCUUGUAUUGUGCCAUGUUUCCAAAAGACUACGACAUGCGCAAAGAUGAAUUGGUGAAGAUGUGGAUGGCUCAAGGUUACCUGAAGGAGACAUCAGGUAGAGAUAUGGAGGUUGUUGGAGAGGAGUACUUUCAAGUCUUGGUAGCACGCUCUUUCUUCCAAGAUUUUAAGAAGUAUGGUCUAGAAAAUAUCAGAUUCAAGAUGCAUGAUAUAGUGCAUGAUUUUGCCCAAUAUAUGACAAAAAAUGAAUGUCUAACAGUGGAUGUCAAUACACUUGGAGGAGCAACAGUGGAGACUUCAUUUGAAAGGGUUCGUCAUUUAAGCAUGAUGCUGUCAGAGGAGACAUCUUUUCCCGUGUCUAUUCACAAAGCCAAAGGUCUUCGCAGCCUCUUGAUCGACACUAGAGACCCUUCGCUUGGAGCUGCACUGCCUGAUUUGUUCAAGCAGUUGACAUGCAUCCGGUCAUUGGAUUUGUCAAAGUCUUCUAUCAAAGAAAUACCGAACGAGGUAGGGAAAUUGAUACAUUUGAGACACCUCAAUCUGGCAUCUUGUGGAGAGUUGGAGUCCCUGCCAGAAACCAUGUGUGAUUUAUGCAAUCUGCAAUCCCUAGACGUUACUUGGUGUGGUUCUCUCAAGAAAUUGCCUAAUGCGAUUGGAAAACUUAUCAAAUUGAGGCAUCUCCGGAUUAAUGGUUCAGGUGUGGACUUCAUACCAAAGGGAAUAGAGAGGAUAGCAUGUCUUCGAACAUUAAAUGUGUUUAUUGUGUGUGGUGGUGGUGAGAAUGAAAGUAAAGCAGCUAAUCUAAGAGAAUUAAAAAACUUAAAUCACAUUGGAGGGAGUCUUGGGAUACGGAAUCUACAAGAUGCGAGUGACGCUGCAGAAGCACAACUCAAGAAUAAGAAGCGCCUGCUUCGUUUGGAAUUGGAUUUCGACUACAACCAGGAGAGCGGCAUUUUAAUUGAAGCUUUACGGCCUCCGUCUGACUUGAAAUAUCUAACCAUAUCUAGGUACGGAGGGUUGGAAUUGCCAAGUUGGAUGAUGACAUUAACCAGAUUACAGGAGCUUAUACUGUCUGAUUGUACAAAGCUGGAGGUCAUGCGUCCGUUGGGAAGAUUGCCCAACCUUGAAAGCCUGGUAUUGAGGUCGUUGAAGGUGAGAAGGCUGGAUGGUGGAUUUUUAGGUAUAGAAAAAGAUGAGAAUGCCAGUAUUAAUGAAGGAGAAAUUGCAAGGGUCACUGCUUUCCCCAAAUUAAAAACACUUUGGAUUGGUAAUCUCGAAGAAGUAGAAGAGUGGGAUGGAAUUGAAAGGAGAGUGGGAGAAGAAGAUGUCAACACAACUUCAAUAAUAUCCAUUAUGCCACAACUUCGAUGGUUGACAAUUCUUAACUGCCCGUUGCUGAGAGCACUACCAGACUAUGUUUUGGCAGCGCCUCUACGGGUAUUAGACAUAUGGGGUUGCCCCAUUCUAAGGAAACGUUACGGGAAGGAGGAGAUGGGUGAAGAUUGGCAAAAGAUUUCUCACAUCCCAAACAUUUCUAUUUAUAGUUAAAGAAUAGUAAAGGCACGGAAGUCUGUAGGACCGGCAGGAAGAGGUAUGUUUCAUAUACCUCUUUACUGUAUAUUGUUGACUUUGGAUUGUAUUUCCUACUUACCAUUUAUUCCAUCAAAUGCAGCUGUGAUAUAUAUACCCAUCUCUCUCUCUCUCUCUCUCUCUCUCUCAACAUAUAUAAAAUAAUAUGUAAUUCAUAUGUUCAUAUUUAAAGAAUAGUUAGGACCGGCAGGAAGAGGUAAUUUUUUAUUUAAUUAUUGAAUUAGACUUAAAUUUUACAUGUUAAAAAAUUAAUCUAAGAUGAAAUUAUCUCGCUUAAAUUCUCCAAAUGCCACUCUAAAAAAAUUAUUCUACCAGUGUUAAUUCAACGGUAAAAGAUUUUACCAAAUCUAUUUUAACAAAUCUAUUUUGGGCUCCCCAUUUUUGUCAUUCAGAAAAUGGAAUAGUCAUUUUAACUUUGUUUUUGAUUCUUGACUUUGUUUUUGAUUUACUAAUUCUUCAUUUGUUAACCAAAUGAUUUAUUUUUAUUUUGUUCAGAGUGGCUUCCGAUUUGGUUCUGUGUUGUGAUUUACUUCUUUGAUUGUAUUAAUUAUUUAUUAUUAAAAUAAUAUUUUUUAUUUUUUAAAAAUUAUUUUUAACAUAACAUAUCAAAAUAAUUUGAAAACAUCAAAAAUAUAUUAAUUUAAAAUAAAAAAAUAAAAAAAUUUCAAAAAAUUUUUAAAAUGCUUGCUAGACUUUAAAGUUAAUCUAAAUAAAAUAAAAUAAAAUAAAAGUCAAGCCAUACAUACAAUGAUGCUUAUAUGUGUAUUUUUUUUUUUUAAUGAUCCCAAUACAUAUUUGAAGAAUAAAAAAAUUAGUUCAAAAUUAAAAAAAAAAUUAAAAUCUUUUAAAAAUACAACUAAACUAUGGCACCUAGCACCAGGUACCAUGGGCCAGCGCGCCCAUGGCCAGGCAAGGAGCUCCCCUGAAAAGCAACAUGUAGAAUUUAGGCGUAAUAGAGUGUCUGUAGACACUACUACUUAGGUACUAGCUAUCACGCACUUUAAUAAGUUCAAUUAUUAGUAUUUUUAGCUGAAAUAUUGCACAAAAGCUGGAAAAAGUCCAAUUAAGUGGCUGUUUGGUAUAAUUAUAAUAUAUUAUUUUAGUAUAUAUUAUUAAGACAGCUAUAUUUUAGUAUAUAUUAUUAUAGUAUAAUUAUAAUAUAUAAGUUAUAUUAUUAUAAUUAGCAUUAUAAUAUAUAAGUAUCUCACGACUUUUAGAGUAUUACUUAAUUAAUAUUGAAAAUUUAUAUUUUUAAGAAAUUCAACAUAAUAUACUCAAUGGCUAGAAGCUUGGUGGCCAAUUUCAGAUCAUGAGUUUUCGUUUAUUGUCGAGGAUGAUUUGGAGGUUUCGCCGCUGUUUUAUAAAUUUGCGAGGGGUUUGCUUGCUAUUACAAUGUGUCGAAUUUUAGUCCUUUUAUAUAUGAUAUGGUGCUUCACUUCAGCGUCCACGGUUUGUCCCAGGUACUGCUCUUUUUUCAGGUUUUGUAUUUGUUAGACUGGAUGUUUUCAUGUUCAGUGUUAAGGUUUACAGAUUUCUUGAUUUGUUAAUUAUAUUGGGUUUUGUGCGGAUGUAGUGUGCUUCUCAUGCUAAAACUUGCUUUACAAUUGCUAGGCUGAAAUCCUUUUAGUCUUUUGCUUGUGGCGUAAAUAUAUGUAUCAUGUCCAUAGGAUGCGAAAUCCUUUUAGUCUUUUGCUUGUGGCGUAAAUAUAUGUAUGGUGUCCAUAGGAUGCGAACUUGAAAAGUUUCCAUUUGGUAUUUCGCAAUUGCAUAAGCAUAUGUGAUUAUGACACGUACGUCAAAAACAAUAUGCAUUAAUUUUGUUGCUGGUAGAGAGUGCCAUAUGCAAUAUUUUCUGUCUCUUAUUGGAGCCUUUUUAUGAAAAUUGUGUUAAUUCAACAAUUCUCAUUACAUACCCCUGACCUGAUUUUUUUUAAAAAGAAUUCUUUUACCUUUUUGAGAGUGAUUUUGGUUUAUCUGGUCGCUGAUUGCAGGUAAACAUGGAAACAAAAUACAAUUGGAUAGUGAAACGCAUCUUUUCUUGUACCCAUUGGUUGGUACUUGGCGUCAGAUUCUCUUUCCAAAACCUUGGAAAGAGUUUAGGUUGUGGUACGAUCUGUCACGUUCACACUAGAAGAAAAGAGUUGGAUUAAUUCGAGGAAAUCCACAGCCUCCAAUACUUACUGAUUGCUACUGUUUUCAUGCCUUUCUCAUUAACAUGAAGGACUAAAAUACAACUGGAAAAUAAUAACUGACGAUGCACAUUUCUUGCUCAUUAACAUGAAGAAGAAAGGAAGGUGAUGCAGUCCAGACAAUAUGAAUCCUUUCCUCCAGAAAAUCUUGCUCCUUUCUUGUCCUUUUCACGCCCAUUUGCUCCCCUUCACAAACAAACCUCCCAUUUAAAGGAGCUCCAAUCACACAAACCAGCAAUCCUUCCAAAAAAUUUUCCAUGACCAGCACAUGCUACUGAUAUCAGAUAAACAUAAAAUGAAGAGAAGAAAUAGAGAAACAGAUGACAAGCAGGAAUUUCAGUAGAAUGCUAUAAUCAAUUUCAGGAAUUUCAGUAGAAUGCGAUAAUCUUUCAGUAGAAUUCUCCAGACCAAUCGUGUUAUUAAGUGAAGACCAUGAAUUCAAAACUAUGAUAUCAGAAUCAAGAUAGAUAGCAUAACGAUGAUCAUCAGGAACAACCCAACAAGAAAAAAAAAACAAGAGACAAGUUACCAAAACAUAGAUUCUAAACAUAAGAAAUGGCGCGAUUGAAUCACUACAUUACAUAGUAUAACGAUGAUCAUCAGGAAUAUAAAAUAAAAAUUCUUCUCAACUCGAGCGAAGAGGGUAUUAACUAAUACAUGGUUUCUAGUUCAAGAGCCAGCAUCAAAAUUACUAGAUUAUGAGAUUUAUUUUAAACACCUCAAUGUGAUAGUACAGUGUCCUAUAUGAGAUUCACACAGGAACCAGCAAGAUGUUGUGUCAUUCUAGUCAUACAUGUGAUUGACAUUCCAGAAGGGGGAGAUAUUUUCAAGAAGCGAGCUAAUUACUUGUAGAGAGCAGCAAGGUGAACCGGUUCAAUAUAGUGAACAUAUGUCUUUCACCGCUGAAACCAAACUGGAGUGAAAAUAUGGGUUUUCUCCAUAGCCUUAUCACCUCUAGUCAACCACGGGUCUCGCAGCAAAGGAUACGGGUUCAAGAAAACAAAUUCACUAUUUAUCAAGCCAAUCACCCCACCCUUCUCUUAAAGAUUACAACUUUUUACUUAUCUUUAACAACAAAGCAUCUUCAAUAAUCUUAACUCACUAAGUUUUCUGUUAAUUUCCUCAUCAACAAGAAUAUCAUCACUGCCAAACACGGUCGUACUUUUAUAAUCCUCAACUAAAACCAUUGUAAUAAAAUAAAACAUCGUAAUAUCUUAUCAAUUUCUUAUUCAAAUACCUUAUAAUAGACCUGGUUACAUGAUCCAUGUAAUACCAAGAAUCGAGGGACUUUUCGUUUCUUCUUCUUCGGUGUUUUUUUUUACUUUCAUUUUCGUGAUCUUCUUCUUCUUCUUCUCUAAUGGUGUCUUCUUCAUUGAUAUUGUCGACGCCGAGACUUAGCUUGGGUUUUGAAUGAGGGACAGUGUUGUGUCGAUACCAAGAGUGUUUUUUUAUUGUCGUUUAGAAUUUUUAAAUUAAUUUUCUUUUAAAAAAAGGCAAUUAAAUUACGUGUUUUUAUGAUUUUAAUAUAUUAAUAUGAAAAAUAAAAAAAUCUAAAAGACAUUAUUAUUUAAUAUAUUUUAAAUAAAAAAAACUUUAUACAUCCCUUGUAGACUUAGGUAAAAAAUUAUUUUUUUAAAAAAUAAAUAAUUUAAUAAAAUAAUUGUUUUAAAAAAAUAAUUAAACUUUUAAACUCUGAUCCGAUGAAGUUAAGUUUAAAAAAUUCUGGUUAAAACUGGUUCAAAGCCUUCAUUGAGCCCAAUGUAAAGAGGCCCAACCUGCCGUCAUAAAAGCCCAAUAUUCUCUUCUCCGCCACCACUAUGCCAUGCCUUUUAUAUAAGCAAACGAAUAUGUACGAAGAAGAGCUUAGGCCUACAAAAGGGGAAAAGGGAGAAAAGUUGAUACUGCUUUUUCUUCUAAAUAGACACCGGAUGACUAUUGCACCCUUGUAAUGGUAUCUGAUUCAGCGAAAAGGAGGGUAUUAUGGUAAUUGGAACAACUUAAAUCGAGAAUCUGAACCGUUGUAUUCCUCUGCAAAGAUGCACAUGCUGUUAACCAAUGAUAAAUUAAUGUAUAGCUGUUACAGUUUGUUAUUUAUUAGGACUCCAUUACUGCAACAACUGUUACAAUAUGUUAUUCAUUAGGACUCCAUUACGGUUACAGUUACAGUUUGUUAUUCUUCCUGCAACGUAGAGAAUUCAGUUAGGUUCUGUAUCUAUAUAUAUAUAUGUCUUCUAUUAAUAAUAUAUGUAAGCAAUUCUCUUCCAAAAGCUUCAGCUCUAUCAUGGUAUUAGAGCGUCUCUGAUCCUUUAUUUAUUUUUUUCUCUUUCUCUUCCUACUCUUUUUCGGUUCUGUUUCUCCCUCAUUAACAUCACCAUGUCAACUUCCAUUCCAUCAAAUACGGAAAACCACCUUAUCACCAUAAACACAGCUGCUCAAGCUCCUCUUAAACUCACCUCUUCCAACUAUGCUUCCUGGAAAAUUCAAUUUGAAACACUCUUUAUUGGCUACGAUCUCCUUGGUUACAUCGAUGGGUCCAAGCCGUGUCCCUCACUAACUCUUAUAACAGAUGAUAUCAUUGUUCCCAAUCUUGCCUAUAGUCUCUGGGUGAGGCAAGAUCAACUUCUAUUGAAUGCUAUUGUUGGCAGCCUUUCUCCUCCGCUUAUCUUCUUUGUCGUCCGCACCAUUUCUUCUCAUGAUGCAUGGCAUGUUCUUGCCACAACAUAUGCCAAACCAUCCCGUGGACGUAUCCGCCAGGUGAAAAACCAGUUAAAGAAUCUCACAAAAGGCUCUAUGAGUAUCACAGAUUUUGUCUACUUCAUUAAAGCAAAAUCUGACGAACUUGCUGUUCUUGGUGCUCCUAUGGACACUGAUGAUCUUACUAAACAAAUCCUCGAUGGUUUAGAUGAAGAUUACACAGAACUUGUUCAGGUUGUCCAAGCUCGCGAAGCUGCUAUCUCCUUUGAUGAACUACAUGAGAAACUUCUCUUAUUUGAAGCAUCACUUCAAACACGGUCACAAUCCUCUCGUCUUGGUCCUAUUACUGCCAACUCUUUCACCAAGAACUCAAGCAACAACAAUUGGCGACCCUCAAGAACCAACUGGCGCCCAUUCUUUUCUCCUAUUGGGAACACUUUUCGUUCCCUACCUAUUGCCAACUUUCGACCUGCUACUUUUCCCAAUCAGGUUCGCAAUAAUCAUCUGCCUGCACGUCCUUAUUUGGGCCAUUGCCAGAUGUGUGGCACUCAGGGGCACACUGCUAAACGAUGUCCUUCUUUUCAUUUAGUUCAUGUUCAUGGUUCUAACAUUGCCAACUCCUCCAAUGGUAUGCCAUCCUCCUGGAAUCCCCAAGCCAAUUUUUCUUCUUCAUCUCUAUCCACCGCUGCGUCAUGGUUACUAGAUAGUGGUACUUCCCAUCACGUUACUGCCGACCUCAAUAAUCUUUCUCUCCAUACACCAUAUAAUGGACAAGAUGAUGUUAUGCUAGGCGAUGGUACCAAUCUUCCUAUAAGUCACACUGGUUCAGUAUCUCUUCCCACAUCUAACUCUUUUUUCCAAUUACAAGAUGUUUUGUGUGUUCCCAAAAUGCAAAAAAAAUUAAUAUAUAUUGCAUUAUUCUGUAUCACUAACAAUGUGUCAAUUGAAAUUUUUCCUCAUUGUUUUCAUGUGAAGGACCUACAAACGAGGGACAUUCUUCUGCAGGGCGGCACUAAGGAUGGUAUUUAUGAAUGGCUAGUUGCCAUCUCUUCCACUCCUCCCAUUCUAGCUUUCUCUGUUGUCAACAAUGUCCAUUUGGCACCGGCGCUUUGGUCAUCCAGCCUUCACAAUUCUUAAACAUAUUAUGUCCUCCUAUCAUUUAAAUUUUUCUUCUCAAAAGAAUUUCUGCUGCAAUGCUUGCUUAAGUAAUAAAAGUCAUAAACAACCAUUUUCUGUGUCUAUUUUGCUCACUACUCGUCCUCUUCAAGUUGUAUUUUCUGAUGUUUGGACUUCUCCUAUUAUUUCACACGAUGGUUAUAAAUACUAUGUUAUCUUUAUUGAUCAUUUUACAAAAUACAUUUGGUUAUAUCCAUUAAAACAAAAAUCUGAUGUCCAAAUAGUGUUUCGACGCUACAAAGCAAUUGUUGAAAAAUAUUUUCAACAAACCAUUAUUUCUCUUUAUUCUGAUAAUGGUGGUGAAUACAUUGCUCUCAAACCAUUUCUUUCAGAACAUGGGAUUAGUCAUCUCACGUCUCCACCACAUACACCUGAACAUAAUGGUUAUUCUGAACGGCGACAUCUUCACAUUGUCGAAACUGGUCUUGCCCUUUUUUCUCAUGCCUCAAUUCCCACUACCUUUUGGACUUAUGCCUUCACCACUGCUGUUUACCUAAUUAACAGGAUGCCAACUCCCACAUUAAACAUGUCUUCACCAUAUGAGUCAAUUUUUCACAAGAGUCCUAAUUUUUCUAAACUUAAAGUGUUUGGCUGUUUAUGUUAUCCUUGGUUGGGUCCAUAUGCAUCUCAUAAACUUGAUUUGAAAUCUCAACCCUGCGAUUUUCUUGGAUACUCCCUUUCUUAGAGUGCAUAUCUAUGCCCUAACAAAUCCACUAACAAACUACAUGUUUCACGGCAUGUACAAUUUGUUGAGUCAGUUUUUCCUUAUAAGUCUUAUCCUACUGCAACUUCAAAUUUUCCUUCCCCCGUGUCUGACUGGAUGCCUUCACCUAUUUUUGUCUCAUCUCAAACCCCACAACAACUGGCUCUUUCUGCUCCUUCCUCACAAUGUCAUGCAGAUGCAUCUCCUUCUAUGGUCUCUUCAUCAAGUCCUCCAACUCAUGCCGAAGCAAUUCCUUCCAUCAUUUCUACUCCACAGGUACCUACUUCCCCCUCUCAUCAUAAUCCUUCACUUCCAGCUCCAUCUCUACCUGUUCCACCACCACCACAACAUUCCCAACACCCUAUGAUCACUCGGUCCCGGAAUAAUAUCCACAAACCAAUCCAGAAACUCAGUCUUCACACUACUAAACCAGUCAUCUUUCAAACAGAACCUUCCACCUCCUCUCAGGCACUUAAAGAUCCAAACUGGCGAUCUGCUAUGUCUGAGGAAUAUGAUGCUCUAGUAUGCAAUGACACAUUGGAACUUGUUCCUCCUAAUGGUAUCACUAACGUUGUUGGUUGCAGGUGGGUUUACCGCAUUAAAAGACAUUCUGAUGGUUCUAUAAACAGGUUUAAAGCACGACUUGUUGCAAAAGGUUUCCACCAGCGUCUCGGUGUGGACUAUCAUGAGACUUUCAGCCUCGUUGUGAAGCCAACAACUAUCCGCUUGGUACUCAGCCUUGCUGUCAGCCGCGGAUGGUCACUUAAACAACUGGAUAUCAACAAUGUUAUCGCACGUGUGCAGCGUCACGACGAUCAUCCACCCUCAAUUGUAUGGAUAUAUAUCUAGUAAAUACGGGGAGACACGAAAUUCUUUGUCUCUUAGCAGUAAAAAAAAUGGAAUGGAGUCGCCACCUAGUAUUAUGGUCACUAGGAACCCUAAUUGGUCUCAGAGAUCGGGUACGGAGACUGGUUGCGUAAAGGGAAGGUAUUAGCACCCCAAAUACGCCCUACCUAAGGUAAGCUGCAUUGUUUUAUUUGUCUGAUCAAAAUCUAAGGUUUGGUCGUGUUUUCUAAUUGUUGGUCUUGUCUAUCUAAGAUUCAAGAAAAGCCCUCCUCAAUAAGAAGGUUCUUAUCUUAAUGGGGUAGAACCUAACCGUUCUAACGUUGGAAAAAGAUUUAAUAUCCGGAAUACGUAUUACGUGUCAUAUCGUACCCUGGAUACUAAAAGACAAACAAAAUAAAAUUUUUUAUUGUUUUUGAAAUUUUGGCUAAUGUUCUCUUGACUUUAAUAAACUGGUUAUUAAAGCCAAAAUGCAUGUUAAAACAUUAUUUUUUUGUUUAUAAAAAACACAAUAUGAUUUUUUAGCUUUGAGACACUUGGCCGUAUGCACAAAAAUAUUUUUUCUUUUUUUCAAAGUUUUUUGUAUUUUUGAAAGUUUUGACGAAAACCGGGUAUUUUAAUAUCAAAUUUUGUAUUUUUAGCAACAUAAAAAUACUGCUUGAUAUUAAUCAAAAUGACAAAAAAAUACGCAGGAAACUUGUAAAAUUACAAACAAAUAUUUUUGAAUUUUUCUUUUAACAAAAAAAGAAAAAAAAUUGGGUCGGAUCUGGCCCAUCCAUCCUGGGCUGGGCCUGACCCGGCCCAUAUACUGUGGGCUGGGCUGAUGUGCCAGCCCAUAACAAAUAAAAGGACUGGUUACUGUGCUGCGCACAGUAACCAGCAAAAAUAUAAUUAGCUAGUUAAUCUUCAUUUUGCUGCAGAACGUAAACGUUCUGUAAAAUGAAGCUGAAGCACAAAACGAUGGGGGAGGGGAGAAAGUUACCUGGAGCGGUGGCGACGCUGGCGGCAGCGGAUGCGACAGGGGUGGUGGUGUAGGCGGCGACUGUUCUCCUUCCUUCUCUCCCGUCUCCUCUGUUUCUCUUCUCAGCCACCCUCUCCUCUGCCUUUUUUUGUUUUCUAACUUUGGACACAAAAGAAAAAAAUUAUAUCGGAGCCCAAUCAUUGCUCCACCAUGCACACAUGCUUAACCACCUAAAAGAGAACGGUGCGACGCUUCCAACACUAUAAUGGAAAGCGGUGCUUGGCCAUCGAGAGAUGCCACAUGUGUCAUUCAAGGAGCAUUGAUACCUCCCACUCUCUGACACGUAUUGCACGUGUCAACCAGUUUUUAUUUUUAUAUAUAUGUUAAAAGACUAAAUUUUUUCUCAUUUACAUUGAUUAUAACUAAAAAGCCAUAAUGAAAAUAUAAAAACACACCUGGACACAAGUUUUAAUUUUUUUUCCUUUUAAAAGCAAUGUAGUCAUUUAACUAUGCUAGCAAAACGUAAAAAGAAAUAACCCCUUGGACCUUAAUUGUAAAAAAAAAAAUUUAAGACUGUUUAAGUAAUUUUACUGUGCAUUUGAAAUGGUAAAAGAUCUAUUGUCCCUAAUUAAUACGAGAAUGACAAAUGAACCAUGUAAAAAAGACUAAAUUACCCCUAACAGCUAGUUAAAUGACUUUUUUAGAAGGGCAAAAUAGUCAUUAUAUUUUUUUAUUCCACAACGAUGAGUUUAGGGAUACAGUGAAACGUUGAUGGCUUUUUAUUUUUUAUAUUUACUAGAACAAUUUUUAAGGAUAUUAUAGUUAAUUUUUAAGGAUAUUUUAUAUAUUCAUAAAUUAAAUGUUAAUGAAAAUUAAGAAAAGAAAAGAAUUAAAUUAUCAAUAAUGAUUGAUGAGAAACAAAAUUAAUGUAAUGUAUAUUUUGAAUAAUAAAUUGAGAUGAAGAUAUAAAAUAUUUUUUUUCUAGAAUAAUUUUGAUUCUUUUAAAGUGCAUUUAUAUAUAUAUAUAUAUAUAUAUAUAUAUAUAUAUAUAUAUAUAUAUAUAUAUAUAUGCAGUCUCUCUAUUUUCAUUAUCUGUAUUUUUUAUAUUUCAAGACAAGAAUCAAAUGCUACAUACAAAUAUUAUACAUUAUAGAAAGAAGUAUAAUUUUAUUCUCUCUAAUUCUCAGUCCACCCUUUUCAAGAUUUAAAAUUAAAAUCUCCUCAUAAAAAACCUAAAUCUUAACAGUUAGAUUGUGGAUUUAGUAAUUAAUAUUAAAUUCUGUCCUUGUUGUUUUGUAAUUUAAUGCUAAGUUGCUAACUAUACUCUUAUAAAUUCUCGUACACAUUCAAGAAAAAAACAAAACCCUAAAGUAAACCAUUAGUGAGGUUGGAUUCCUUCCUUUUAUUUAUAAUCGUUUAAAACCAAACCCUUCUCUUUCUUCCUUCCAUCGAAAUAUCAACUUCGUUUAGAAUUUGAUUGCUUGUCGUUUUCAUUGUGCGGCAUUCCAAAAUUACUGAUUCGAAACCACAUCUUCAACAAAAAUAAUCAUCCACAUGCUUCAUCUGUGGAUGACAAAUUCUAGGAAUCUCAGCUAAUUGUGAGAACUGCUGCGACAAACCUAUGAAAGAUGUCAGGGAAGGAUUAAGAAAGCUAGCUAUUUCAACGAAAAAACUAUUUACUAGGGCUAAAAAACGAAAGAAAGCCUGCUUUUUUGUUCUUAGAGGGAAGGGCAAGGGCCAAGGUUGAUUGGACUUGAUAUAAAGAUGAUGUCUAAUAAAAAUGCCAUUGAUGGCCCUUUUUGCAGGCUGUGAUUCAAGGGCCGCGAUCAUUUUUGGAUGCUGAUUUUGUUUUUAGUAAAAAAUUAAAAUCUAAUAAUUCUAAAACUUGGAAAAAAAUUUCUAAGGUUUUAAAAAAAUUCUCAUCGAUAAAUUUUUUUUAUUAAAAACUAAUUAUUGUAAAAGCUGAAACAGAGAGAAGAGCAGCUGCUGGGAACCCAAAAAGGAUGAUUUUGUUUUCUAACUUUGGACCCGAAAAUCCCCCCUGUUUCUGCUUCUUUGUAAACCUCCCCUGUCUCUUUUCUCAAAUUUGUUCCUCCCUUCUCUAUUUUUUUUUCUUCUUCAAGUUUGUUUCUCAAAAGUUUUGCCCCCUCUGGUUUCUCUCUCUUUUUUGUUUUUGCAGCUUGCCUGUCUUCCCCUGCUCUUUCCCUUUUUUUUUCUCCAAAGAAAAUUGUUGGUCUCUCUCUCGGUCUCCCUCACUUUCUCUUUAAAAAAAUCCUUCCAGCUCUCCCUUCUUGAUCUCCCCCCCUAUUCUCCUGCACUCCCUCUGUAUUUAUAGGCAGAGGGAGAGAGGGCCACCAUGCCCUAUCCUGCCAUUAUGCAGGGCAUGGCAUGGUGGCAUAGGGGUGGCUACUCCACAGCCGCCCCUACCUCUGUAGGGCAUGGGUCUUUUGGUGUGAAGGCGUGGUGGUGUCAGUGAAGGGACAAGUCAGGUCGUAGUUGGUUUUUUGGUUUUUGGGAGAGAGAAAGGAGAGAAAAAAAUAGGGGGAAAAAUGCUUCUUCUUCCCCUGUUCUCUGCGCGUCCAGGGGAAGAAGCAGGCUUAUGGUGCCGUUCAAAACGGCACCGUUUGCUCUUUCUCUCUCUUUUUUUUCCAGUGAAAUGCAUGAAACGACGCCGUUUUGACCAAAACGCGUCAUUUCAUUUAAACGAAAACUGGCGCCAAAAUGGGUCAAUUUGCGCGCUUUUUCACUAUGGUCCUUGGUUUUGGAUUUCUUCAAUCGAGUCCCUAAUUGGCCACCAGACUUCAAUAUGUAUGCAAUUAAGCCCCUGAUUUGACCAAAUCAACUCUUAAAAAUUAUAAUUUGACCCCAGAACUUUAAUUUCUUCCAAUUAAAACCCAAAUUGACUUAAAAAUCAAUUUUUCUUGCGAUCAAACCCUCCAUAAAUUCAAUUAAACUUUCAAUAAAAUUUAAUUGAGCCCAUAUACAUCUGAUUUUGUACAUUUCUUCCUCAAAUAAAAUUUUCUUUAUCAAUAGGGCUCUCACCGGUCAACGAUAUACUGUCAAAUUUCAAUCCUUGUAUUUUUUGAUCCUCCUCAACCAAUUUUUGACCAUUUUCGGGGCGCUCUAGCAUCCUCUUUUCACUGCUAUUAUUUUUUUAUUUUUUUUAUUUUGUGCGGGGACCAAAAAAUGGGUUACAACAAAUGCUUUCCUUCAAGGUCAUCUUUCUGAAACCGUUUACAUGGCGCAACCUCCUGAAUUUGUUGAUCGCGAAAAACCGUCAUUUGUUUGCAAACUCCACAAAGCCAUUUAUGGACUCAAACAGGCGCCCCGGGCUUGGUAUCAUGAAUUGCGCACAUUUUUGUUGGCUUCUGGUUUCCGCAAUUCCCACUCUGAUCCUUCUCUGUUCAUAUUUAACAGUGCUCAGCAUGUUUUGUUUUUACUGGUUUACGUGGAUGACAUUAUUGUCACAGGCAGCGAUGACGACAUUCUAUCAGAUUUUGUUUCUAGCCUUGCCAAACGUUUUUCUCUUAAGGAUCUUGGCAAUUUGUCCUACUUCUUGGGUGUUGAAGUUCUUCCUCACAAACAGGGUAUUCUACUCUCUCAACGCAGGUACAUUACUGACCUGCUAACUCGUCUCAACAUGCUGGACGCAAAACCAGUGCUCACUCCAAUUCCAAGCUCUGCAUCUGCUAUUUCAUUGCUGUCUGACUCGCCUUUAUAGAAUCCCACUGUUUAUCGUGAAGUUGUAGGGAGUCUUCAGUAUCUUUCUCUUACAAGACCAGAUGUGUCAUUUGUUGUGAACAAACUAUCUCAGUUCAUGCACAGCCCAACCGAUGACCACUAGAUCCUUGUUAAGCGAAUUAUGUGAUAUCUUAUUGGUACACUAAACAAGGGCCUUCUUCUGCACCGUGACUCGCCCUACAAUCUUCAUGCCUUCGCUGAUCAACUUCAUGCCUUUUCAGAUGCCGAUUGGGCUGGCAAUAAAGAUGAUUAUUCAUCCACCAGUGCUUAUCUAGUUUACCUUUGGAGUAAUUUAAUUUCAUGGAGUUCAAAUAAACAAAAGACCAUUGCCAGGUCUUCAACAGAGGCUGAGUAUCGCUCCGUUGUUGCCACUGCUGCUGAGCUCUGUUGGGUACACUCUCUACUUCAUGAACUUGGUGUUGCUCUGUCUUCUUCACCUGUGAUAUACUGUGACAACAUUGGAGGAACUCAGUUAAGUUCCAAUCCUAUUUUUCAUUCUCGCAUUAAACAUGUUGUCGUUGACUACCAUUUCGUCCUAUUUUCAGGGAUAAUAUAAAAAAUUUCAUUAAAUUUAAAAAAAUGAUGAAAUCUCGUAUCUUCAGGAUUCACGUCAAAGUUUUUGUUAAAAUUCAAGAAAUUGUGAAAUAUAUUAUCUUUAAGGAUUAAUGUAAAAAAAAUAAAAAGUUAAAAAACUAGUGAAAUCUCCUAUUUCAGAAAUUAAAGAUAACAAAAUUUUCGUUAAAAUUCUUUUAUAUAUUAAGGCCAGUGCCAUAAAAUGACAAGCUAUGAAAUCUUAGAUUUUUAGGGUUUAACGUUAUUUCGACAAGUUUUUUUAUUUUUAGAAACCGAUAUUUAUUUUUAAAUAAAUCAUAAAUAAAAUCAGAAUAUAAUAGCAUAAAAUAACUUAGAAAAACAAAAGUAAUGGUAAUUUUUUAUUUGAAAAGAUAUGAUAAGGGUGGUGUUAACCUGAUAAGGGUGGUGUUAAAAAGAGAGGCAACAACGGAGAAGAAGAAAUAAAAAAGACAUAAAAGCACAGUAUCUGCAACAAGAAGAAGGAAGGAGAAAACAGGAUCAGACAAUAGAUAAAAAUGAGAAGUCAACUUCUAUUAUCCCCGAAAAAGAUCUCAAUGAGAAGUCAACUUCAAUUUCAUUUUUCAACCUACAAGUUGUGCUGAUCUUCCUUUACCACAGUCCUACAAAAACUAAUAAAAAAAUGUUGAGACACUAAAAUACAAGCUUCACCUGCAACGCCAAACCCUAAGUAUAUAAACUAACUUCCAUUCACAAUCAGCCGCCUCCUUCCCUUCACCCUCUCUUUCUCUCUGCUCAUCCCAUCAUCAUUGCUUCUCUCUCUCUCUCUCUCUCUUUCCAAUCAGAACUAAACAGACGAUGGCUGAGGCACUUCUAUCUCCGAUCUUGGAGCAGUUAACCACAAUCGUUGCUCAACAGGUAUUUUUCUACCAUCUGCAAUAACCUGAUUUACCUAGCAGAGAUAAGAAAUAUAUAUAAAGUUCAAGCCUUUUUUCUUCCUAUCAUAAAAAGAAUACUUUUAACUUGAAUAAAUAAAAAUAAUAUUUUAAAUCCUCAAGUAUAUAUUUGGAUUUUAUUAAAGAAUCUUCUUUUUCUUGUUUUAUUAUUUUUCAUAUUUCCAAAAAUAACAUAAAGAAAAUAUAUCAUUCCAAAUAUAGGAAAACCGAAAAAGGCAAAACAAGAGAUGCCAAUUCUCUUUAAACUUAACUAUUAAGGGUAAAAUAAUCAAUAAAAAGUUCAAAGGAUUAGCGAGCGAGUAUUUGGUGUGAAUUAACACACAAUCUUAUUAUCAUGCCUUUAUUUCACAAAUUAUACAUACAGAUCCUUUAAUUAUUCACUUGCAUUUAUACAUCCAUAUAUCUAUAGUUUAAUGUAAAAUGAAAACCAGAUUUUAUGUCGGUUCAAAGGAGAAAUCCUUCUCUCGUGAGAACAAUGAACUCUUUCCAUACCUAUAUUAAUUAUAUAUAUAUACACGCACAGGUUUAACGUUUUACCAUUUAAGAUUCAUUUUAUACCUUCUUGUACAGUAGCGUAGUGCAGACUGAUAUCAUCAUCAUGAUGAUAAAAAGAAAAAACAAAUAUUAUUAUUUCUAAUAAAUAUUUUAUAUAUAAAUUAUUAAUAUAGUAAAUCCAUUUCACAAUAAAAUAUAUUAAUACAAAAUAGAAAUGUUUCCUAUGCUUGAACUUGUAUUUUCUACACUAAUAGGUACAGGAAGAGGUGAACCUAGUAGGGGGUGUGAAAUUGUCAUAGAAAUGUUUCCUAUGCUUAACGUUUCUUUUCCUUUGUACACUAAUAGGUACAAGAAGAGGUGAACCUAGUAGUGGGUGUGAAGAAACAAUGUGACAAGCUGAAAAGCAAUCUCCUUGAUAUCCAAUCUGUCCUUGAAGAUGCAGAUAGAAAACAAGUGAAAGAUAAGGCUGUAAGAGAUUGGCUAGACAAGCUCAAAGAUGCAUGUUAUGAUAUGGAUGACGUGCUAGAUGAAUGGAGAACUGCAAUUCUUAGAUGGAAAAUGGAGGAAGCUGAAGAAAAUACUCACAGCCGACAGAAGAUACGGUGUUCCUUCCUGGGAUCUCCUUGCUUUUGUUUCAAUCAAGUGGUUCGACGUCGCGACAUUGCCCUGAAGAUCAAAGAAGUUCGUAAAAAAGUGGAUGACAUUGCCAAAGAGAGAGCUAAGUAUGGCUUCGAUCUGUACAAAACCACUGAUGAACUCCAGCGACUAACAACUACCUCCUUUGUUGAUGAAUCAAGCGUGAUUGGUCGAGAUGGUGAAAAGAGAAAUGUUGUAAGCAAGUUGCUGGCUGAAAGUAGUCAAGAAGCACGGGACGUGGAUGUCAUCUCUCUAGUAGGGCUGGGAGGAAUUGGAAAAACAACUCUCGCCCAACUAGCUUUUAAUGAUGCUGAGGUUACGGCUCAUUUUGAGAAAAAGAUAUGGGUGUGUGUUUCCGAACCAUUUGAUGAGGUUAAGAUAGCCAAAGCUAUCCUUGAGGAGCUUGAAGGGAGGGCAUCCGAUUUGGUAGGAUUGCAAUCCCUUUUGCGAAGGGUUUCUGAAUCCAUUGAGGGAAAGAGGUUCCUUCUUGUCCUUGAUGAUGUAUGGACAGAAAAUCACGGACAAUGGGAACAACUGAAACCAUCUCUCACAGGCUGUGCACGAGGAAGCAGAAUUCUAGUGACCACUCGUAAGGACGCUGUGGCAACGAUGAUGGGAAGUACUGGCCACCGGAUCAACAUUAAGGAAUUGUCCGACGAGAUAUGCAGGUCAAUAUUCAAUCAUGUGGCAUUCCAGGAAAGAAGCGAAGAUGAGCGCGAAAGAUUGACAGAUAUCGGCGAUAAAAUUGCAAACAAGUGCAAGGGCUUGCCUCUAGCUGCCAAGGUAUUAGGAGGUCUAAUGCAGUCUAAAAGAACAAGAGAAGAGUGGGAUCGUGUUUUAUCUAGCGAACUGUGGAGGCUAGAUGAGGUUGAUAGAGAUCAAGUUGAACGACGAAUAUUUAUACCUUUGCUCUUGAGUUACUACGAUUUACCUUCUGUGGUAAGACGAUGUUUCUUGUAUUGUGCCAUGUUUCCAAAAGACUACGAGAUGGACAAAGAUGAAUUGGUGAAGAUGUGGAUGGCUCAGGGUUACCUCAAGGAGACUUCAGGUGGAGAUAUGGAGCUUGUAGGAGAGCAGUACUUUCAAGUCUUAGCAGCGCGCUCUUUCUUCCAAGAUUUUGAGACGGAUGAGGAUGAAGGAAUGACAUUCAAGAUGCAUGAUAUAGUGCAUGAUUUUGCCCAAUAUAUGACAAAAAAUGAAUGUCUAACAGUGGAUGUCAAUACACUUGGAGGAGCAACAGUGGAGACUUCAAUUGAAAGGGUUCGUCAUUUAAGCAUGAUGCUGCCCAACGAGACCUCUUUUCCCGUGUCCAUUCACAAAGCAAAAGGUCUUCGCAGCCUCUUGAUCGACACUAGAGACCCUUCGCUUGGAGCUGCACUGCCUGAUUUGUUCAAGCAGUUGACAUGCAUCAGGUCAUUGAAUUUGUCAAGGUCUCAAAUCAAAGAAAUACCAAACGAGGUAGGGAAAUUGAUACAUUUGAGACACCUCAAUUUGGCAUGGUGUGUAGAGUUGGAGUCCCUGCCAGAAACCAUUUGUGAUUUAUGCAAUCUGCAAUCCCUAGACGUUACUUGGUGCCGGUCUCUCAAGGAAUUGCCCAAGGCGAUUGGAAAACUUAUCAAAUUGAGGCAUCUCUGGAUUGAUAGUUCAGGAGUGGCCUUCAUACCAAAGGGAAUAGAGAGGAUAACAUGUCUUCGAACAUUAGAUAAGUUUACUGUGUGUGGUGGUGGUGAGAAUGAAAGUAAAGCAGCUAAUCUAAGAGAAUUAAAAAACUUAAAUCACAUUGGAGGGAGUCUCAGAAUAGACAAAGUAAGAGAUAUAGAAAAUGUGAGAGACGUCGUGGAUGCACUACUCAAUAAGAAGCGCCUACUUUGCUUGGAAUGGAAUUUCAAGGGAGUGGAUUCCAUCUUGGUGAAAACAGAGUUGCCAGAGCAUGAAGGCUCUUUAAUUGAAGUUUUACGGCCUCCGUCAGACUUGGAAAAUCUAACCAUACGGGGUUACGGAGGGUUGGAUUUGCCAAAUUGGAUGAUGACAUUAACCAGAUUACGGAUGCUUUCACUUGGUCCUUGUGAAAACGUGGAGGUCUUGCCUCCGUUGGGAAGAUUGCCCAACCUUGAACGCCUGCUGUUGUUCUUCUUGAAGGUGAGAAGGCUGGAUGCUGGGUUUUUAGGUGUAGAAAAGGAUGAGAAUGAAGGAGAAAUUGCAAGGGUCACUGCUUUCCCCAAAUUAAAAAGUUUUCGGAUUAGGUAUCUCGAAGAAAUAGAAGAGUGGGAUGGAAUUGAAAGGAGAGUGGGAGAAGAAGAUGCCAACACAACUUCAAUAAUAUCCAUUAUGCCACAACUUCAAUAUUUGGGAAUUCGCAAGUGCCCAUUGUUGAGAGCACUACCGGACUAUGUUUUGGCAGCGCCUCUACAGGAAUUGGAGAUAAUGGGUUGCCCCAAUCUAACAAAUCGUUACGGGGAGGAGGAGAUGGGUGAAGAUUGGCAAAAGAUUUCUCACAUCCCAAACAUUUAUUUUCAUGAUAUAUAGGUGAGAUGGGUGAAGACUUGGAAGCUAAACCAUUCAUCUAUAAGAGAUGAUACCCAUCGAUUUUGUGGAUUAAAUCCAAAUAAAGUUAACUAAACCUAACACAAAAAAUCUUCAACAAUAAAUAUGAUUUCUGUUAGUGAAAGACAAGCCCCCUAGUUCCUGUGCUUUCUAAAUGCCAUCACAGCCCCAUUCAAAGAACUUCCAGACAGAGGAUUCUUCAGACCAAUAGAUUUUAUAUACCCUUUUUCUGUAAAUGGAUUGAACUCAUUUGUAAUCUAUUCUUCAGACACAAAACAUCUUCAACAAUAAUUAAAUUACAAAUCACCAACAAAAUUCAGCAAAAAAAACCUAAUUCAGAGUUUAUCCAUCUUUAUUUUUUUAUAAAAAAAUGAGUGAUUUAUUGCAAGUCAAAUAUUUUUGUUCUUUAUAAAAUCUUUGUUCUUUAAAUAUAUUUUUGUAGUUUAAAAAAAUAAUAAAUUAAAAAAUUUAUAUAUAUUUAAUCAAAUAAAUUAAAAAUUAUUUAUGUUAAUAAAUAAAUAAACAUUUAUUAAUAAUACUUAAAAACAAAACUGGUUCAAAGCCUUCAUUGAGCUCAAUGUAAAGAGGACCAACCUCUGCCGUCAUAAAAGCACAAAAUACUCCAUUGUAAAAGCCCUCGUAGGAAAACACCUUCGCCAACAAGAAAAGCAAAGUUAAAACCCCAAGUAAACAUCCCUGUCUUUCUCUCCCACACGCUCGCAUACGCAGUUUUUCCUCUCUGCGUCUUCAAGCAACAAACCAUGGGUGAUAGCCAGUACUCCUUUUCUCUCACUACUUUC
rnacentral:lncRNA from 1 species